ACUUCAGAGUGUACUCUUUGAGUUUGGCAACUCACCACCAGCAUCCAACCAAACCUAGCGGAUCAACGGCGUGUCAACUUAGUUCCUGGUCAGCUCGCGAGUUGAUUUUAUCACGUCCUAUACCGUCCACAAGAUGGGGGGCCACCUCCCAUUUCAUCACCUCUCAAACACCCCGAGAGGUCGGCAGGCGGAUUUGAACCCGGACGCGCCGGGACGUGACGGGAGCAGAAGCCAGACCUUAACCUCUGCCAGCCGCCUGCCUGAUGUUGUAUGCUACGAACGCUACCUGACGCGGAACACCUUGCCCCCUAGCUGAUUCACCGGAUCCUGGCUUGCUGCCGCUAGCUACGCUGCCACUAGCUCCGUUGCCACUGUUGCUGUAGCCACCCUUAUAUCCAGAUUUUGACGACUGCUUGAGCGCUUUAAGCUGCCUGCAGUCCUUUACCACGUGCCCAUGUUGAGGAAACGGUCUUCUCCCAACUCGUGUGGUUGUCGACCAGGGGAUUUGACCCCAGGUCUGUGCCUGACUAAUGGGGAAGACUUACCCCCAGAACUUUAAAGGGCUACCGAUGCAUAUCCGGUAGCUAAGUAAUAGACAUUUGGGCACCGUCAGGACGGCGCAGAGAGAUCGCGGAAUGUACGUGCAGUUAGAUCGCGGAAUGUACGAGUUUUCCGAUAGCGCCGGUAUUUAGGGCGGUGACUGCGCUUAUUUGUUUAUCUCACAACGAUCGGUAUUCCUCAAAGGAAUCUCCUCAAGUCCUGCCUAACGCAAUUUACAGUUUUUUACAUUACUUGAAAUGUUACAGAGUGGGAGGCUUCUGGGCCGCUUUACCACAUUGUCAGUUCUACGAUCAUUUAUCACCUUAUAGCACCAUCCACCACUACCACACUGUCUUCGCCAUACGAACUGUAAGUCCAAGGCGGCGGAUCCAGCCUUCAGAGACCCGUCCUCAUCCAUUCACCCGGAGGGUUCGGCAAUCGCCACCAAUCCAGCGUGCGAAUCUGGUCCAUCAACUGUGACCUCAACUCCACAUCUCAGCAGCUAGCCAUAAUCUCGCGCUCCCGACAAAUUCGGGGAUCUCCCCAGGAAUCGAACCCUAAGAUAUUGAACACGAUAAACUGAUACAAGUAAUGUAAGAAGUAGUAUUAUGCGUUAGGCAGGACUUUAGGAGAUUCCUUUGAGGAAUACCGAUCGUUGUGAGAUAAACAAAUAAGCAAACAUCUAUGUGAACUAGUGCUAGUGGCUGAGCUGCUUUGUGUCCUGUUAACGGAAAAGGACCUCGUGUCUGUUUUGCAUAAACGCAGGUCUCACAAACACCCGUGCUGGCUUUUUGGAAACUGUGCUGGUCGACGUCAAAUCCCAUUACCAUAUUGUGCGCAGCAACACCUCGAGGUUGCUGUAGCCAAGAUGUCCGUAACACCGAUGCCAAAGUGUUGCACGCUCCGUCUUGGAAUUCACAGCGGUGCACGUUGUACCAUGUCCGUUGUCACAGUAGCUCGUAUUCUGCGUCCUCCUGAUGGUGCCUGUACUUCCACCUCGAUAGCAAAUGGGGUAGAGAUCACCGUCCCGUUCACCGGUCAACACUAAAUGAUUUUGCAAGUAUACCUGUACUUGACCGUCACCGAAGACGACGCUACCUCCGCGAUCGUCGAUGAUACGGACGGACAAAAUCUUUACCAUCGCCUCCUCGUCAACGUAGACCCUUUUAAAUGUGAUGGCUUGAUUGUCGUUGACAUUAGAUCGAAUGGUAAGCGAUCCAACCUCCGUCGGACGCAGUGAUUGACCCUUAAUGCCCACAAUGCUGAAGCGUUCCCAAGGCCCCAACACACGUGCAUUGUGUAGUUCGGAUCGGUCGUAAGUGACGGGGUGAGUAGAUGCUGAGUCCAGAAACCAUUCCGUCGGACGCUCGCUGUUGUAUGCCACGAACGCUACCUGCCGCGGAACUCCUGGCCCCCUAGCUGAUCCACCGGAUCCUGGAUUGCUGCCGCUAGCUCCGCUGCCACUGUUGUUGUAGCCACCCUUAUUGACGACUGCUUGAGCGCUUUAAGCUGCCUGCCGUCCUUUACCACUUGCCCAGGCUUAUUACAGUAGUAGCAGAUGAGUUGUUUCCGACUGUGUCCCGAGCUGCUGCUAGCCGGCCCCCGGCUGCCAUAACCAGAAUUAGAAGCGCCGAAAGUCGAACCGCCGAGAGACGUGAAGGCUGCCGACUCGGUAGGCUUGUCCGACCUACCGUUAGCCGUCUCGAUAGCGAGAAGCUUUGCUGUGACGCUCGCCAUGUCCAAAUCGCCGUCACGCAUCAGUAGUGUUGUCGUCACCACGCUGUACCGAUUGGGUAGACCAACUAAGACGGUAUACGCCAGCUCGGAGUCGUUGAUUACGUGGCCGAAACCCAACAAGUCCGUUUGCAGCUGCCUCGCACGUGCAUAUACUUCGAAAGUGGCUCACAGUCAACCAUCUUGAAGCGGCUGAAUUCUUGGCGUAGAGCCACCUUGCGGGCGUUGUUGUUGGCAGCGAACAUCAAGUUCAAGGCAUCCCAAGUCUUCGCGUUGGCUGCACCGGUGACCAUCGGCAAAUGGUGAUCCUUAACGUUCUUGAUAAGCAGAUUGAUGACCUUCCGUGAUUGAUGAAUCUGCUCCUCGUUGCACGGCUCGGCGAGCAAAGACUGCUCAAGCCGAAGCUCCAUGCACAUCGCACUAAACCGUCGGUGUUACGGACAUUUGGGCUACAGCAACCUCGAGGCGUUGCUGCACCACAAUAUGGUAAUGGGAUUUGACGUCGUCCAGCACAGCUUUCAGAAAGCGAGUACGUGUGUUUGUGAGACCUGCGUUUUUGCAAAACAGACACGAGGUCCUUUUCCGCUGACAGGGCACAAGGCAGCCCAGCCACUAGCAUUAGUUCACAUGGAUGCGUGUGGACCUAUGCCUGAACCUUCGCCUAGUGGUUCUCGCUACGUGACAACUCUGCUUGACGUCCAUACCGGUCUUUCAGCAGUUGCGUUUACAGCGACCAAGGAGGAGGUCUAUCUGAAGAUGGUGGUAAUGAUAGCGGACCUGGAGCGCGCUUCUGGCAGGCAGGUUAAGGAGGUUCGUACGGAUCGUGGCGGGGAGUUCAUUAAUACUCGCACGAAGGGCUAUUUCGCGUCCAGGGGUAUUGUUCAUGGAACUACGGUAGGCUACACCCCUGAGCAGAACGGAGCAGCGGAACGUUUGAAUCGCAAGACACAAGUUAUGCAAGUCUUGGUAUCUCAUCUUAGGAUGGAUCGGUAUUCCUUAACAGGAAUCUCCUAAAGUCUUCUUUCCGUUCACCAUUAACCCACAGACUUUAACCCUUAUGUCGCGACCAGUCUCCUUGCGUUCAUAUUCUUAACAGGGAUCGCUGCCUAGGGCUGGCGAAGGGAUACCAGGUAGCACCGUCCGCGAGGGAUCGCCGCACUUGGGUGGCGAGGGGGCGCCGGCUGGGGCUGAACCAUCCAGCAGUGUAUUGAAGAAUCGACUGCGGUGGCAGCUGGCGGCGACUGUUAUUUCGGAAAGGAAUACCGGCGUGUUCGUCGCCAGAUAGUUCAAUCCUCCCACCAAAGCCCUAUACUCCGUGGGAUUGCCCAGCAGCUCCUCUCCGUCCCCCUUAGGAGUGUACCUAAAGCCCGGAGGGUAGAUCUCGGCUUGGCGUCAACCAUCCUAUGACGCUCCAACAGCUGCUCAAUGUACCUAUGCUGCGACAACACUAACUCACCCGACUUCUCCCUCCUAAUCUCCAUGCCCCCAAACACCUUCGCUUCUCCAAGGUCACGCACCCUUAAGACCUUCACAAUUGCGGCUUUAAUUUCCCGGACCAUUUCCGGGUCUUCUGACGCAACAAUGGGGUCAUCUACGUGCACCAAAGCAAUCCCCACGCUCGUCCAUAAUAAUGAACAUCGCCGGAUCAGACUUCGAAGGAUAAAGACCCAGCUUGGCGAACUCUGCUGAUAUCUUUUCAUACCAGCAACGGGGUGCCUGCUUCAAACCGUAAAUAGACCUCUGCAGCUUGCACGCAAGCGACCGGUCACUGGAUACAUACCCAGGUGGUUGCUGUAUCCACAACUCCUCCUUCAACUCGCUGUUCAAAAAUGCAGUAGACACAUCGAGCUGGUGUACCGUCAUGUUCCGCGCUGCGGCAACUGCUAAUAAAGCACGUAAUGACGAACCGAGGUAGGGGCAAACAACUCCCCAUAAUCAAUCCCCUCGCGUUGCUCGAAACCCUUCGCAACCAAUCGCGCCUUAAAACGCUCCACGCUGCCGUCAUCGUUGUACUUAACCUUAUACACCCAACGACACGGCAAUAAAUGAGUACCAGGAGGUGGCGUCUUCAGCUCCCAAGUACUGUUAGCCAUCUGGGCGGCGAUCUCCUCGUCCAUCGCACGCCGCCAAUCGUCUGCAUGAAGACUUGCAAUGGCUUCCGCAAACGAAUUCGGUUCAGGAAUAACAGCAGAGAAAGUAGCAUUAACGACCAGUAACAGUGCGACCAGGUUCCGCCACCAUUCGCCAGGGCGUUUACGUUCUCUAACUGGAUACCUAGUUCCCGCCAUUUCCACAUCAGGCUAAUUACUUCCUUGCCCGUUCGCACUGCUGGAAGGUCCAGCCCCAGCCGGCGCCCCCUCGCCACCCAAAUGCGGCGAUCCCUCGCCGACAGUAUUGCCUGAUGUUGUUGAGGAAACGGUCCUCUCCCAACUCGUGUGGUUGUCGACCAGGGGAUUUGACCCCGGGUCUGCGCCUGACUAAUGGGGAAGACUUACCCCAGAACCUUAUAGGGCUACCGAUGCAUAUCCGGUAGCUAAGUGAUAGACAUUAGGGCACCGUCUGGACGGCGCAGUGAGAUCGCGGAAUGUACGUGCAGUUAGAUCGCGGAAUGUACGAGUUUUCCGCUAGCGCCGGUAUUUAGGGCGGUGACAGCGCCUAUUAGUUUAUCUCACAACGAUCGGUAUUCCUACCAGGAAUCUCCUCAAGUCCUGCCGAACGCUAACAAUAUUCUUUACAUUACUUGUAACAGUUUAUCGUGCUAAAUAUCUUCGCCACCGGCCCUCCCCCCCCUCCCGGAGUGCCUAUGCCCCGGAGUGGAAGUUGGCUAACGAACUACGGCGAGGCCAGGAACACCAAUUGAGUUAAUUAUUGCUUUUCUUUAUAGCUUAAAUUUUGCACAAAGCGGUCAUACUUUGGUAGAUGGAAACUGCGACUGCCGGACAGAGGUCACACAUUUACAUAAUGCCAAAUGAACGGACUACAGAAACUGCAUAGCUAAAGAAAAGUUAUUGCUUUAACUAGUUUAGCAAAGAGCUUAACUAGUUUAGCAAGAGCGCGGGCACCUCCGAUUUCGACCUCAGGUUGGCCGAUGAUGAUGACAGGACUUCUCGCUUUGUACCCAUCCAAAAGCACCGAAACGCAUAGGAUUGUUGUGGAAUCUAGCACAUGCAAGACAUUGCGUGGUCGACGUUAAGGGGGCGCAUGAUGCCCCGGCAGCGCUUUCUGGGCCUCCAGGAGCCCCAAAACGGAUUGUCUAGGAUCGAUCCAUUGCAGAUAGAUCGUAGGCGCUGGUCUGACGGUCAUAGGGCUCAUAGCAGCUGGAUGGCUUUCAGACUGCCGGUCAUGGGAACCCGGGAGGCGUGCUGUUGGUGCGGGGCAAACCAGGGCUGUCGGGUGACCGGCGGACAUGGAUGGGUGCACCACCAAUUGAUAUACACACAGGGACGUAUUCUAAUCGGGGCGCUCGGCGGUACUCCGCCUGGAGCAAGCAGGUUCAACUCCUGCCGUCCUGUUCCUUUCAUCAUCCUCCCACAAAGAGUCCCGGGGACCAGUCGGGUGGUUAUGACGAUGCGGUGGCGGCUGCGGUGGUGGCGGUGGCCGCUGGCUAUCACGGUGCGCCCGUCACCGCUGCGGCAGCGGCAGCAGCGACGACCAGCCUGGUGGCGCAGUGCAGCAGUGCGGGCCCCGGGUGGGGCUUGUACGGGAGGGGAUAUGGCGGGGACCAGUCGGGUAGCUACUAAGGUGGCCAUGGGGGUUUUACGACCAGUGACAUGCAUGGCCUGGGACUGCAGCUACCAGCUACAUGGCGGGGUGACGAGUGGGGCGCUCUUGUUUGGUGGGCGAAACCCUGGAAGGGGUGCACAACGCACAGCAGGUCCCGGGUUACGGCAGUGGAUCUCAGGAUCGAGGUGUAGUGGUGACGGGAUCAGCAAUGUUGCCAGUGUCGGCAAUGUCUCCGAGUGGGGAUGUGGGCACGGAGGGGGGCGUAGGUGACACGUCCACAGCGGAUUGGACAGGCGGGCUUUACUAAAAUCAUAAUUGGAUACGGUGGGAGGGUGGUGAGCAUGCCGAUUGAAGCGGAGGCAUGAGGACGACGGGCAGUGCUGGCUGACAUUUACACAACACCGGUGCCAGCGGAACAAUGUAUGUGGGAUGUGGCGGUUGGAAAAAAGGAGUAGGCUCAUGGCGGCUGCAAUGAAACAAAGGACAUGCGGACCCAGGCUGGGGACCUCCUGGCGGAGAAAGGCCCAAGACACGCUGUAACGGAUUUUUUGGGUUUGCGCAACUUUGGGAGAAGAGAAAACAGGCGGGGCCUUCAGGCGUGGUUCAGUAGAGGGGGAUUCCCCCGGCUGCCGCCGCACACAUCACGAGCCAGGAUAGGUGUGCCAAGACCUCAAGCGGGGCUUACAAGGUGGGGGGACCAUUGGGGGGUUGGUCGGCCUAUGGGUCCACGGUAAUCAUAAUUCACUCAUGGCUCUCCAUGGCAAACGUGUAGGCCCGUGAGCUUAGCCAUUUGCCUCAUGCGAAUCAACGAACAGGCUGUAAUCCUGCGACUGCUCGCCUCUCUUUCACUCUACAAAGCGGCUCUUNNNNNNNNNNNNNNNNNNNNNNNNNNNNNNNNNNNNNNNNNNNNNNNNNNUGCCCGCAGAGCUGGAUGUGCUGUACUGAGGACACAAGUAUUGCCGUAAUGUGCACGCGGAAACCAUUUCUAGUGCCUCUGUUCACCUGCGGUUGCCGGCACUUAUCAGCCAGAUGUGACUAUGUACCAGUCGAUGACGCUGGAUUAGCGUUUUGCCGUCGAAGGCCUUGGAAAUGAUGGCAACUUCAUACGCUGCGCCGCAGCUGUAUGAGGGCAUAUAGCACCCACCCGGGUGAGCGAUGGGGGGUAGCAUGGUAGUUUUUUUUUCAGUUGGGUGCGCGGGGAACCAACAUGUAAUAAUGAUGGCUGUCGUACACCUGCUAACCCCUAUCCCUAAGAUUGUGGGGUAUUUCUUGAAGCAGCUAUUCGGGGGCUGUGUCAUCAUGUGGCUUAGUGAAUCGGUGAUGCACUCUGCGGUUGAGAAGUCGGUAUGAUGGCCAAGUGCUGAACCCUAAAAAGCUACUGAGCUCGCAGUGGAUGAGAAGGAUGAGGUCACUGCCAGGCUAGUGGUCACCGGUGAAGCUAUUCUACCAUAUCCCAAACAAUAACAGGUCGAUAUGGGAUGUAAGAAGAACAUUUUGUACAUUCAGUUCAUAAGUGCACCAAAGGGUAGGGUGAUACUCAUCUUUUUUUUCGUUUGAUGUUUCCUUGAACCUGCUUUCCCAAACCUAAUUAUAAUCUAAUCCAGUCUAGUACACUUGAGUAAAAUGCUACUGCCUUUGACUUCUACCGCUACCCUUUGCUCCACGAGCCAACGCGUGGUCUACAACCAUGAAAACCACGAAUUGCAGAUCAGUUUGCACCCAAUUACCCAGAUUCUGCCACCUGACUGUCCUUCAUGGCCACCUUCCAGCCAGAGAUGCCAACCCCAGCGAACACGGCGGCUCCACGCAUUCCCAACAGCACUCAGGCGAUGGCCAUGAUCCUAAAGCGGGACGGAUGGCAGAUACCGGGCGGCACAACAAUCGUCCCGCUUAUGCACCUAACGGUCCGCCUAGCGACACAGCUGCAAUGCGGGGCCACGGAGGAGAAACGGGGAUGCUUGAUGGCAGCAUUUUUGUGGACCCGCAGGAAACGGUACCUUCAUCCUCGGCGGAAAUUAGCUGCUUCAGGGCCUGCUUGUGGUCUGGGGUGCGGUUGGAGAACGCAAACAAAUAAACGCUGUGGCGGCUUGGCCGUGGACGGCAUCCCCCUGCCCGGCAACACGCACCUGGCUCGCAUGGUGCCCAAGCGGUGUGGGUGCGGAAGGUUCGGCAAUGCCAGCAACCAGCAAUGCUCCCCACGCAUGAACCACUUCUGGGAGUGCCCCGUCGCACAGGCUGUCCAUUGAUCGACACCCCCAGGAGGCCGCGACAGGCGGCAUCACCCGGAAGCAGCUGUGGUUGGUCCAGGCCCCGACCGGCUGCGAACAGGCCCCCUGGGAUGUGAUCGCCCUGGCGGCCCUGUCUGCUAUAGAGGUAGGCAGGUGCUGCCUGCGAGCAGCCGGAGGACGGCUGGAAAGGGCGGCUAACCCCGCGACGCAACGGCCAGAGCAAGUGCAACAGAUCCAGGCGCAAGGACCCCAACAGCGGCGGAUAACGGACUUCUCCCACCUGGGCAAUGGAGCGAGACCGCAGGAGGGCCCGUUGCUGAACGCGCCGGUACUCGAGGAUCAAACGCAGGGGCAAGUGUUUUGCGCGUUCAAUGCUUGCCAAGCAGUGAAAGCUGGGGCAUUGAUUAUUAGCGUCUUAUAAAUUAUAUACAUAAGGAUGUUUUGUAACUUUGGACCAUCAUUUCCAUGGCCAUCUGCUGGGCGUCCGCUGGAACGGUCAGGAUGUACGGCGUUGCGGACAGGGAAGCGUCCGCGGGGGGGGUAUAAGUUCCUGCAAAGCACUCGGCACAAAUCAGCUGCGUCUACGCACUUGCAUCAGGUACAAAGUCGACAUUCCUCCUUUCGCAUGCAUUGGGUAGACGGCAAUUCCCCGCAGCGGCCCCCUUGGCAAUCCAAUCCCUUGGCUCAGCCAACCCUGCCACUAUGAGCCACUGUAACGGAUCUCCUUGUACAUCUUAUACAUGCCACUACCACCACCAUCACCACCACUUAUAAUUGGUUUAACCGUAAGUCCUCCCUAAUAUCGUGGCCUCGUAUUUUGUCGCAUAGUGUCGUACAGUAUAGCUGUAGCAUCGUCAUAGGUAAGGUUAGUCUCGGAUCCGGCAAAACACAAAACAAAAUUACACGCCUACUGGUAAUAAAGGCACAAGCAAGCACGCAUUCACACGUAAACCACCACUGCCACAGCCAUUCACUGCAACACACGUACACACGUACACACACACAAAAGGCUGACCCGUUAUCCGACAGGCAAACACCAAAACCAAACGCCUCCAAACCAAUAACAUCGCAAUUCUCUUCUCCCCCCCCCACUCGCAGCCAGCUCUCUCUCCUCCCCUCUCCUCCCACCCCCCAUGUACAGCACCUCCUGCCCCCAUAGCCCCUCAUCAUUGCCGUCGGAAGGUACCCUAGCCACGCUACCCAAGCGCCACUGGCGCCGCCGCCGCCACUGCAGCGGCGCCGCCGCCGUCGCCGCCGUACGCCAGCAGGGGCAGCGGCCGCUCAAACAGCUUUCCAACCUGCCCCGUGGCGUUGUGUCGAAUCUUAAACAGCCCCGUCCCCGUGGGCAUGGCAAUGCCCAUGAUGAUCGACUCGCUCACCCCUACCACAUCAUCCAUGCGCCCGUGUAUUGCCGCGUCAAACAGGUGAUCGGCGGUCUUCUCGAAGCUGGCGGUGUGUAGAACGCUGUCCUUCAUCUUGGAGAUACCGAAGCGGGUNNNNNNNNNNNNNNNNNNNNNNNNNNNNNNNNNNNNNNNNNNNNNNNNNNAACGUCAGUCACCUGCGAGUCUUUGGAUGCGUUGCCUACGUCCACGUACCCGACGUCAAGCGCGACAAGUUCGACCCGGUGAGCAGGCGUGGAAUACUUGUCGGAUACGGGAACGGUGGACAAUAUCGUGUACUAUACGAGGACGGCAUUAUUGCCGUAGUUUCUAACGUUCGUUUUGACGAGUCUAACGUCGGCCGGCGGCGUAAUGCCGGGGACUCCGAUUAUGAGUCCGAUGCCGACGAGGAGGAGGAGUUUCGCACUAGUUUAUCUGGUGAGGGAUCGCUGCCUAGGGCUGGCGAAGGGACACCAGGUAGCACCGUCGGCGAGGGAUCGCCGCAUUUGGGUGGCGAGGGGGCGCCGGCUGGGGCUGGAUCUUCCAGCAGUGCGAACGGGCAAGGAAUCAAUCAGCCUGAUGUGGAAAUGGCGGGAACUAGGUACCCAGUUAGAGAGCGUAAACGCCCUGGCGAAUGGUGGCGAAACGAACCUGGUCGCACUGUCACUGGUCGCAUUAACGCUGCUUUCUCUGCUGGUAUUCCUGAGCCUAAUUCUUUUGCGGAAGCCAUUGCGAGUGCACAUGCAGACGACUGGCGGCGUGCGAUGGACGAGGAGAUCGCCGCCCAGAUGGCUAAUAGUACUUGGGAGCUGAAGAAGCCACCUCCUGGUACUCGUUUGUUGCCGUGUCGUUGGGUAUAUAAGGUUAAGUACAGCGAUGACGGCAGCGUGGAGCGUUUUAAGGCGCGUUUAGUUGCCAAGGGUUUCGAGCAACGUGAGGGGAUUGAUUAUGGGGAGUUGUUUGCCCCUACCUCUCGUGGUUCGUCAUUGCGUGCUUUAUUAGCAGUUGCCGCAGCCCGGAACAUGACGGUACAUCAGCUCGAUGUGUCUACUGCGUUUCUGAAUGGUGAGCUGAAGGAGGAAUUGUGGAUGGAGCAACCGCCUGGGUAUGCAUCUAGUGACCGGUCGCUUGCGUGCAACCUGCAGAAGUCUAUUUACGGGUUGAAGCAGGCACCCCGUUGCUGGUAUGAGAAACUAUCAGCAGAGUUCGCCAAGUUGGGUCUUUAUCCUUCGAAGUCUGAUCCGGCGAUGUUUGUUAAGACGGACGAGCGUGGGGUUGUUAUUGCUUUGGUACACGUAGAUGAUACAAUUGUUGCGUCGGAAGACCCGGAAAUGGUCCGGGCAAUUAAAGCCGCAAUUGCGAAGGUCUUCAAGGUGCGCGACCUUGGAGAAGCGAAGGUGUUUUUGGGCAUGGAAAUUAGGAGGGAGAAGUCGGGUGAGAUAGUGUUGUCGCAACAUAGGUAUAUUGCGCAGCUGUUGGAGCGUCAUAGGAUGAUUGACGCCAAGCCGAGGUCUACCCCUUUGCCUCCGGGCUUUAGGUACACUCCUAAGGGGGACGGAGAGGAGCUGCUGGGCAAUCCCACAGAGUAUAGAACUUUGGUGGGAGAAUUGAACUAUCUGGCGACGAACACGCGGCCUGACAUUUCAUAUGCAUUGAGCGUUUUGUCCCGGCAUAUGGCCGCACCUACGAAGACUGCCAUGAACUUGGCAACCGGCGUUCUGCGUUACCUGGCGGGUACACGCGAACUAGGAUUGCGUUUUGGGGGUGUUGGCGACGUUGCUAUGUCCGGGUACAGUGAUUCGGACUGGGCAGGAGACCCAGUUACGCGGCGUUCUACGUCCGGUUACGUAUUCACUCUUAAUGGGGCUGCGAUUAGCUGGAGCAGCCAACUUCAACGUACUGUGGCGGCUUCGUCGGUGGAGGCUGAGUACCAAGCUACAGCGGCGGCUGUUCGUGAGGCUUUGUGGCUUCGCAAGCUGAUGGUUGAUUUGGGCUUGCCUGAGAGCGCGGUGAAAAUCCAGAUAGACUCCCAGGGGGCGCUUAGCUUGGGAAACAACCCGAUUACGUCUGCUCGGUCGAAGCACAUCGACGUGCAGCAUCACAUAGUGCGUGAGAGGGUGAAUAGCGGUGAGGUGCAGUUGGAAUACUGCCCUACGGAGUGGAUGGUAGCGGAUGUGCUAACGAAGGCUCUGGGCGAGGUGAAGUUCAAACGUUGCCGAGAUGCUAUGGGCCUUGUGUGAAGUGUGCAGAUGAACUUGGUACUCGUUGGGAUACGGCCCGAGGGGGCGUGUUGAGGAAACGGUCCUCUCCCAACUCGUGUGGUUGUCGACCAGGGGAUUUGACCCCGGGUCUGCGCCUGACUAAUGGGGAAGACUUACCCCAGAACCUUAUAGGGCUACCGAUGCAUAUCCGGUAGCUAAGUGAUAGACAUUAGGGCACCGUCUGGACGACGCAGUGAGAUCGCGGAAUGUACGUGCAGUUAGAUCGCGGAAUGUACGAGUUUUCCGCUAGCGCCGGUAUUUAGGGCGGUGACAGCGCCUAUUAGUUUAUCUAACAACGAUCGGUAUUCCUACCAGGAAUCUCCUCAAGUCCUGCCGAACGCUAACAAUAUUCUUUACAUUACUUGUAACAGUUUAUCGUGCUAAAUAUCUUCGCCACCGGCAAUCCUUCCGAAAUAACAAUCAGCGUUAGCCGUCACCGUCGCCAAUUCUUCAAUAGAUGUUCCUUCGCCAGCCCUAGGCAGCGACCCCUCACCAGGCAAGUUAGUGUGAACGUCUCCUCCUCAUCGGCAUCGGACCCAUAAUCGGAGUCCCCGGCACUACGCCGCCGGCCGACAUUAGACUCGUCAAAGCGGACACUGGAGACAACGGUGACGACGCCAUCCUCGUACAGGACACGGUACUGUCCUCCUGUAGUGGUAUCUACCCUUGGCGAAUCCAGCGAUGUAGAGGCGACGUUGACUGGCGCCGAUGAAGUAGACGGGUAGCUAAGUGUAGGUGAAGAUUGUAGUGAAAUCCAGAGUUGAGAGGACGUGGUUCAGGCCUUAAUUAGGGCUCAGCCCUGUAUCAAGCGGACCGGUUAUCAACCGUUGGUCUGUCAAACUCGGACAGGCCGAAAUCCCUUCAUCGUUCACGAUCGGUUAGUUUCUGACAGCCGUCUUGGCCGAGUCCUUCUUGGACGUGGUUACUCGCGUUCGUACGCGGUACCACAACAUUGCCUCCCCCUUAGGGCUUGACGUCCGCGCAAGUCCGUUGUCGUACUGACUCCAGCUCUGCUGUCAUAUCGGGAGUGAAAUGAUUCGCUGGUUCCCAGCUGUUGUGCUCGUCGGUAUAUCCUUGCCACCGUACGAGGUAUUCCUCCACGUACGUCCGACUUUGCGUCGUCGGUAAUCGAGCACCCUCUCAACCGGCAGAUAACCGUCUUCAGUGGUAUCCUGCCAAACAGGCAAUGUCUCGGGUGGUAUGGGACGAAACGGGCCAUCAGCCUAGUACGGUUUCACGAGGCUUACGUGAAACACAUUGUGUAUCUUCAGAUUGGGCGUGAGAGUUAACUUCACCGCAGCUUUACCAAUCAUCUUCUCCACUGGAAAGGGACCAACCCAUCGAGGUUGUAACUUACGGGGUACCUUCGGGCCCAUUCGUAAGUUUUUCGUACUUAAGAGUACUGAGUCACCGGGCUGGUACGUUGCCGAUUUCUUAUCUGCAUUGUAGUACGCCGUGGUCCGAUCUUGGGCUGCCAUCAGGCAUCUCUUUACUUCCUUCAGUCGUUUUUCCAGGGUUUCAGCCAUACCUGCGGCGGCCGGUACGUUACAGGCUGUUUCCCUCACCACCGGUGUUGCCGGGUGCCACCCGUAAUUAAGGAAGAACGGUGUUUGGUUCGUCGCUCGGUUUAAAGCGUUGUUCACGGCAAAUUCAGCCAAGGGUAAUGCUUCAUCCCACGAUCGUGGUUCUGUAGCGCAAUAACUGCGAAGCAUGUCUCCCAGGACUCGGUUCAUCCGUUCGUUUGUCCAUCCGUCUCAGGGUGGAAAGCUGUGGAGAGAUUAGGAUCGAUUUCAAUCAUUCGUGCCAGGUUUUGCCAGAAGUGACCGGCAAAUUGAGAUCCACGGUCCGAGACCGUUUGUUUUGGCACGCCGUGCAACCGGAUCACGUUUUGAAGGAAGAGUUUAGCGGUUUUUUCGGCGGUGAUACUUUUCCGUACUGGGACAAAGUGCGCCAUUUUCGUCAAACGGUCGACGAAGACCAAGAUCGCGUUGAACUGGCGAGCCGUACAGGGCAAGCCGAUUACGAAAUCCAUGGAGACACUAUCCCACGGCAUUUCGGGGAUUGGUAAGGGUUGUAACAAGCCAAUCUUCUUGCCUGUACGGCUUUUGUUACGUUGGCACUUGUCGCAGGUAAGGACAACUUGUCGCACAUCCGCGGCACAAUUGGGCCACCAAUGAGUACAAGUUCCAACGUGCGGUGAACUCCCGGGUGUCCGGCCAAGGGGUCACCAUGGCAACGGUUUAUGAAUUCCUUGCGGAGAUCGCCGUGAUUGGGCACCGCAACACGUUUCUUGCCAUCAGGAAGAGUUUUGAGCCAAAAGCCCUCUUGCGUUCUUUCCCGGUUCGCAAGGUUCUCAGGGUUUUGGAACCACGGGUCCUUCUCGUAUCCGGUCAGGAUGCGAGCCCGCAGGGUUUGCCGCGUUUGCAUGCGCGUCACUGCAUUCAGCAGCGGAUGUCGGCUCAGUGCGUCAGCAACGUUAGUUUUACCGCUUCGGUGUUCCCAAUGAAGGUGAAAACGGGAAAGGAACUCAAGCCAUCGAGCUUGACGACGAUUCAGCGUCGGUUGCGUCUUUAGGUAGAUCAGGGGGUGAUGAUCGGUGAUGAUCGGUCACGACUCUCAUCAUGUGGACCUUCCAGGUAGCAGCGCCAAGUGCGUGUAUUACACCAAGUAGUUCCUGCUCACUCGUGGUAUAGUUCCGCUCCCCAGGAGUGAACUUUUUACUGGUGAAGGCGAUGGGUUUUCCGUCCUGCAGUAGGACUGCACCCGUACCGCGUAAGGACGCGUCCGAGAUCAAUUCGAACGUAAAAGGCUUAGUCAUGUUUUGGUACCGUAGCAGUACAUCGUCUGCUAACGCAUUUUUCACCAUUUCAAAGGCGUGUACCCGUGGUGGAGUCCAAUCCUCAGGACGGACUUGACCUUUUCCACGUAACAUAUCCGUGAGAGGAGCCGAAAGCGAAGCAUACGCUUUAACGAACUUCCGGAAAUAGUUCGUAAGGCCCAAGAACUGCCGUAACUCGGACACGUUCUGUGGCAGUGGCCAUUCACGGACAGCCUUCACCUUCUUAGGGUCCAUGCGAACUCCUUCGGCACUAACAAUGUGACCGAGGUACUCAAGCUGAGUUUGCGCCCAGUGGCAUUUGGACGACUUUGCAUGAAACCGUGUUUUCCCGUGUGUUCCCGUCGUAGCACUUCGAACACGGUUUCAAGGUGUUUUAGAUGCUUCACGACUUCGGGAAUACACCAGGAUAUCAUCCAGGUAAACCACGACAAACUUGCCGAGGUAGGGCUGAAAGAUUCGGUUCAUCACCACUUGGAACGUGGCAGGGGCAUUAGUCAGCCCAAAAGGUGGGACAACAUAUUUAUAGUGUCCCAGGGGAGUACGAAACGCUGUCAGCGGUACAUCCUCUGCUCGAAUCUUUAUUUGAUGGUAUCCCUGUUGUAAGUCAAUGGAGGAGUAGAUCACACUACCUCCCAGACUAUCCACCAAAUCAUCUAUCCGCGGCAACGGAUACCGGUUUUUAACCGUUUGUGCGUUCAGCCCUCGAUAAUCCACCACCAUGCGUAACGUUCCGUCCUUCUUUCCCACGAAGAGGAUCGGAGCUGCCCAUGGAGAUGCGCUAGGGCGAAUCAUCCCCUUUUGCAUCAGGUCAGUUACUUGACGUUUCACCUCCUCCAGCUCAGCGGGAGUCAACCGAUAUAAUGGGCGAGAUACCGGUGUUGCACCUGGUUGCAACGGAAUGGUAUGUUCCACGGGUCUAUCUGGUGGUGGCCCCUUCAGGUCCUGAAAGAUCAUUUCGUAUUUUGCAAUCAGUGCUCUGAACUCCGGGUCUAGCGUUUGCUCAGUAGCGUUGAUUGUGCGCGGUAUUCCAGCCUGUGGGGACUCCGGGUCUUGCGUUUGUCCAACACUGGUGGCGCGCUGCGAUUCAGGCAAUGCAACGGGCUCCGGGUUUUUCGUCUGUCCGGCAUUGACUGCGGCAGCGGUAACCGCUUCAUGCCACCGCCGGUUGGCUGACUCUGCGCUUCACCCGCUUUUGUUUGCGCUUGAGCCGCUGCCUGUUUCAGUACGGCUUCAGCUCGUACUAGUGGUCGGACGAGCAAAGAAUGCGCCCCCUUGCGCAUAAGGCUUUUCGCUUCCUUGCGAGUAGCCGUUUUGACGCUUGCUCGAUUCAUGAACGAAGCGAUUACGUGGUGAACUUCAUGCUCCGUAGGUACCGUCGCGGACACCGUCCCUGGCGUAUCCUGCUGCUGCUGAGCUAUCCGACCAAAUUUGACACGGUAACUGAGGUCCCUUUUGCGAAAACGGACUUGACUUUUCUCAAAGUCCAGAUUCACCUUAUACCGUUCCAUGGUAUACGCGCCAACGAUCACGUCUGCCGUUGCCGUCAGGUUGGGCAGUAUCAGCGCAGGAACUUGAACCCGCAUUCGACCAAGCUUCAGCCUUAGCAAGGCCUGGCCGAGGAUAGGUGUAUUACUUCCGUCGUAUGUAAUGUAAUGUAAUGUGUAAUGUUACAGAGUGGGAGGCUUCUGGGCCGCUUUAUCACAUUGUCAGUUCUAGAUCAUUUAUCACCUUAUAGCACCAUCCACCACUACCACACUGUACUUCGCCAUACGAACUGCAAGUCCAAGGCGGCGGAUCCAGCCUUCAGGGACCCCUCCUCAUCCAUUCACCCGAACAUCCGAAGAGACAGAGGGUUCGGCAAUCGCCACCAAUCCAGCGUGCGAAUCUGGUCCAUCAACUGUGACCUCAACUCCACAUCUCAGCAGCUAGCCAUAAUCUCGCGCUCCCGACUAAUUCGGGGGUCUCCCCAGGAAUCGAACCCAGGACCUUAAACCGCGAAUCGCAGUAGUGUCAAUCCAGACCAGACCAGACAUCCAUGUGAAUGAGCGCGAGAGGCUGCGCUGCCUUAUGCCCAGAUAACGGAAAAGGACCACGUGUAUGCUUUGCAAGGACGCAAGUCUCACACACACACACGCUGGCUGAUGGUAUGCUGUGUCGGUCAACAUCGAACCCAGUUACCAUAUUGUGACGCAGCAACGCCUCAAGGUUGCUGUAUCCCAAGUGGCCAUACCGUCGGUGCCAAAGUCGGUGCCAACGUUCAGCUCCGAUACCCACGGCAGCACACACAGCAUCACCAUCUGUUGUCUUCACGCUACGUCCACUUCAGAGCGCCCGUACCUCCACUGCUGUAGCAGACGGGAUACAAGUCCCCAUCCCGCUUUCCAGUCAGCACCAUCUGGUUCUGUAUGUAUACUUUCACCUGUCCGCCGCCGAAGACCACACUGCCUCCACGAUCAUCAAUGAUGCGGAACGAUAGGAUUUUGGCAGUGGCCUCCUCGUCGACGUAGACCUUCUUAAAAGUGAUGGCCUGUUUAUCGUUGACGUUAGACCGAAUCAUAAGCGUGCCAACUUCAGUCGGCCGAAGAGACUGUCCCUUGAUGCCCAUGAUGUUGAAGUGCUCCCAUGGCUCCAACAACCGCACGUUGAGAAGUUCUGAACGGUCAUACGUUAUGUGAUGAGUGGCGGCUGAGUCCAGGAACCACCCCGUCGGACGCUCACCGUUGUAAGCUGUGAACGCAACCUGCCGCGGGAAUCCUGAUCCCCUUCCAGACCCACCGGGCCCAGGCUUGCUGCCGCUAGCUCCGCUGCCGUGAUAGGCGAUGCCUCGGCCCUGCCUCGACCUUGCCUAGGCCGUGCCUCGACCUUGCCUCGACCGUGCCUCGACCUUGCCUCGGAUCUCUCGGCCGCGUAUCUCGGACGUGUCCUCAGGUCCAGGGAUGGUGGACGACUGUACGAUACUUACGUUGGUAUCGGUACAUAAGACCAAAGUGGUGCAUGUCUUUCUAUCUCAUCUUCGGAUGGAUCGGUAUUCCUUCAUAGGAAUCUCCUAAAGUCUUCUUGCCGUUCACCACUAACCCACAGACUGUAACCCUUAUAUCGCGACCAGUCUCCUUGCCUUCAUAUUCUUAACAGGUUAUGAGCCCCGGCUCACGCUAGCAGCAUCUACCUCUAAUACUCGUAUUCCACAAUGGGGAAGGGCAAGCUUGACGAGCCUCUGCACUUGAACAACUACGCCACCUGGCAAAUUCGGUUCAGCACGCUGUGUAUGGAGCUUGGGCUUCAGCAGUCCUUGCUCGCCGAGCCGGGAAACGAGGAGCAGAUUCGACAAUCUCGUAAGGUUAUCAACCUGCUCAUCAAGAAUGUUAAAGAUCACCAUUUGCCGAUGGUUACGGGUGCUGCGAACGCGAAGAGGGCAUGGGACGCUCUGGCCGCGAUGUUUGUCGCCAACAAUAACGCACGCAAGGUAGCUCUCCGUCAAGAGUUCAGCCGUUUUAAGAUGGUCGACGGCGAGCCGCUAUCCAAGUACUUAGGCUUGUUGGGAGUGGGGCACGUUAUCAGCGACUCGGAGCUGGCGUACACAUACACAGUGCUGGUUGGUUUGUCCAGCCGCUUCAGCAUGGUAACGACAUCCCUACUGGUGCAUGACGGCGAUUUGGACAUGGCUAUCGUCACCUCGAAGUUCUUGACUCUCGAGAUGGCAAGCGGUCGGUCUGGUACGCCUACCGAGUCGGCAGCUUAUGCUUCUGUCGGCGGUUUUUCGUUUGGCGCCUCUGGUUCUGGUCUUGAAAAUCGUGGCGCGGCCAGCAGCAGUUCUGGCGUUCCUCCCAAAGAGGUGACUUCCUUCUAUUGCAGCGAACCUGGGCCCGGUGGGUCUAGCAAGGGAUCAGUUUUCCCGAGGCAGGUUGCGUUUGUAGCUUACAAGAGUAAGCAUCUAAGGGAUCCUGGUCGAAUAUGGGAAUGGAGGACAGCAUCGUGUGCUGUACAAGGAUGGCAUCAUCGCCGUGGUCUCCAACGUCCGCUUUGACGGGUUUGCCGUGGUCUCCGCUUUGACGAGUUUAGUGUCGGUCAGCGGCAUAGUGCCUGUUGAGGAAACGGUCCUCUCCCAACUCGUGUGGUUGUCGACCAGGGGAUUUGACCCCGGGUCUGCGCCUGACUAAUGGGGAAGACUUACCCCAGAACCUUAUGGGGCUACCGAUGCAUAUCCGGUAGCUAAGUGAUAGACAUUAGGGCACCGUCUGGAAGGCGCAGUGAGAUCACGGAAUGUACGUGCAGCUAGAUCGCGGAAUGUACGAGUUUUCCGCUAGCGCCGGUAUUUAGGGCGGUGACUGCGCCUAAUAGUUUAUCUCACAACGAUCGGUAUUCCUACCAGGAAUCUCCUCAAGUCCUGCCGAACGCUAACAAUACUCUUUACAUUACUUGUAACAAGUUUAUCGUGCUAAAUAUCUUCGCCACCGGCAAUCCUUCCGGAAUAACAAUCAGCGUUAGCCGUCACCGUCGCCAAUUCUUCAAUAGUGCCAAGGAUUCCGAUGAUGGGUCCGAUGCCGACGAGGGUUGUGUUCCUUGAGGGGUCGCUGCCUAAGGCUGCCGAAUGGACAUCAGGCAAUCGCCGCCUUUGUGUGGCGAGGGGGCGCUGGCUGGGGCUGGACCUCCCAGAAGUGUGAAUGUGCAAGGAAAUACACACCCUGAUGUGGAAAUGCUGGGGGCUCGGUAUUCAGUUAGGGAAUGCAAACGUCCUAGCGAGUGGUUACGGAGUGUACCUGGUCGUAGUGCUACAGGCCGAGUCAUUGCUGCAGUAUCUGCUGGGAUUCAGAGCCUAACGUUUAUGCCGAACCCAUCUCAGGCCCACAUGCAGACGACUGGCGGCCGUGAGUGCCGUGAAUAUUUUGUAUCCAGUCGACCCAACUGGACAGCGUGGAUUGCAGCAGGCGAUCAUUUGCUGCAACUACCAACAAACGGGCCGUAUAGCUCGGAGUUGCAGAGAGAGCCGCAGCCUAACGUGCAAGGAGUGGAGGUGGUCUUGCCGACUACACGUGGCAGGUGGGGUAGCAUGCCUCAACAGACAGGCGGCGGCAAUGCAGUGAUGCCGUGUAUGUUUUUGCUGCAAGAUACGAACCACUAUAAGUUGUCUGACAUCGAAGCGGCUAGUACCGGUGUACCUGAGUCAGGGCCUUUGCCAGCGGCAAGCCAGCGCAGGAGUUCAGAAGACGAGGGCAGGGAAUAUGAGGAUAUAUCGUGGCCCUUGGAGUGGUGGUGUGAUGAUGCAGGAUGCAGGAUAGGACGUCACAUUCACGUGGCUGUCACUGAUCCGAACCCUGCUGAACUUUUGCUGAGUAAUACUUUCACUGAAGCCAUUUCAGGAGCAAAUGCAAAUGAGUGGCGCAGAGGGAUGGUCGAGCAGAUUGCUGCAUUAGCAGCUAACGGCACUUGUGAGCUGUGUGCACAGCCUCUUGAUGUGCUAAUGUACCGGUGGUUGUACAAGUUAAAAUGUGUGGAAGGUGACACUAUCAAGCGCUUUUUUGCAUGGCUAGGUGCAAAGAUGUACGAGAAGUACGAGAACUUGGAGCGAGCGCAGGUGUUAUCAUCGGGCAUGGAAAUACUGAGGAUGAAGCCGGCUGAAUUAGUGUUGUCGCAAUAUUGAGCAGCUAUUGGAGCGUCACCAGACGGUUAACGCCAAGCCACGGUCUACCCCUUUGCCUCCGCGUUUUAGGUGCACACCUACGGGGGAUAGAGAUGAGCUGCUGGAUCCCACGGAGUAUAGCGUUUUGGUAGGAAAGUUGAACUACCUAGCGACGAACACGCGGCCUGACAUUUCUUAUGCAUUGAGUGUUUUGUCCCGGCAUAUGGCCACACCUACGAAGAGUGCCAUGAACUUGGCAACUGGUGCUCUGCGUUACCUGGCGGGUACUCGCGAACUAGGAUUGCGUUUUGGGGGUGUUGGCGACAUUGAGAUGUCUGGGUAUAGCGAUUCUGACUGGGCAGGAGACCCAGUUACGCAGCGUUCUACGUCCGGUUACGUAUUCACUCUUAAUGGGGCUGAGAUUAGCUGGAGCAGCCAACUUCAACGUACUGUGGCGGCUUCGUCGUUGGAGGCCGAGUACCAAGCUACAGCGGCGGCUGUUCGUGAAGCUUUGUGGCUUCGCAAGCUGAUGGUCGAUUUGGGCUUGCCUGAUAGCGCGGUGAAAAUCCAGAUAGACUCCCAGGGGGCGCUUAGCUUGGGAAAUAAUCCGAUUACGUCUGCUCGGUCGAAGCACAUCGACGUGCAGCACCACAUAGUGCGUGAGAGGGUGAAUGAGGGGAGGUGCAGUUGGAGUACUGCCCUACAGAGUGGAUGGUAGCGGAUGCGCUCACGAAGGCACUGGGAGAAGUGAAGUUCAAACAGUGCAGAGAAGCUAUGGGCGUUGUGUGAAGUGCCCAUUGGCGGGGCAAAUGUGCUGCUGCGAGUUGGGAUAUGUCCCGAGGGGGCGUGUUGAAGGACGGUCCUAUCCCAACGUAGAUAGGUGGUAGUUAGGCGAUGAAUCCGCCGUGAUAGGCGAUGCCUCGGCCGUGCCUCGACCUUGCCUAGGCCGUGCCUCAACCUUGCCUCGGCCGUGCCUCGACCUUGCCUCGGGUCUCUCGGCCGCAUAUCUCGGUCGUGUCCUCAGGUCCAGGGAUGGUGGAAGACUGUACAAUACUUCCGUUGGUAUCGGUACAUAAGGCAAAAGUUAAGCAAGUCUUUCUAUCUCAUCUUCGGAUGGAUCGGUAUUUCUUCAUAGGAAUCUCCUAAAGUCUUCUUGCCGUUCACCACUAACCCACAGACUGUAACCCUUAUAUCGCGACCAGUCUCCUUGCCUUCAUAUUCUUAACAGGUUAUGAGCCCCGGCUCACGCUAGUAGCUUACAUAGCUAACGCAAAGAAGGCAUAGCACGCCUGCAAGCAACUACAGUCGGACUUAAUUGGGAGUAGGACACGUUAUCAGCGAUUCUGAGCGGGCACACACUUUGCUUGUUGGUUUGCCCAGCCGCUUCAGCAUGGUAACGACAUCCCUACUGGUGCGUGACAGCGAUUCGGACAUGGCUAUCGUCACCUCGAAGUUCUUGACUCUCGAGAUGGCAAGCGGUGGGUCUGGUACGCCUACCGAGUCGGCAGCUUAUGCUUCUGUCGGCAGUUUUUCGUUUGGCGCCUCUGGUCUUGGGAAUCGUGGCGCAGCCAGCAACAGUUCUGGCGUUCCUCUCAAAGAGGUGAUUUGCUUCUAUUUCAGCAAGCCUGGGCCCGGUGGGUCUAGCAAGGGAUCAGUUUUCCCGAGGCAGGUUGCGUUUGUAGCUUACAAGAGUAAGCAUCUAAGGGAUCCUGGUCGAAUAUGUGAAUGGAGGACAGCAUCGUCUGAUGUACAAGGACGGCAUCAUCGCCGUGGUCUCCAACGUCCGCUUUGAUGAGUUUGCCGUGGUCUCCAUUGUCCGCUUUGAUGAAGUUUAGUGUCGGCCGGCGGCUUAUGCCAGCGCACGAGUACAGAAGACGAGGGCAGGGAAUAUGAGCCAUCGGAGUGGUGGCAUGGUGUUGCAGGAAGGAGGAUAGGUCGUAUUAACGUCGUAUUAACGUGGCUGUCACUGAUCCGUACCCUGCUGAACGUUUGGUGAGUAAUACUUUCACUGAAGCCAUUUCAGGUGCAAGUGUAAAUGAGGGGCGCAGAGUGAUGGUCGAGGAGAUUGCUGCAUUAGCAGCUAACGGCACUUGUGAGCUGUGUGCACAGCCUCUUGAUGUGCCAAUGUACCGGUGGUUGUACAAGUUAAAAAGAGUGGAAGGUGACACGGUCAAGCGCUCUUUUGCAUGGCUAGUUGCAAAGAUGUACGAAUAGUACGACACCUUGGAGAAGCGAAGGUGUUUUUGGGCAUGGAGAUUAGGAGGGAGAAGUCGGGUGAGAUAUUGUUGUCGCAGCAUAGGUAUAUUGAGCAGCUGUUGGAGCGUCAUAGGAUGGUUGACGCCAAGACACGGUCUACCCCUUUGCCUCCGGGUUUUAGGUGCACACCUACGGGGGAUACAGAUGAGCUGCUGGAUAAUCCCACGGAAUAUAGGGCUUUGGUGGGAAAGUUGAACUACCUAGCGACGAACACACGGCCGGACAUUUCUUAUGCAUUGAGUGUUUUGUCCCGGCAUAUGGCCACACCUACGAAGAGUGCCAUGAACUUAGUUAACAAGGUCUGCGUUACCUGGCGGUUACUCGCGAGCUAGGAUUGCGUUUUGGGGGUGUUGGCGGUGUUGCAAUGUCCGGGUACAGCGAUUCGGACUGGGCAGGAGACCCAGUUACGCGGCGUUCUACGUCCGGUUAUGUAUUCACUCUUAAUGGGGCUGCGAUUAGCUGGAGCAGCCAACUUCAACGUACUGUGGCGGCUUCGUCGUUGGAGGCCGAGUACCAAGCUACAGCGGCGGCUGUUCGUGAAGCUUUGUGGCUUCGCAAGCUGAUGGUCGAUUUGGGCUUGCCUGAGAGCUCGGUGAAAAUCCAGAUAGACUCCCAGGGGGCGCUUAGCUUGGGAAAUAAUCCGAUUACGUCUGCUCGGUCGAAACACAUCGACGUGCAGCACCACAUAGUGCGUGAGAGGGUGAAUAGCGGGGGGGUGCAGUUGGAGUGUUCCUUGAGUAUUCCUUCAUAGGAAUCUCCUAAAGUCUUCUUGCCCUUCACCACUAACCCACAGACUGUAACCCUUAUAUCGCGACCAGUCUCCUUGCCUUCAUAUUCUUAACAGAAAUGGACAACUGCUUUAGUGCCUUCAACUUCCUGCAGUCCUUAAUCCGGGAGUUUUGCAAUUGUGACAAAACAAAUGUUUGGGGGGACCGCCAGAACUACUGCUGGCCGCGCCGUGAUUCCUAAGACCAGAACCAGAGGCGCCAAACGUGAGACCGCCGACAGAAGCAAAAGCUGCUGACUCGGUAGGCUUGACCCACUGCUUGCCACCUCGAUAGCCAAAAGAUUGGAGGUGACGCUCGCAAUGUCCAAAUCGCCAUCACGCUGUUAAGACCAGCAAAGCGCCGGACCCCCGUUGGGUCCUAUUACUGUGGCUACCAUUCACUGGUACAUGAGUGUCGGUCAUUUCCAACACCCCCCCGUGAGCGACACUCUCUCGCUCCGGGCCUUCCCGUGCCUCAUCCCGGUCUCCCAUUCUCUGGGCAACAGCCAAUGGGUAUCGAUCCGGCGACCUCUCGGCAAAAAUGCGCCAUUCGGGGCUCAUAACCUAUUGGAGAAAUGGCGACGGUGACGGCUAACGCUGAUUGUUAUCUGGGAAGAAUUGCCGGUGGCGAAGAUAUUUAGCACGAUAAAAUGUUACAAGUUAUGUAAAGAGUAUUAUUAGCGUUCGGCAGGACUUGAGGAGAUUCCUUUGAGGAAUACCGAUCGUUGUGAGAUAAACAAAUAAGCGCAGUCACCGCCCUAAAUACCGGCGCUAGCGGAAAACUCGUACAUUCCGCGAUCUAACUGCACGUACAUUCCGCGAUCUCACUGCGCCGUCCUGACGGUGCCCAAUGUCUAUCACUUAGCUACCGGAUAUGCAUCGGUAGCCCAUAAGGUUCUGGGGUAAGUCUUCCCCAUUAGUCAGGCGCAGAUCCGGGGUCAAAUCCCCUGGUCGACAACCACACGAGUUGGGAGAUGACCGUUUCCUCACCUAUUGGUCUUGAUACCACGCCCCCUCGGGCCGUAUCCCAACGAGUACCAAGUUCAUCUGCACACUUCACACAAGGCCCAUCGCAUCUCGGCAACGUUUGAACUUCACCUCGCCCAGAGCCUUCGUUAGCACAUCCGCAACCAUCCACUCCGUAGGGCAGUAUUCCAACUGCACCUCACCACUAUUCACCCUCUCACGCACUAUGUGAUGCUGCACGUCGAUGUGCUUCGACCGAGCAGACGUAAUCGGGUUAUUUCCCAAGCUAAGCGCCCCCUGGGAAUCUAUUUGGAUUCUGAUAGCGCUCUCAGGCAAACCCAAAUCAACCAUCAGCUUGCGAAGCCACAAAGCCUCGCAAACAGCUGCUGCUGUCGCUUGAUACUCGGCCUCCACCGACGAAGCCGCCACAGUACGUUGAAGUUGGCUGCUCCAGCUAAUCGCAGCCCCAUUAAGAGUGAAAACGUAGCCGGACGUAGAACGCUGCGUAACUGGGUCUCCUGCCCAGUCAGAAUCGCUAUACCCAGACAUCUCAAUGUCGCCAACACCCCCAAAACGCAAUCCUAGUUCGCGAGUCCCCGCCAGGUAACGCAGAACGCCGAUUGCUAAGUUCAUGGCAGUCUUCGUAGGUGCGGCCAUAUGCCGGGACAAAACGCUCAAUGCAUAUGAAAUGUCAGGCCGCGUGUUCGUCGCCAGAUAGUUCAAUUCUCCCACCAAAGCCCUAUACUCGGUGGGAUUGCCCAGCAGCUCCUCUCCGUCCCCCUUAGGAGUGUACCUAAAGCCCGGAGGCAAAGGGGUAGACCUCGGCUUGGCGUCAAUCAUCCUAUGACGACCUUCGCUUCUCCAAGGUCGCGCACCUUGAAGACCUUCGCAAUUGCGGCUUUAAUUGCCCGGACCAUUUCCGGGUCUUCCGACGCAACAAUAGUGUCAUCUACGUGCACCAAAGCAAUAACAACCCCACGCUCGUCAGUCUUAACGAACAUCGCCGGAUCAGACUUCGAAGGAUAAAGACCCAACUUGGCGAACUCUGCUGAUAGUUUUUCAUACCAGCAACGGGGUGCCUGCUUUAAACCGUAAAUAGACUUCUGCAGCUUGCACGCAAGCGACCGGUCACUGGAUGCAUACCCAGGCGGUUGCUCCAUCCACAACUCCUCCUUCAGCUCACCAUUCAGAAACGCAGUAGACACAUCGAGCUGAUGUACCGUCAUGUUCCGGGCUGCGGCAACUUCUAAUAAAGCACGCAAUGACGAACCACGAGAGGUAGGGGCAAACAACUCGGCGGCUGGCAGAAGUUAAGGCCUGGCUUCUGCUCCCGUCGCGUCCCGGCGCGUCCGGGUUCAAAUCCGCCUGCCGACCUCUCGGGGUGUUUGAGAGGUGAUGAAAUGGGAGGUGGCCCCCCAUCUUGUGGACGAUGUAGGACGUGAUAAAAUCAACUCGCGAGCUGACCAGGAAUUAAGUUGACGCGCCGUUGAUCCGCUAGAUUUGGUUGGAUGCUGGUGGUGAGUUGCCAAACUCAAAGAGUACACUCUGAAGUCGGAUGGGGUGAAUGGCUUAGGGUGCCCCUCUAGCAGGGGAGAGCAGGGAAUUGCCUCGGGAAGGAGGCCACUGGUGAAGCUUAACCACCCUGUAACAACAUCAACUCCCCAUAAUCAAUCCCCUCGCGUUGCUCGAAACCCUUGGCAACUAAACGCGCCUUAAAACGCUCCACGCUGCCGUCAUCGCUGUACUUAACCUUAUAUACCCAACGACACGGCAACAAACGAGUACCAGGAGGUGGCUUCUUCAACUCCCAAGUACUAUUAGCCAUCUGGGCGGCGAUCUCCUCGUCCAUCGCACGCCGCCAGUCGUCUGCAUGUGCACUCGCAAUGGCUUCCGCAAAAGAAUUCGGUUCGGGAAUAUCAGUAGAGAAAGCAGCGUUAACGCGACCAGUAACAGUGCGACCAGGUUCAUUUCGCCACCAUUCGCCAGGGCGUUUACGCUCUCUAACUGGGUACCUAGUUCCCGCCAUUUCCACAUCAGGCUGAUUGAUUCCUUGCCCGUUCGCACUGCUGGAAGGUCCAGCCCCAGCCGGCGCCCCCUCGCCACCCAAAUGCGGCGAUCCCUCGCCGACGGUGCUACCUGGUGUCCCUUCGCCAGCCCUAGGCAGCGAUCCCUCACCAGAUAAACUAGUGCGAAACUCCCCUCUUCGUGGGCAUCGACUUAUAUCGGAGUCCCCGGCAUUACGCCGCCGCCGGACAUUAAGAUUCAUCGAAACGAACGUUAGAAACUAUGGCAAUAAUGCCGUCCACGUAUAGCACACGAUAUUGUCUUCCGUUCCCGUAUCCAACAAGUAUUCCAGGCCUGCUCACCGGGUCGAACUUGUCGCGCUUGACGUCGGGUACGUGGACGUAGGCAACGCAUCCUAAGACUCGCAUGUGACUGACGUUCGGACGAACAUUAAAGAAAGCUUCGUACGGAGUGACGGUUGACCCAGCAGUUGGCGACACAUUCCUAAGAUAGUUGGCUGUCGCUAACGCCUCUGCCCAUAAUGAUUUAGGCAGUCCAGAUUCAACGAGCAUAGCCCUAGUCUUGUCCAAAAGAGUGCGAUUUAAACGUUCCGCAGCUCCGUUCUGCUCAGGGGUGUAGCCUACCGUGUACAAUACCCCUGGAAGCGAAAUAGCCCUUCGUGCGAGUAUUAACGAACUCCCCGCCACGAUCUGUACGCACCUCCUUAACCUGCCUGCCAGUAGCGCGCUCCAGUUCCGCUAUCAUUACCACCAUCUUCUGGUAGACCUCCUCCUUGGUCGCUGUAAACGCAACAGCUGAAAGACCAGUAUGAUCGUCAAGCAGAGUUGUCACGUAACGCGAACCACUAGGCGAAGGUUCAGGCAUAGGUCCACACACAUCCAUGUGAAUGAGUGCGAGAGGCUGCGCUGCCUUAUGCCCAGUUAGCGGAAAAGGACCACGUGUAUGCUUAGCAAAGACGCAAGUCUCACACACACACGCGCUGGCUGAUUGUAUGCUGUGUCGGUCAACAUCGAAUCCAGCUACCAUAUCAUGACGCAGCAGCGCCUCAAGGUUGCUGUAUCCUAAGUGGCCAUACCUUCGGUGCCAAAGUGCUGCACGUUCAGCUCCGAUACCAACGGCAGCACACACUGCAUCACCACCAGAAGGUAUCCUGUUGUCUUAACGCUGCGUCCACUUCAGAGCGCCAGUACCUCCACUGCUGUAGUAGACGGGAUACAAGUCCCCAUCCCGCUUUCCAGUCAGCACCAACUGAUUCUGGAUGCCACGAACGCUACCUGCCGCGGAACUCCUGGUCCCCUAGCUGAUCUACCGGAUCCUGGCUUGCUGCCGCUAGCUCCGCUGCCACUAGCUCCGCUGCCACUAGCUCCGCUGCCACUGUUGUUGUAGCCACCCUUAUAUCCAGAAUUUGACGACUGCUUCAGCGCUUUAAGCUGCCUGCAGUCCCUUACCACGUGCCCAGGCUUAUUACAGUAGUAGCAGAUGAGUUGCUUCCGACUGUGUCCCGAGCUGUUGUUAGCCGGCCCCCGGCUACCAUAACCAGAAGUAGAAGCGCCGAACGUAGAUCCGCCGACAGACGCGAAGGCUGCCGACUCGGUAGGCUUGCCCGACCCACCGUUAGCCGUCUCGAUAGAGAGAAGCUUUGCUGUGACGCUCGCCAUGUCCAAAUCGCCGUCACGCAUUAGUAAUGUAGUCGUCACCACGCUGUACCGACUGGGUAGACCAACCAGGACGGUGUACGUGUCGUUAAUUACGUGGCCGACUCCCAAUAAAUCUGUUUGCAGCUGCCUUGCACGCGCAAAGUACAUCGGAAGAGGUUCGCCGUCGACCAUCUUAAAACGGCUGAAUUCUUGACGUAGAGAAACCUUGCGGGCGUUGUUGUUGGCAGCAAACCUGGAACUAAGUUGAUGCGCCGUUGAUCCGCUAGAUUUGGUUGGAUGCUGGUGGUGAGUUGCCGAACCCAACGAAUACAUUCUGAAGUCGGAUGGGGUGACGGAUUAGGGUGCCCCUCUAGCAGGGGAGAGCAGGGACUGCCCCGGGAAAGGGGGCCGCUGGCGAAGUUAACCACCCUGUAACAACAUAGAGCCCAAGGCGUCCCAGGCCUUCUUCGCGUUGGCAGCACCGGUAACCAUUGGCAAGUGGUGAUCCUUGACGUUCUUGAUAAGCAGAUUGAUGACCUUUCGUGAUUGUCGAAUCUGCUCCUCGUUGCACGGCUCGGCGAGCAAGGAUUGCUCAAGCCCAAGCUCCAUGCACAUCGCGCUAAACCGGAUUUGCCAGGUGGAGUAGUUGUGGAGGUCCAGCGGCUCAUCAAGCUUGUCCUUGACCAUUGUUGAUUAGGGAUAGAAAUAACAAUCAGACGAUAGCUGUCGGCGCUAGGCGGGGCUCAUAACCUAUUGGAGACCAGCAGGGACGUCGUUACCAUGUUGAAGCGGCUGGGUAGACCAACCAGCACUGCGUACGCCAGCUCCGAGUCGCUGAUAACGUGCCCCACUCCCAACAAGUGUGACUGUAAUUGCCGUGCACGUGCAAAGUACUUGGGUAGCGGCUCGCCGUCGACCAUCUUGAAACGGCUGUACUCUUGACGGAGAGCUACCUUGCGUGCGUUAUUGUUGGCGACAAACAUCGCGGCCAAAGCUUCCCAUGCUUCCCAUUCGCGUUCACAGCACCCGUAACCAUCGGCAAAUCUUUAACAUUCUUGAUGAGCAGGUUGAUAACCUCACGAGAUUGUCGAAUCUGUUCCUCGUUUCCCGGCUCGGCGAGCAAGGACUGCUCAAGCCCAAGCUCCAUACACAGCGUGCUGAACCGAAUUUGCCAGGUGGCGUAGUUGUUCAAGUCUAGAGGCUCGUCAAGCUUGUCCUUCCCCAUUGUGGAAUACGAGUAUGAAGGUAGAUGCUGCUAGCGUUAGCCGGGGCUCAUAACCUGUUAAAAAUAUGAAGGAGGCAAGGAGAAUGGUCGCGAUAUAAGUAUUACAGUCGGUAGGUGAGUGGUGAACGGCAGAAAGACUUUAGGAGAUUCCUACUAAGGAAUACCGAUCCAUACAAAGAUGAGAUACCAAGACUUGCAUAACUUGUGUCUUAUAUACCAGUACCAAUGGAAGUAUCGUUCAGUCGCCCACCAUCUAUCUAUCGUACAGUCGCCACCAUCUAUCGGAUUCAUCGCCUAUCUACCACCUAUCUACGUUGGGAUAGGACCAGGAUUCCAAAGGCUGAUUUCAUUCAUGGCAUACGGUGAGCAUCCGAUGGUUUCUGGACUCAGCAUUAAUGCAUCACAUCACCCCUGACCCCUCUGAGUUAUUUAACGUGUCUUUGUGUUGCAAAUGACCGACACUCAUAUACCAGUGAAUGGUAGCCGNNNNNNNNNNNNNNNNNNNNNNNNNNNNNNNNNNNNNNNNNNNNNNNNNNNCCAUUCACUGGUAUAUGAGUGUCGGUCAUUUGCAACACAAAGAGGCACACAACACACUGGGGGUUGGAGCAGUGGGAGCACUUCAAUAUCAUGGGCAUCAAGGGUCAAGCUUUGCAUCCAAUUGCAACGGUGGUCGGCUCACUCAUUAUUCCAGCCAACAUCAACGACAAACAGGCCAUUUCUUUCAAUAAGGUCUACUUUGGUGAGGAGGCAACAGUCAAGGUCUUGUCAGUUCCACGCACCAUCAAUGUAUUGGAGAAUUGGCGACGGUGACGGCUGACGCUUGUUGUUAUUCCGGAAGGAUUGCCGGCGGCGAAGAUAUUGAACACGAUAAACUGUUACAAGUAAUAUAAGGAGUAAUAGUAUGCGUUUGGCAGGACUUUAGGAGAUUCCGUUUGAGGAAUACCGAUCGUUGUGAGAUAAAGAAAUAAGCGCAGUCACCGCCCUAAAUACCGGUGCUAGCGGAAAACUCGUACAUUCCGCGAUCUCACUGCACGUACAUUCCGCAAUCUCACUGCGCCGUCCUGACGGUGCCCAAAUGUCUAUCACUUAGCUACCGAAUAUGCAUCGGUAGCCCCAUAAAGUUCUGGGGUAAGUCUUCCCCAAUAGUCAGGCACAGACCCGGGGCCAAAUCCCCUGGUCGACAACCACACGAGUUGGGAGAGGACCGUUUCCUCAACACGCCCCCUCGGGCCGUAUCCCAACGAGUACCAAGUUCAUCAGCACGCUUCACACAAGGCCCAUCGCACCUCGGCAACGUUUGAAUUUCACCUCGCCCAGAGCUUUCGUGAGCACAUCCGCAACCAUCCACUCCGUAGGGCAGUAUUCCAACUGCACCUCACCGCUAUUCACCCUCUCACGCACUAUGUGAAGCUGUACGUCGAUGUGCUUCGACCGAGCAGACGUAAUCGGGUUAUUUCCUAAGCUAAGCGCCCCCUGGGAAUCUAUUUGAAUCUUGAUAGCGCUCUCAGGCAAACCCAAAACGACCAUCAGCCUGUGAAGCCACAAAGCUUCACGAACAGCUGCCGCUGUAGCUUGAUACUCGGCCUCCACCGACGAAGCCGCCACAGUACGUUGAAGUUGACUGCACCAGCUAAUCGCAGCCCCAUUUAGAGUAAAAACGUAUCAGGAAGUAGAAUGCCGUGUAAACGGGUCUCCUGCCCAGUCAGAAUCGCUAUACCCAGACAUCUCAAUGUCGCCAACACCCCCAAAACGCAAUCCUAGUUCGCGAGUACCCGCCAGGUAACGCAGAAUGCCGGUUGCCAAGUUCAUGGCAGUCUUUGUAAGUGUGGCCAUAUGCCGGGACAAAAGACUCCAUGCAUAAGGAAUGUCAGGGCGAGUGUUAGUCGCUAGGUAGUCCAACUUUCCCACCAAAGCCCUAUGCACCAUGGGAUCCAGCAGCUCAUCUCUAUCCCCCGUGCACCUAAAACCCGGAGCCAAAGGGGUAGACCGUGGCUUGGCGUCCACCGUCUGGUGACGCUCCAAUAGCUGCUCAAUAUUGCGACAACACUAAUUCACCCGGCUUCAUCAUCAGUAUUUCCAUGCCCGAAAACACCUGCGCUUCUCCAAGUUCUCGUACUUCUCUUACAUCUUUGCACCUAGCCAUGCAAAAAAGCGCUUGACCUUCCACUCUUUUCAACUUGUACAACCACCGGUACAUUAGGACAUCAUGAGGCUGUGCACACAGCUCACAAGUGCCGUUAGCUGCCAAUGCAGCAAUCUCCUCGACCAUCACUCUGCGCCACUCAUUUGCAUUUGCACCUGAAAUGGCUUCAGUGAAAGUAUUACUCAGCAAAAAUUCAGCAGGGUACGGAUAAGUGACAGCCACGUUAAUGCGACCUACUAUCCUCCUUCCUGCAACACCAUGCCACCACUCCGAGGGCUAUAAUAUCUCCUCAUAUUCCCUGCCCUAUUCUUCUGAACUCCUGCGCUGGCUUGCACCACUAGAUGUUCCGGCUUCAUCCGGCAUUCCUUCACCAUCCACAGGUGACAGUGGUGCCUAGCCGACUGUGAGGCCCUGACUCAGGUACACCAAUACUAGCCGCUACAAAACUUUCACGGCACUCACGCCCGCCAGUCGUCUGCAUGUGGGCCUGAGAUGCCUUCGGCAUAAAUGUUAGGCUCUGAAUCCCAGCAGAUACUGCAGCAAUGACUCGGCCUGUAGCACUACGACCAGGUACACUCCGUCACCACUCGCCAGGCCGUUUGCAUUCCCUAACUGAAUACCGAGCCCCCAGCAUUUCCACAUCAGUGUGUGUGUUUCCUUCGACAUUCACACGUCUGGGAGGUCCAGCCCCAGCCAGCGCCCCUUCGUCACCCAAAUGCGGCGAUCCCUUGCUGACGGUAUUGCCUGAUGUUGCGAAUGAACAUUCGCUGUUGAGGAAACGGUCCUCUCCCAACUCGUGUGGUUGUCGACCAGGGGAUUUGACCCCGGGUCUGCACCUGACUAAUGUGGAAGACUUACCCCAGAACUUUAUGGGGCUACCGAUGCAUAUCCGGUAGCUAAGUGAUAGACAUUAGGGCACCGUCUGGACGGCGCAGUGAGAUCGCGGAAUGUACGUGCAGUUAGAUCGCGGAAUGUACGAGUUUUCCCCUAGCGCCGGUAUUUAGGGCGGUGACUGCGCCUAUUAGUUUAUCUCACAACGAUCGGUAUUCCUACCAGGAAUCUCCUCAAGUCCUGCCGAACGCUAACAAUACUCUUUACAUUACUUGUAACAGUUUAUCGUGUUUCAUAUCUUCGCCGCCGGCAAUUCUUCCGAGAUAACAAUCAGCGUUAGCCGUCACCGUCGCCAAUUCUUCAAUAGGUUAUGAGCCCCGCCUAGCGCCGACAGCUAUCGCCCAAUUGUUAUUUCUAUCCCUCAUCGACAAUGGUUAAGGACAAGCUUGAUGAGUCGCUGGACCUCAACAACUACUCUACCUGGCAAAUUCGGUUUAGCGCGAUGUGCAUGGAGCUUGGGCUUGAGCAAUCCCUGCUCGCCGAGCCGUGCAACGAGGAGCAAAUUCGACAGUCACGGAAGGUCAUCAAUCUGCUCAUCAAGAACGUCAAGGAUCAUCAUUUGCCGAUGGUUACCGGUGCUGCCUGUUAAGACCAGCAAAGCGCCGGACCCCCGUUGGGUCCUAUUACUGUGGCUACCAUUCACUGGUAUAUGAAUGUCGGUCAUUUCCAACACCCCCCCGUGAGCGACACUCUCUCGCUACGGGCCUUCCCGUGCCUCAUCCCGGUCUCCCAUUCUCUGGGCAACAGCCAGUGGGUAUCGAUCCGGCGACCUCUCGGCAGCGCAAUGCGCCAUUCGGGGCUCAUAACCUGUUAAGACCAGCAAAGCGCCGGACCCCCGUUGGGUCCUAUUACUGUGGCUACCAUUCACUGGUAUAUGAAUGUCGGUCAUUUCCAACACUGCCAACGCGAAGAAGGCCUGGGACGCCUUGGGAUCUAUGGGAUCUAUGUCUGCUCCCGUCGCGUCCCGGCGCGUCCGGGUUCAAAUCCGCCUGCCGACCUCUCGGGGUGUUUGAGAGGUGAUGAAAUGGGAGGUGGCCCCCCAUCUUAUGGACGGUGUAGGACGUGAUAAAAUCAACUCGCGAGCUGACCAGGAACUAAGUUGACGCGCCGUUGAUCCGCUAGAUUUGGUUGGAUGCUGGUGGUGAGUUGCCAAACUCAAAGAGUACACUCUGAAGUCGGAUGGGGUGAAUGGCUUAGGGUGCCCCUCUAGCAGGGGAGAGCAGGGAACUGCCUCGGGAAGGAGGCCACUGGUGAAGCUUAACCACCCUGUAACAACAUCAACAUCAACAACGCCCGGCGGGCGGCUGGCAGAGGUUAAGGCCUGGCUUCUGCUCCCGGCGCGUUACGGCACGUCCGGGUUCAAAUCCGCCUGCCGACCUCUCGGGGUGUUUGAGAGGUGUUGAAAUGGGAGGUGGCCCCCCAUCUUAUGGACGGUGUAGGACGUGAUAAAAUCAACUCGCGAGCUGACCAGGAACUAAGAUGACGCGCCGUUGAUCCGCUAGAUUUGGUUGGAUGCUGGUGGUGAGUUGCCAAACUCAAAGAGUACACUCUGAAGUCGGAUGGGGUGAAUGGCUUAGGGUGCCCCUCUAGCAGGGGAGAGCAGGGAACUGCCUCGGGAAGGAGGCCACUGGUGAAGCUUAACCACCCUGUAACAACAUCAACAACGCCCGCAAGGUGUCUCUACGUCAAGAAUUCAGCCGUUUUAAGAUGGUCGACGGCGAACCUCUCCCGAUGUACUUUGCGCGUGCAAGACAGCUGCAAACAGAUUUAUUGGGAGUCGGCCACGUAGUUAACGACUCCGAGCUGGCGUACACCGUGCUAGUUGGUCUACCCAGUCGGUACAGCGUGGUGACGACUACAUUACUUAUGCGCGACGGCGAUUUGGACAUGGCGAGCGUCACAGCAAAGCUUCUCUCUAUCGAGACGGCUAACGGUGGGUCGGGCAAGCCUACCGAGUCGGCAGCCUUCGCGUCUGUCGGUGGUUCGACGUUCGGCGCUUCUACUUCUGGUUAUGGUAGCCGGGGGCCGGCUAACAACAGCUCGGGACAUAGUCGGAAGCAAGUCACCUGCUACUACUGUAAUAAACCUGGGCACGUGGUUAAGGACUGCAGGCAGCUUAAGGCGCUGAAGCAGUCGUCAAAUUCUGGCUAUAAGGGUGGGUACAACAACAGUGGCAACGGAGGUAGUGGCAGCGGAGCUAGCGGCAGCAAGCCAGGAUCCGGUGGAUCAGCUAGGGGGCCAGGAGUUCCGCGGCAGGUAGCGUUCGUAGCAUAUAACAGUGAGCGUCCGACGGAAUGGUUUCUGGACUCAGCCGCCACUCACCACAUAACGUAUGACCGCUCAGAACUUUUCAACGUGCGGUUGUUGGAGCCAUGGGAGCGCUUCAACAUCAUGGGCAUCAAGGGACAAUCUCUUCGACCGACUGAAGUUGGCACGCUUACGAUUCGGUCUAACGUCAACGAUAAACAGGCCAUCCCUUUCAAGAAGGUCUACGUCGACGAGGAGGCCACCGCCAAAAUCAUAUCGGUCCGCAUCAUUGAUGAUCGUGGAGGCAGUGUGGUCUUCGGCGGCGGACAGGCGAAAGUAUACGUACAGAACCAGUUGGUGCUGACUGGAAAGCGGGAUGGGGACUUGUAUCCCGUCUGCUACAGCAGUGGAGGUACGGGAGCUCUGAAGAGGACGCAGCGUGAAGACAACAGGAUACCUUCUGGUGGUGAUGCAGUGUGUGCUGCCGUGGGUAUCGGAGCUGAACGUGCAGCACUUUGGCACCGAAGGUAUGGCCACUUGGGAUACAGCAACCUUGAGACGUUGCUGCGUCAUAAUAUGGUAGCUGGAUUUGAUGUUGACCGACACAGCAUACAAUCAGCCAGCACGUGUGUGUGUGAGACUUGCGUCCUUGCUACAUACACGUGGUCCUUUUCCGUUAUCUGGGCAUAAGGCAGUGCAGCCUCUCGCGCUCAUUCACAUGGAUGUGUGUGGGCCUAUGCCUGAACCUUCGCCUAGUGGUUCGCAUUACGUGACAACCCUGCUUGACGACCAUACUGGUCUUUCAGCUGUUGAUGUUGUUACAGGGUGGUUAAGCUUCACCAGUGGCCUCCUUCCCGAGGCAAUUCCCUGCUCUCCCCUGCUAGAGGGGCACCCUAAGCCAUUCACCCCAUCCGAUUUCAGAGUGUACUCUUUGAGUUUGGCAACUCACCACCAGCAUCCAACCAAAUCUAGCGGAUCAACGGCGCGUCAACUUAGUUCCUGGUCAGCUCGCGAGUUCAUUUUAUCACGUCCUACACCGUCCACAAGAUGGGGGGCCACCUCCCAUUUCAUCACCUCUCAAACACCCCGAGAGGUCGGCAGGCGGAUUUGAACCCGGACGCGCCGGAACGCGACGGGAGCAGAAGCCAGGCCUUAACGUCUGCCAGCCGCCUGCCUGUUGCGUUUACAGCGACCAAGGAGGAGGUCUACCAGAAGGUGGUGGUAAUGAUAGCGGAACUGGAGCGCGCCACUGGCAGGCAGGUUAAGGAGGUGCGUACAGAUCGUGGCGGGGAGUUCGUUAAUACUCGCACGAAGGCCUAUUUCGCUUCCAGGGGUAUUCUACACGGAACUACGGUAGGCUACACCCCUGAGCAGAACGGAGCUGCAGAACGUUUAAAUCGCACUCUUUUGGACAAGACUAGGGCUAUGCUAGUUGAGUCUGGACUGCCUAAAUCAUUAUGGGCGGAGGCGUUAGCGACAGCCAACUAUCUUAGGAAUGUGUUGCCAACUGCUGGGUCAACCGUCACUCCGUACGAAGCUUUCUUUAACGUUCGUCCGAACGUCAGUCACCUGCGAGUCUUUGGAUGCGUUGCCUACGUCCACGUACCCGACGUCAAGCGUGACAAGUUCGACCCGGUGAGCAGGCGUGGAAUACUUGUUGGAUACGGGAACGGAGGACAAUAUCGUGUGCUAUACGUGGACGGCAUUAUUGCCAUAGUUUCUAACGUUCGUUUCGAUGAAUCUAAUGUCGGCCAGCGGCGUAAUGCCGGGGACUCCGAUUAUGAGUCCGAUGCCGACGAGGAGGAGGAUUUUCGCACUAGUUUGCCUGGUGAGGGAUCGCUGCCUAGGGCUGGCGAAGGGAUACCAGGUAGCACCGUCGGCGAGGGAUCGCCGCACUUGGGUGGCGAGGGGGCGCCGGCUGGGGCUGGACCUUCCAGCAGUGCGAAUGGGCAAGGAAUCAAUCAGCCUGAUGUGGAAAUGGCGGGAACUAGGUACCCAGUUAGAGAGCGUAAACGCCCUGGUGAAUGGUGGCGAAAUGAACCUGGUCGCACUGUUACUGGUCGCGUUAACGCUGCUUUCUCUACUGAUAUUCCCGAACCGAAUUCUUUUGCGGAAGCCAUUGCGAGUCCACAUGCAGACGACUGGCGGCGUGCGAUGGACGAGGAGAUCGCCACCCAGAUGGCUAAUAGUACUUGGGAGCUGAAGAAGCCACCGCCUGGUACUCGUUUGUUGCCGUGUCGUUGGGUAUAUAAGGUUAAGUACAGCGAUGACGGCAGCAUGGAGCGCUUUAAGGCGCGUUUAGUUGCCAAGGGUUUUGAGCAACGCGAGGGGAUUGAUUAUGGGGAGUUGUUUGCCCCUACCUCUCGUGGUUCGUCAUUACGAGCUUUAUUAGCAGUUGCCGCAGCGCGGGACAUGACGGUGCAUCAGCUAGAUGUGUCUACUGCGUUUCUGAAUGGUGAGCUGAAGGAGGAGUUGUGGAUGGAGCAACCGCCUGGGUAUGCAUCCAGUGACCGGUCGCUUGCGUGCAAGCUGCAGAAGUCUAUUUACGGUUUGAAGCAGGCACCCCGUUGCUGGAAUGGAAAGCUAUCAGCAGAGUUCGCCAAGCUGGGUCUUUAUCCUUCGAAGUCUGAUCCGGCGAUGUUUGUUAAGACGGACGAGCGUGGGGUUGUUAUUGCUUUGGUACACGUAGAUGACACUAUUGUUGCGUCGGAAGACCCGGAAAUGGUCCGGGCAAUUAAAGCCGCAAUUGCGAAGGUCUUCAAGGUGCGCGACCUUGGAGAAGCGAAGGUGUUUUUGGGCAUGGAAAUUAGGAGGGAGAAGUCGGGUGAGAUAGUGUUGUCGCAGCAUAGGUAUAUUGCGCAGCUGUUGGAGCGUCAUAGGAUGAUUGACGCCAAGCCGAGGUCUACCCCUUUGCCUCCGGGCUUUAGGUACACUCCUAAGGGGGACGGAGAGGAGCUGCUGGGCAAUCCCACAGAGUAUAGGGCUUUGGUGGGAGAAUUGAACUAUCUGGCGACGAACACGCGGCCUGACAUUUCAUAUGCAUUGAGCAUUUUGUCCCGGCAUAUGGCCGCACCUACGAAGACUGCCAUGAACUUGGCAACCGGCGUUCUACGUUACCUGGCGGGUACACGCGAACUAGGAUUGCGUUUUGGGGGUGUUGGCGACGUUGCUAUGUCCGGGUACAGUGAUUCGGACUGGGCAGGAGACCCAGUUACGCGGCGUUCUACGUCCGGUUACGUAUUCACUCUUAAUGGGGCUGCGAUUAGCUGGAGCAGCCAACUUCAACGUACUGUGGCGGCUUCGUCGGUGGAGGCUGAGUACCAAGCUACAGCGGCGGCUGUUCGUGAGGCUUUGUGGCUUCGCAAGCUGAUGGUUGAUUUGGGCUUGCCUGAGAGCGCGGUGAAAAUCCAGAUAGACUCCCAGGGGGCGCUUAGCUUGGGAAACAACCCGAUUACGUCUGCUCGGUCGAAGCACAUCGACGUGCAGCAUCACAUAGUGCGUGAGAGAGUGAAUAGCGGUGAGGUGCAGUUGGAAUACUGCCCUACGGAGUGGAUGGUUGCGGAUGUGCUCACGAAGGCUCUGGGCGAGGUGAAGUUCAAACGUUGCCGAGAUGCUAUGGGCCUUGUGUGAAGUGUGCAGAUGAACUUGGAACUCGUUGGGAUACGGCCCGAGGGGGCGUGUUGAGGAAACGGUCCUCUCCCAACUCGUGUGGUUAUCGACCAGGGGAUUUGACCCCGGGUCUGCACCUGACUAAUGGGGAAGACUUACCCCAGAACUUUAUGGGGCUACCGAUGCAUAUCCGGUAGCUAAGUGAUAGACAUUAGGGCACCGUCUGGACGGCGCAGUGAGAUCGCGGAAUGUACGUGCAGUUAGAUCGCGGAAUGUACGAGUUUUCCGCUAGCGCCGGUAUUUAGGGCGGUGACUGCGCCUAUUAGUUUAUCUCACAACGAUCGGUAUUCCUACCAGGAAUCUCCUCAAGUCCUGCCGAACGCUAACAAUACUCUUUACAUUACUUGUAACAGUUUAUCGUGUUUCAUAUCUUCGCUGCCGGCAAUUCUUCCGAGAUAACAAUCAGUGUUAGCCGUCACCGUCGCCAAUUCUUCAAUAUUCGCCAGCCCUAGGCAGCGACCCCUCACCAGGCAACCUAGUGUGCAAACCUCGUCGGCAUCGGACCCAUCAUCGGAAUCCCUGGCAUUAUGCCGCCGGGCACUUGACUCGUCAAAGCGGACGUUGGAGACCACGGCGAUGAUGCCGUCCUUGUACAUCACAUGAUACUGUCCUCCACUCCCGUAUCCGACAAGGAUCCCUCAGACACUUACUGUUGUAAGAUACAAACACAACCUGGCUCGGGAAUCCCAAUCCCUUGCCAGACCCACCGGGCCCAGGCUUGCUGAAAUAGAAGCAAAUCACCUCUUUGAGAGGAACGCCAGAACUGCUGCUGGCCGCGCCACGAUUCCCAAGACCAGAACCAGAGGCCCCAAACGAAAAACUGCCGACAGAUGCAAACGCUGCCGACUCGGUAGGCUUACCAGACCCACCGCUUGCCACCUCGAUAGCCAAAAGCUUGGAGGUGACGCUCGCCAUGUCCAAAUCGCCGUCAUGCACCAGCAGGGACGUCGUUACCACGUUGAAGUGGCUGGGUAGACCAACAAGCAAAGUGUGUGCCCGCUCAGAAUCGCUGAUAACGUGUCCUACUCCCGACUGUAAUUGCUUGCAGGCGUCCUGUGCCUUCUUCACGCUAGCUAUGUAAGCUACUAGCGUUAACCGGGGCUCAUAACCUGUUAAGAAUAUAAAGGCAAGGAGACUCAUAAGGGUUACAGUCUGUGGGUUAAUGGUGAACGGCAAGAAGACUUUAGGAGAUUCAAGUUAAGGAAUACCGAUCCAUCCUAAGAUGAGAUAGAAAGACAUGCACCACUCCUGUCUUAUGUACCGAUACCAACGGAAGUAUUGUACAGUCUUCCACCAUCCCUGGACCUGAGGACACGUCCGAGAUACGCAGCCGAGAGACCCGAGGCAAGGUCGAGGCACAGCCGAGGCAAGGUCGAGGCACAGCCGAGGCAAGGUCGAGGCACAGCCGAGGCAAGGUCGAGGCACAGCCGAGGCAAGGUCGAGGCACAGCCGAGGCAAGGUCGAGGCACAGCCGAGGCAAGGUCGAGGCACAGCCGAGGCAAGGUCGAGGCACGUCCGAGGCAUCCCCUAUCAAGGCGGAUUCAUCACCUAACUACCACCUAACUACGUCGGGAUAGGACCGCCCUUCAACACAAACGAAUUAGGUUCAGGAAUAUCAGCAGAGAAAGCAGCAUUAACGCGACCAGUGACAGUGCGACCAGGUUCGUUUCACAACCAUUCGCCAGGGCGUUAACGUUCUCUAACUGGAUAACGGGUCCCUGCAAUUUCCACAUCGGGCUGAUUGUUACCUUGCACGUUCGCACUGCUGGAUGGUCCAGCCCCAGCCGGCACCCCCUCGCCACCCAAGUGCGGCGAUCCCUCGCCGACGGUGCUGCCUGGUAUCACUUCACCAGCCCUAGGCAGCGAUCCCUUACCAGGCAAGCUAGUGCGAAAAUCCUCCUCCUCGUCAGCAUCGGACUCAUAAUCGGAGUCCCCGGCAGAACACCGCCGGCCGACGUUAGACGCAUUAAAGCGAACAUUAGAAAAUACGGCAAUAAUGCCGUCGUCGUACAGCACACGGUACUGUCCUCCGUUCCCGUAUCCGACAAGUAUUCCACGCCUGCUCACCGGAUCGAACUUGUCGCGUUUGACGUCAGGUACGUGGACGUAGGCGACGCACCCAAAAUCUCGAAGGUGACUGACGUUAGGACGGACGUUGAAGAAAGCUUCAUACGGUGUGACAGUUGACCCAGCAGUUGGCGACACAUUCCUGAGGUAAUUGGCUGUCGCCAACACUUCCGCCCUUAAUGACUUAGGUAGACCGGACUCGACAAGCAUAGCCCUGGUUUUGUCUAGGAGAGUGCAAUUCAAACAUUCCGCUGCUCCGUUCUGCUCAGGGGUGUAGCCUACCGUAGUUCCAUGUACAAUACCCCUGGACGCGAAAUAGCUCUUCAUGCGAGUAUUAAUGAACUGUUAAGAAUAUGAAGGAGGCAAGGAGACUUGUUGCGAUAUAAGUAUUAAAAUCGGUAGGUGAGUGGUAAACGGCAGGAAGACUUUAGGAGAUUCCUACUGAGGAAUACCGAUCCAUACAAAGAUGAGAUACUAAGACUUGCACAACUCGUGUCUUAUAUACCAUUACCAAUGGAAGUAUCGUACAGUCGUCCACCAUCCCUGGACCUGAGGACACGUCCGAGAUAUGCGGCCGAGAGACCCGAGGCAAGGUCGAGGCACAGCCGAGGCAAGGUCGAGGCACGUUCGAGGCAAGGUCGAGGCACGUCCGAGGCAUCGCCUAUCACGGCUGAUUCAUCGCCUAACUACCACCCAUCUACGUUGGGAUAGGACCGCCCUUCAACAUGAACUCCCCACCAUGAUCCGUACGCACCUCCUUAACCUGCCUGCCAGAAGCGUGCUCCAGUUCCGCUAUCAUUACCACCAUCUUCUGAUAGACCUCCUCCUUGGUCGCUGUAAACGCAACAGCUGAAAGACCGGUAUGGUCGUCAAGCAGAGUUGUCACGUAACACGAACCACUAGGGGAAGGUUCAGGCAUAGGUAGGGCUGGCACGGGUACUACAUUAGAAAAGAGUACUAUACUAGAAUAGGGAGACCCCCGAAUUAGUCGGGAGCGCGAGAUUAUGGCUAGCUACUGAGAUGUGGAGUUGAGGUCACAGUUAUUGGACCAGAUUCGUACGCUGGAUUGGUGGCGAUUGCCGAACCCUCCGUCUCUUCGGUUGUUCGGGUGAAUGGAUGAGGAGGGGUCCCUGAAGGCUGGAUCCGCCGCCUUGGACUUACAGUUCGUAUGGCGAAGUACAGUGUGGUAGUGGUGGAUGGUGCUAUAAGGUGAUAAAUCGUAGAACUGAUAAUGUCAUAAAGUGGCCCAGAAGCCUCUCACUCUGUAACAUUACACAUUACACUAGAAUAGUACUAUGCAUAGUACUACAUAGUAUGCAGGGCUCUAAACUGGCACUAGUUUACGAUGCUCGUACCGCGUUCGUACAUAGUAUAAUAAUAUAGUAAAAAUAGUACUAGAUAGCACUAGAUUUGGGUUUGGAUAGUGUCAAGUAUUAGUUGGACCAAGUCGAGAUCUGCAGUCAAGCUGUAUUUUGAAGGCUAUAGCCGCGUCUUCGAGCUGUGCUACAUAGUUUUGAUGAAUAAUGUCGAGGGAAUCCAGUAUAAAUAAUGACACGGUGAUGGUGCUUGAACAGCGGGCAGCGUCACUCAGCCAGCAACAGCAACAGAGUGGAACCAGCUCCGUGCCAGCAAGGCGGAUCAGCAGGUCCACUCCAAGCACCGGCGCGGCAUUGAUGGCCAGACCCCCCUCCCGGUGAUUCCCGCGACUCUCGCGGGGCAAGUCGUGGAGGACCUUUGGCAUGUACAGGAACAACAUGCCUAUUCACCUGAUCAAGAAGCCCGAGUUGCGGAACCUAUUCGGGCUGCUGGGCGUCACCCUGCCGAACCGGAAGCAGUUGAACUUCACUAGUAUGACGUCCGUGUGUUGUCUUGUGAACACUGGGUCUUCUAUCUGUGAUUAUGUCUUUAUGUGCCAUAACACGCCUUGAGACAUUUGGUCCACCCACCAGGCACUGAACUAACAAAAAGUGAUCUUGAUGACCGCAGCGAUCUGCUUUCUAAUGUCUAAGUAGCUAUUUAGAAAGAACAAAAGAAGAUCUUUCCAACGGUGUAAUUUUCAGGUACAACGGUUGGCUGUACACCCCCCUUCUACUGGGAGCGUGCACCUGCCUAGUAAUAGUAUCAUAGUAUUACAUUACUAUAUAUAGUACUAUUUCUUACCAUACUAUGAUAUUUGGGUUUUAAAUUAUAGUAUUUUUGCCAACCCUAGGCAUAGGUCCACACACAUCCAUGGUCUGGUCUGGAUUGACACUACUGCGAUUCGCGGUUUAAGGUCCUGGGUUCGAUUCCUGGGGAGACCCCGAAUUAGUCGGGAGCGCGAGAUUAUGGCUAGCUGCUGAGAUGUGGAGUUGAGGUCGCAGUUGAUGGACCAGAUUCGCACGCUGGAUUGGUGGCGAUUGCCGAACCCUCCGUCUCUUCGGUUGUUCGGGUGAAUGGAUGAGGAGGGGUCCUCGACGGCUGGACCCGCCGCCUUGGACUUACAGUUCGUAUGGCGAAGUAUAGUGUGGUAGUGGUGGAUGGUGCUAUAAGAUGAUAAAUCGUAGAACUGACAAUGUGAUAAAAGCGGCCCAGAAGCCUCCCACUCUGUAACAUUACAUUACAUCCAUGUGAACUAGUGCUAGUGGCUGGGCUGCCUUGUGCCCUGUCAGCAGAAAAUGACCUCGUGUCUGCUUUGCAAAAAUGCAGGUCUCACAAACACACAUGCUGGCUUUCUGAAAGCUGUGCUGGUCGACGUCAAAUCCCAUUACCAUAUUGUGGCGCAGCAACACCUCGAGGUUGCUGUAGCCCAGAUGUCCGUAACACCGAUGCCAAAGUGUUGCAUGCUCCGUCUUGGAAUCCACGGCGGUGCACGUUGUACCAUGUCCGUUGUCACAGUAGCUCGUAUUCUGCGUCCUCCUGAUGGUGCCUGUACUUCCACCUCGAUAGCAAAUGGGGUAGAGAUCACCGUCCCGUUCACCGGUCAACACUAAAUGAUUUUGCAAGUAUACCUUUACUUGACUGUCACCGAAGACUGCUCAAGCCCAAGCUCCAUGCACAUCGCACUAAACUGGAUUUGCCACGUGGAGUAGUUGUGGAGGUCCAGCGGCUCAUCAAGCUUAUCCUUGACCAUUGUCGAUAGGGGAUAGAAAUAACAACCAGGCAGGCGGCUGGCAGAGGUUAAGGCCUGACUUCUGCUCCCGGUCGACCCGGGUUCAAAUCCGCCUGCCGACCUCUCGGGUGUUUGAGAGGUGGUGAUAUGGGAGGUGGCCCCCCAUCUUGUGGACGGUGUAGGACGUGAUAAAAUCAACUCGCGAGCUGACCAGGAACUAAGUUGAGGCGCCGUCGAUCCGCUAGAUUUGGUUGGAUGCUGGUGGUGAGUUGCCAAACUCAAAGAGUACACUCUGAAGUCUGAUGGGGUGAAUGGCUUAGGGUGCCCCUCUAGCAGGGGAGAGCAGGGAAUUGCCUCGGGAAGGAGGCCACUGGUGAAUCUUAACCACCCUGUAACAACAUCAACAUCAACAUCCACAACCUAACUAAGUUGAUGCACCGUUGAUCCGCUAGAUUUGGUUGGAUGCUGGUGGUGAGUUGCCAAACUCAAAGAGUACACUCUGAAGUGGGAUGGGGUGAAUGGCUUAGGGUGCCCCUCUAGCAGGGGAGAGCAGGGAAUUGCCUCGGGAAGGAGGCCACUGGUGAAGAUUAACCACCCUGUAACAACAUCAACAACAUCAACAACCUGACGAUAGCUGUCGGCGCUACACGGGGCUCAUAACCUAUUGGAGAAUUGGUGAUGGUGACGGCUGACACUGAUUGUUAUUCCGAAAGAAUUGCCGGUGGCGAAGAUAUCAGGCACGAUUAAUUGUUACAAGUAAUGUAAAAAACUGUAAAUUGCGUUAGGCAGGACUUGAGGAGAUUCCUGGUAGGAAUACCGAUCGUUCUGAGAUAAACAAAUAAGCGCAGUCACCGCCCUUGUUACGUUAAGGCUUAUCACAACCAGUCAUGGUGGUGUCGAAAGACACCGGAUGCGAUUACAGCAGAGAAGGUGUAGCCAUCCAGUGUACGACCCGCACUAAUGUACGACGUCGCAAAAGGAAGAUCUUGAGAAUAGCUGAGUGAACCCCGUUGAAGAGAAACAUUGAGAGUUAUGUAACUGCUCUUGCACGUUACAUCAUUCCCCCCCUAAAUGGCUGGUCGUCCCGACAGCCAGCCAACCUUGGCUUCACCGCCACACGAGAGGAAAAAGCAGGGCUUCCGGAACCCCACUGGUGACAGACAAGUGGUUGAGAAAAGCAUUAAAGCGCGAAGGCUUUUUGAUCACACGGCCGUGACGAGUAGUCUGAGGAGCUCGAUGCGGCUUCGAGCCAGAAGCGUCAGCGUCACCCGAAAGUGUCGCCUGACCUUGGGACUUCGAGGUUGGAACUGAGUCAGAUUGACGUGCCCAAUAGUCGCGCAACAAAUCGCCGCAGUUAGUUAGGUUCGUUUCGGGUUCCCACGAAUCAAAUUCCGGGCCCUGACCUUUCCAACGCAUUAAGUAGAAACGCUUUUGUCGACGUCCUUCUUUCACUUCUUUAUGAAGUAGAAUGGACUCAACUUCGAACUCCAAUUCACCCUCAACAAUCUGAGGUGGCGGAGGUAGCUGAACGCGACCACCAUCUUGAUACGGACGAAGGAGUGACACAUGAAAUACAUCAUGUAUCCGCACCGCAGGAGGAAGAUCCAACCGAUACGCAACCGCGUUGAUCUUUUCCUUAACCACAAAGGGUCCGAUAAAGCGAGGCAGCAAUUUGCGCACACCUUUAAUAGUCAUGUGUUUCGUACUCAAGAGUACACGAUCACCAACAGAAAGUCCUCGUUCCGAGCGACCUUUGUCAGCCCAUUUCUUCAUCCGAUCUCGAGCAGCAGCCAAGCAAGACUUAGCUCGUUCCAAAGCAUUCUGCAUAUCCGUACUGAAUUUAACAGAUAACGGAUUAGACAGUUUGGCCACGCUUUGCAAGCGCGUCUUGGCCCUCUCCUCCCCCAAUUUGCGAACCAGGUGAGAAGCCGGAGUUAGGGGUUCAUAUCCGUACAUCAACCGAAAAGGAGUAGUUCGCGUAGAUUCAUGCAACGAAUUGUUCAUGGCGAACUCAGCCAUCGGCAGAUAACGGGACCAUGAGGAUUGAUCGCCAGAAACGAAAUGACGCAACAUAUCCUCCAGAACACGAUUUGCACGUUCUGUUUGGCCAUCCGUUUGAGGAUGAUAACCAGAACUGCGACGCAAGUCGAUUUGAUAUCCAUCAAAAAGCGACUCGAAAAAGGCAGAGGUAAACUUAGGAUCCCUGUCGCAAAUGACGACAGACGGAACACCGUACGAACACACAAUGGUGUUGACGAAGAUUUCAGCCGCUUUGACAGAGUCAACAGAGGCCUUACAGGGCACAAACCGAACCAUCUUGGUGAGUUUGUCCACAAACACAUAGAUCGAAGUAUUGCCAUCAGGAUCGGGAGGCAGAUCAGUAAUAAAAUCCAUGGUCACGAAAGACCACUUCUGAUCAGGAAUCGGCAGCGGAAGAAGCAAACCACCAGGGAGACUGGUAUCUGCCUUUACCCUCUGACAGCUGUCACACGUACGACAGUACGCUGCGACGGAUUGACGCAGCCUAGGCCACCAAAACGAACGACGCACCAAAUCAAGAGUUUUGGUUACGCCCGUAUGGCCUGCCAACGGAUGGUCAUGACAAAGACGCAGAACGGUAGUACGCAAAUCAGCAUGAUCUGGCACAACCAAAGCAUCUCCUCGAUACCAGAAUUGACCACGUUGCGAUAAUGCAACCGUGUUUUCUGAUAUUUUAAACCAAGGAUCGAUACCAUACCCAUCAAGUACCGAUGACUCGAACAUAGGAAAAGAGCACUGAAGCUCUACGGUGGUGUCACGGAAGGCAGAAAUUUCUCCCAACCGUUGAGCACUAAUCGUCAUAACCUUCGUCGUUUCAACAUCGACGUGUCCCGGAAGCCGAGACAACGGAUCUGCAGGAUUGCAACGACCCGCGCGAUACUGCCAUUCGAAAUCGAAAGACUCCAGAAAUUCCGACCACCGCGCCACACGUCGAGACAACAGAGACUUACGGCGCAUGGCGGUGUUAGGUUCGUGAUCUGUAACGACCGUAAACUUUACACCUUCGAGGUAACAACGCCACAAUUUGAGCGCAUGCACAACGGCCAAGAGCUCUUUUUCAGUGACGAUGUAGUUCAACUCAGCAGGAAUCAGUUUACGGCUCUCAAAAGCCACUGGCCUUCCAUGCUGGAGCAAAAUUGCACCCAAUGCGAAGUCGCUAGCAUCCGCGAUCACCUCGAAAGGUUCACGAGGAUCCGGCAAAGCAAGCACUGGCGCCCGAGUGAGCGCUUCCUUAACACGAAGGAAAGCCUCGUCGCAUUUCUCCGACCAAAACCACUUAGUCUUAGGAGAAAGCAAGUCCGUUAGCGGUUUAACCAAAGCCGCAUACGCACGAAUAAAUUUCCUGAAGUAAUUAGCAAGACCCAGGAAGGAUCGAAGCUCCGAAACAUUCUUGGGCACAGGCCACUGUUGGACAACAGCAGUCUUCCGAGGAUCGGGCCGUACACCGUCGGCCGAUACGAUAUGCCCCAAAAACGAAACGGACGGUUUGAAGAACUCGCACUUGGACAGCUUACAGUAGAACUGACGCUGUUCGAGACGUUCAAGCACUGCACGCAGAUGCUCAACGUGUUCAUCGGCGGUCUUCGAGAAGAUCAGAAUAUCGUCCAGAUACACUACCACGAACGGCAAACCCUGCAAGGCUUGAUUCAUGGCAGACUGGAAGACAGCAGGAGCAUUAGUCAGGCCAAAAGGCAUAACUUUAUACUGAUAAUGCCCGAAAGGAGUGCGAAACGCGGUACGCUCCACAUCGCUAGGAUUUAACCGUAACUGGUGAUAACCCUGCGUUAAAUCGAGUGAGCUGAAAACUGUCGCACCUCGCAAACGAUCCAACAAAUCAUCUAUCCGAGGCAACGGAAAACGAUUUUUGAUCGUGAGGCUGUUGACUGCGCGAUAGUCAACACACAUACGUAAAGUGCCAUCCUUCUUCUUAACGAACAUAGAGGGUAGGACAAACUGUCGGGCAGAGCAAUUCUUUUGACUGCCCCGGUCGCACAAUUCCCGUGCUUCCCUAAUUCGACACCCUGAACACGCUAAUUCUGACUGUCCGAAUGUCCCUGCCAGGCCAAUUCGGCACCCUGUCAGCCUAAUUCUGACUGUCGGAAUGUCCCGCCAGGCUAAUUCGUAUCCCUGUCAGGCUAAUUCUGACUGUCGGAAUGUCCCUGCCAGGCCAAUUCUUAUCCCUGUCAGGCCAAUUCAAGGGCCUGUCCCGGCAAUUCAACUUGUCCCAGGUGUCAAUUUAAACCCUUCUACCGAGCAAUCUAGACCAAUUGCAGGGUCUGCCCCCAAACUCUCAGGCACGCAUUCAGAAUCGCGGAAGUUGAAGGAACUUUACGAAACAAGGGGAGCACUUACAAAUAUCUCUCGUAUGUUUGUUGGUUUCAAAUCCGUACAUGCUUGUACGGNNNNNNNNNNNNNNNNNNNNNNNNNNNNNNNNNNNNNNNNNNNNNNNNNNCCUUGUUACCGUACUCCGUACUCAUUCACCCAUACAUUCAUUGUGUGUGUAUGUGUGAAAAGUUACCAUCACCCGAACCGACCAAAACCAAAGGUGUGUCUGCAUGGCAAGUCGCUCACAAUUUUAACACCCGGUCUAUUCAUUCAUUCAUUCCUUCGUUCAGACAAGCAGACAUAUCCACACGCCUCGUCUUGAACUGUGCUUCAGUCCUGCUAAGGGCCCCCGGCACUCGACCAGACUACAUGUGUUCAAAAAGAUACCACCACCCGAACCGAACCAAACCAGGGGCAUGUUAACCACACCUUUCAUUCGUCCAUUCAUUCAUACAUCCAAUCAUUCACGCAGACAAAGAAAUGUAAGCACACGCGCCUGCCCUGCAGUAGUGUGGCCCGGCACAAAGUAGCUGUAGUAGCUGGUACACAGUAAGCCAGGGUACCCAGUCGACCCGGGUUCAAAUCCGCCUGCCGGCUCCUCGGGUGUUUGAGGAGUGAUGAAAUGGGAGGUGGCCCCCCAUCUUAUGGACGGUGUAGGACGUGAUAAUAUCAACUUGCGAGCUGACCAGGAACUAAGUUGAUGCGCCGUUGAUCCGCUAGAUUUGGUUGGAUGCUGGUGGUGAGUUGCCGAACCCAACGAAUACAUUCUGAAGUCGGAUGGGGUGACGGAUUAGGGUGCCCCUCUAGCAGGGGAGAGCAGGGACUGCCCCGGGAAAGGGGGCCGCUGGCGAAGUUGACCACCCUGUAACAACAUACAGUAAGCACAGUAAGCUGGUACACACAUAGCACGACCACCAGCAUCUCGAGAGGCCUUUUCAGCCGCCAGCUACUAAAUAAUGCAUGAACGUCACAUAGAGGAAGGUAGCAUAAUACGAGCCGUCAACGAUAGGACCAUCACCGCCAACCGGACUGUGUGAACCUGUCUCCAGUGCGUCACGCAGCACACUGACUGCCUUGACGCUUCCAGUUGAGGGAUCCAUGUCGAGGUCGGCCAACCUGUCUGUCAGUGAAUGGCGGUAAGUCAGCCACAAACCAGUCUGUACCUAAUUCCAGGUUGGAUAGAGCCUACUUGAGAGUGGCGCGCUGGUUCUGUUUGUCCUUGUAGUUGAGAUCCUGGGACGAGAUGUUGACAUGGGGCAUGCGCUUGCUCAGCGCGCGCAGUGCANNNNNNNNNNNNNNNNNNNNNNNNNNNNNNNNNNNNNNNNNNNNNNNNNNNNNNNNNNNNNNNNNNNNNNNNNNNNNNNNNNNNNNNNNNNNNNNNNNNNNCGCCAGCCAAUGUGCAUUUGGUCAAUGACGGGUUGGAGCACGGACACCCACGUCACUGGAAGGGGCAAUGUAAAAAGCUACCUCCUCCUGCUGGCGUUGUUGUCCUUUGACGCUGAGACCCCGGAUGAUACCCCGCAGCAACUGUUGAAUUGUGCCGUCAACGAGUCCUGAAUGUCAAUCGAUGUCCGAUGGUUAACAAGUCAAGGCAUGUGUACGCGCACGCCAGCCUACACUACUCACGCAUGCCGACACUGCAUCAUACCUCGUUGUUGUGAUGUUUCGAGCAGUCGGACCGAGCGUAUGCCUGUAGCCUCACUCUAUCAGCCUGGAAAAGGGAUGUCCGCCGCUUAAUCUCCCUGUCCAGCGCUAUUCGAUCUGCCCGCGGAUGUGACCGCCUUGAGCUCAACAUGUCCCACACGCUCAAGUCCCUCGGCAGAACGGAAGGGGACAAUGACACGUGGAUCUGUCGCGACUCGCUGUGUCGCAGCGACUCGCAGUGAAGCAGCGUCGGCUGAACGCUUCAAUUGGUGAUUUCUGUUGAGGGCCAGACACGCGGCACACGGCCGUCCAGCUGCGGAGGAGAAACUGCAGACAACGGACCGGAUGGAGUCGAUUUCGCCGUAUGCUGGAAGCUGAUUAUCCCGGAAGAAUGUAUCCGCCUGUGGCGCCAUGUCAGGAUUCCCAUGUGGGUUAACAUUUGUCAGGCAGACCAACACGCUAGCCUUGCCUUUGCCCGACCCACAUGCACUGACCUUAUCAAACCGCCAUGCCAUCAACAACCCGGGGUACAGGCUAGCGCGCGCCCUGCAUCGCCGCCCGUGUCCAUGAUGGCGGCCUCAAUGUCCCGCGGCCCCAACACACCCGCCUGGGAACAGCCGUAUAGGCAGGCGUAACAUUCGUCGCGCAGUCCAGGGCACGACAUCCCACCGAUAACACGGCGCCGACGCUCGGCUAGUUGUUGCAGGAAGGGGCGCGCUGGACGGGCGCCUGGCAUGGGUAACGGACCGGGCAACGGCGCCGUGCUUCGAAGCCCGCGCUGCGACAACAGGUCUGAAAACAUGGCCUGCAUACCGGCAUCCGUAUCCAACACUGCCGGUGCGAAGGCUGCGAAGGACGCAUACUUAACUCCACAGCUAGAUCCAUCGAAGCCACAAAGCGCCUGAACACAAAAUUGUGGGUACAGGACCGUGCAUGGCGCUGGGUGGCCACAGCAACACAAGUGAAUCGUGUGCUGGCGUCCACAGACUCUGCAAUCAAGCUGACGUUUCUCCAGGACUUCCAUAGCAGAGGCCGGAGACUUCUCCGCCCCGAAUACCUUCAUGCAUGCACCAUGGUUCAUUUAGCACCGUUCGACACAAGAACCUAUGGUGAUAAUAUAAACUGGCAUACUUAUAACAAUGGUUUACCGAGAUUUUUAGAAAUGCUUCCCUACUGUCUAAAUACCUUCAGCUUUUUAAAAGGAUCACGCCUUAGAUAUUGCUCAACAACGGCAUAGAGAUGUAUAAGUAUACCAAAAGCACUUCCAGCGCCGCGCACUGUCACGAAUUAAUGCAUACACCACGCUUCCGUACAACAAGAGUUUGGUGCGCAUGUAAGUAUGGGUUGCGAGCGUAUCACAGUCGAUANNNNNNNNNNNNNNNNNNNNNNNNNNNNNNNNNNNNNNNNNNNNNNNNNNNNNNNNNNNNNNNNNNNNNNNNNNNNNNNNNNNNNNNNNNNNNNNNNNNNNNNNNNNNNNNNNNNNNNNNNNNNNNNNNNNNNNNNNNNNNNNNNNNNNNNNNNNNNNNNNNNNNNNNNNNNNNNNNNNNNNNNNNNNNNNNNNNNNNNNNNNNNNNNNNNNNNNNNNNNNNNNNNNNNNNNNNNNNNNNNNNNNNNNNNNNNNNNNNNNNNNNNNNNNNNNNNNNNNNNNNNNNNNNNNNNNNNNNNNNNNNNNNNNNNNNNNNNNNNNNNNNNNNNNNNNNNNNNNNNNNNNNNNNNNNNNNNNNNNNNNNNNNNNNNNNNNNNNNNNNNNNNNNNNNNNNNNNNNNNNNNNNNNNNNNNNNNNNNNNNNNNNNNNNNNNNNNNNNNNNNNNNNNNNNNNNNNNNNNNNNNNNNNNNNNNNNNNNNNNNNNNNNNNNNNNNNNNNNNNNNNNNNNNNNNNNNNNNNNNNNNNNNNNNNNNNNNNNNNNNNNNNNNNNNNNNNNNNNNNNNNNNNNNNNNNNNNNNNNNNNNNNNNNNNNNNNNNNNNNNNNNNNNNNNNNNNNNNNNNNNNNNNNNNNNNNNNNNNNNNNNNNNNNNNNNNNNNNNNNNNNNNNNNNNNNNNNNNNNNNNNNNNNNNNNNNNNNNNNNNNNNNNNNNNNNNNNNNNNNNNNNNNNNNNNNNNNNNNNNNNNNNNNNNNNNNNNNNNNNNNNNNNNNNNNNNNNNNNNNNNNNNNNNNNNNNNNNNNNNNNNNNNNNNNNNNNNNNNNNNNNNNNNNNNNNNNNNNNNNNNNNNNNNNNNNNNNNNNNNNNNNNNNNNNNNNNNNNNNNNNNNNNNNNNNNNNNNNNNNNNNNNNNNNNNNNNNNNNNNNNNNNNNNNNNNNNNNNNNNNNNNNNNNNNNNNNNNNNNNNNNNNNNNNNNNNNNNNNNNNNNNNNNNNNNNNNNNNNNNNNNNNNNNNNNNNNNNNNNNNNNNNNNNNNNNNNNNNNNNNNNNNNNNNNNNNNNNNNNNNNNNNNNNNNNNNNNNNNNNNNNNNNNNNNNNNNNNNNNNNNNNNNNNNNNNNNNNNNNNNNNNNNNNNNNNNNNNNNNNNNNNNNNNNNNNNNNNNNNNNNNNNNNNNNNNNNNNNNNNNNNNNNNNNNNNNNNNNNNNNNNNNNNNNNNNNNNNNNNNNNNNNNCGAACAGGUCAAUUCGAUACCCUGUCAGGCUAAUUCAAUACCCUGUUAGGCCAAUUCGGCACCCGGACAGGCCAAUUCGACACCCGGACAGGCCAAUUCAGGCGCAGCACAGCCCAAUUCCGAGGCUCCACAGCGCAAUUCGAAUACCUCCGGCGGGUCCGCCAGAACAAUUCCAGACCUCGGCAGACCAAUUCUUUUGUCAGGAAUAAAAUCCAGGCUAAUUCUGCGACAGAGCUCUUCCCUAAUUCCAGCCCGAAUCCUACCCUCCUACGAACAAGACAGGCGCACCAAAGGGCGAACACGAAGGUUCAAUAAAUCCCUUCUCCAAAAGAUCCGAAAUUUGCCUUUGCAUUUCCUCUUGCUCAGGGAGCGAAUAGCGAAACAUGCGUUGAGCAGGUGGACGAGCACCAGGCUCCAACGGAACGACAGGCGGCAAAUUACGAUCAGGAGGUAACGAAGCAGGCAACUGGUCUGGAAAUAAAUGCGCUUUUUCCAGCAACAAAGCCUUAAGACGCAAAUCCGCAGGUGACUCGCCGCGCACGACGUCACUAACCUUCUGCGCGAAAGCGGAAACAGACGAAUGCGAUGGCGGAAGUGACGACUCCUCCCCCGGCAAAUUGACAGCAUCCGGAACAGGAUCCGCAGCCGAGACGAGACAUAGGUAGAACGUGUCACUCUCCUCCAUGGCCUGCGCAAGUGAGCAAUGCGCAACUGCAUCCAGAACUUCAGGAGAAGAACCNNNNNNNNNNNNNNNNNNNNNNNNNNNNNNNNNNNNNNNNNNNNNNNNNNUUGAACGAGUCGAACGGGGACCAGAGCCAGACGCUCCAGCACCAGAGCCAGAAGCACCUUGACGCGAUGAAUCUGACGAAGGUGAANCGGAGGACUUGAGUUCCUCCGCGUAAGUCUUCAAGACGUGAAGAAAACAGUCCAAACUGGUCCAUGGGCGCCUGAUUUCGACAGUGCGAUCGUACAUGAGACGAUCACGUAAGCUGUCAGGCAACAGACGAACCAGUUGAUAGACGAUAAGCUCCUCAGGAGUCGCAGCCGGCAGCUCCCGACGAAUGUCGUGAAGAUGUUGAAGCACUUGCUCCACUGAACACGCUGGUUUGGCGUUGAACAUACGGCAAAGUGCAUUGUAAGAGGAGGCGCCGGAUGACAGAACAACGGCUUCAGUGAACCAGUUUAGAAGCCAAGAAGCGCUGGGAAUCACUGGCGGCGUCAACGCGGAAAGCGAUUUACGAAGAUCUGUAACGAGAGACGCCGGACCCACACUUAAGACGACCCAAUUGGUGGCAGCUGAAUCAGAAAGAGUGUAGCCGGCCAAGUCGAGGUAUCCAACUAAAUCGUCGACCAAGAAAGAUAGGUAAUCGGGCAAACUCAAUUGCACUUUGGCUGCAGCGUCCGCUGAGACAAGACGACGUCUGUCAGGCUGCGGAGGCUCGAGGGGGCGCAGGCGCCGAGUAACAGUGCCCGGCUGUGAAUCGGACAUUGUAGCAUCACCGUUGACCGGCGACGGAAGCGGCACCGGAUCCACGGCAGUAGAAAUAGGAACAGCCCGAGGUUGUGACCCAGAAGGCUGAUCAGGCGAGGCGACUGUAGGCGCCGGUGCAAGCGCCAAGGCCGCCAUCGGCGAAGUAACGGUGUUUACCGCCGGAUCGGCUGAAACUCCAGUAUUCAUCCUCGGAGAAGAUACAGGAGACGAAGAAGUUUGAAGAACAGUAGGUAAAGCCGACCGACGAUAAAGUGAAAGAAAUGGACGAAAAAGCAUAAUCCCAGAAAGAAAAAUUUCACCGUCUCGAUGCCAAUGUUACGUUAAGGCUUAUCACAACCAGUCAUGGUGGUGUCGAAAGACACCGGAUGCGAUUACACCAGAGAAGGUGUAGCCAUCCAGUGUACGACCCGCACUAAUGUACGACGUCGCAAAAGGAAGAUCUUGAGAAUAGCUGAGUGAACCCCGUUGAAGAGAAACAUUGAGAGUUAUGUAACUGCUCUUGCACGUUACAGCCCUAAAUACCAGCGCUAGAGGAAAAGUCAUACAUUCCGCGAUCUAACUGCACGUACAUUCCGCGAUCUCACUGCGCCGUCCUGACCAAAUGUCUAUCACUGGAUGCAUACCCAGGCGGUUGCUCCAUCCACAAUUCCUCCUUCAGCUCACCAUUCAGAAACGCAGUAGACACAUCGAGCUGAUGUACCGUCAUGUUCCGGGCUGCGGCAACUGCUAAUAAAGCACGCAAUGACGAACCACGAGAGGUAGGGGCAAACAACUCCCCAUAAUCAAUCCCCUCACGUUGCUCGAAACCCUUGGCAACUAAACGCGCCUUAAAACGCUCCACGCUGCCGUCAUCGCUGUACUUAACCUUAUACACCCAACGACACGGCAACAAACGAGUACCAGGAGGUGGCUUCUUCAGCUCCCAAGUACUAUUAGCCAUCUGGGCGGCGAUCUCCUCGUCCAUCGCAUGCCGCCAGUCGUCUGCAUGUGGACUUGCAAUUGCUUCCUCAAACGAAUUAGGCUCAGGAAUACCAGCAGAGAAAGCAGCGUUAACGCGACCAGUGACAGUGCGACCAGGUUCGUUUCGCCACCAUUCGCCAGGGCGUUUACGCUCUCUAACUGGAUAUCUAGUUCCNNNNNNNNNNNNNNNNNNNNNNNNNNNNNNNNNNNNNNNNNNNNNNNNNNCGACGAUCUUGGGUGCUGCAGUCGAACCGUCAGGCGGCUUAACCACCAAACCCACGCGCCGUGCAAAACCUGCGCUGAGUAAAUGAGCGGCUUGACUGCCCGAAUCGAGCAAGAUGGUCGCCUCCUGUUGGCAAACAGAACCUGCGAACUGCAUAGCCAAACUGGGAGACACCGAAAAAGGGACGGUUGUCGCAACACAAACAGCCGACUCAGAAGGAGACUCGGCAGGAGCAUCAUACCAGAACUCCAUCGGCGAGGAAACUCCCUGCACACGAGACAUUUUACCUUUUCCCGACGACACGGAAAACAGGUGAUACCCCGCGUGGUACUCGUGAAGCUUUUUCAUGCCUGCAAGCAGAGGACGCCAACGCGCUGUAACCCAUUUAGGAAGCAAAAAUCCCCCAGACGUGGUCGAUGGCGCAAUCGACUUGCAACGCAGGUAGUGACGCAGGAAAUCUUGAAUACGCGCCCGAGGCGGAUGCAUCCAAACGUGAUGUCCUGCGCAGCUAUCAUGCAAAAAGCUGCGAGAAGGCGAACUAUACUUCGGACACAAGGCAUUAGACCCAUCGUUAGAUGCGCAUGCAUCCCAAGUGAAGUGACGACCGGAAAGCUGCUGCAAGUGCUGAAAUUCGUGCUUGCGAAUGCAAAGUUCUUGAGGCGGAGGGACAUCUGCAACCGGCAUCGAACUGUUCGUCUUUGUGUUACAAUAGCGAGAAGGCUCUGUAACCAGACGUACGUUAAAAGCCGCGUUCAGUUCCGACUGAGAACGAUUCACAACGCGAUCACUUGCGUUUGACAACUUCACAGGCGCACUCGACAUAGUCGCCAAAAACUUGUGCGCUUGCCGCUGAGGCACGCCCGCAGGCGUCGGCUCAACCGACACAGCCACAGAUGGUCCAGAAACAACAGGUUCUGCGACACACAAAUCACGAUUAUUCUGCACAGCCAAAGAAGCCAUCGCAGACAACACCGAAAAAUCAACGUCUUGUUCAACAGGCGCGAGGUCAACUCCGCCAUCGGGUGGGUCAGAACCCGGACAAGACAACGAACGUCACGGCUUAGACAUGGACGGCUUCCGCUCGAAGAAGAAAAAGUCCUUUGGAAACAUGGACUGCGCACGCUCGCAGUCCUGCGCGAAGUGAUUUUCUCCGCGACAUAAAAGGCACUGAUUCUUAUUACGAAGAUUUUGCGCUUGCUGCAUAGUCAAGCCGCGGACCCAGAUUGACUUAGCCCGCCCAGUAGGCUGACGGAAACGAUCAGCCAAAGGAACUAUAUCCGGCAUUGACGCACUCAAACGCGGGCGUUUGGCGUCAGAGUCCGGACAUUGCCGUCCAGCCGAGAUUGAACGAGUCGAACGGGGACCAGAGCCAGACGCUCCAGCACCAGAGCCAGAAGCACCUUGACGCGAUGAAUCUGACGAAGGUGAAGCGGAGGACUUGAGUUCCUCCGCGUAAGUCUUCAAGACGUGAAGAAAACAGUCCAAACUGGUCCAUGGGCGCCUGAUUUCGACAGUGCGAUCGUACAUGAGACGAUCACGUAAGCUGUCAGGCAACAGACGAACCAGUUGAUAGACGAUAAGCUCCUCAGGAGUCGCAGCCGGCAGCUCCCGACGAAUGUCGUGAAGAUGUUGAAGCACUUGCUCCACUGAACACGCUGGUUUGGCGUUGAACAUACGGCAAAGUGCAUUGUAAGAGGAGGCGCCGGAUGACAGAACAACGGCUUCAGUGAACCAGUUUAGAAGCCAAGAAGCGCUGGGAAUCACUGGCGGCGUCAACGCGGAAAGCGAUUUACGAAGAUCUGUAACGAGAGACGCCGGACCCACACUUAAGACGACCCAAUUGGUGGCAGCUGAAUCAGAAAGAGUGUAGCCGGCCAAGUCGAGGUAUCCAACUAAAUCGUCGACCAAGAAAGAUAGGUAAUCGGGCAAACUCAAUUGCACUUUGGCUGCAGCGUCCGCUGAGACAAGACGACGUCUGUCAGGCUGCGGAGGCUCGAGGGGGCGCAGGCGCCGAGUAACAGUGCCCGGCUGUGAAUCGGACAUUGUAGCAUCACCGUUGACCGGCGACGGAAGCGGCACCGGAUCCACGGCAGUAGAAAUAGGAACAGCCCGAGGUUGUGACCCAGAAGGCUGAUCAGGCGAGGCGACUGUAGGCGCCGGUGCAAGCGCCAAGGCCGCCAUCGGCGAAGUAACGGUGUUUACCGCCGGAUCGGCUGAAACUCCAGUAUUCAUCCUCGGAGAAGAUACAGGAGACGAAGAAGUUUGAAGAACAGUAGGUAAAGCCGACCGACGAUAAAGUGAAAGAAAUGGACGAAAAAGCAUAAUCCCAGAAAGAAAAAUUUCACCGUCUCGAUGCCAAUGUUACGUUAAGGCUUAUCACAACCAGUCAUGGUGGUGUCGAAAGACACCGGAUGCGAUUACACCAGAGAAGGUGUAGCCAUCCAGUGUACGACCCGCACUAAUGUACGACGUCGCAAAAGGAAGAUCUUGAGAAUAGCUGAGUGAACCCCGUUGAAGAGAAACAUUGAGAGUUAUGUAACUGCUCUUGCACGUUACAGCCCUAAAUACCAGCGCUAGAGGAAAAGUCAUACAUUCCGCGAUCUAACUGCACGUACAUUCCGCGAUCUCACUGCGCCGUCCUGACCAAAUGUCUAUCACUGGAUGCAUACCCAGGCGGUUGCUCCAUCCACAAUUCCUCCUUCAGCUCACCAUUCAGAAACGCAGUAGACACAUCGAGCUGAUGUACCGUCAUGUUCCGGGCUGCGGCAACUGCUAAUAAAGCACGCAAUGACGAACCACGAGAGGUAGGGGCAAACAACUCCCCAUAAUCAAUCCCCUCACGUUGCUCGAAACCCUUGGCAACUAAACGCGCCUUAAAACGCUCCACGCUGCCGUCAUCGCUGUACUUAACCUUAUACACCCAACGACACGGCAACAAACGAGUACCAGGAGGUGGCUUCUUCAGCUCCCAAGUACUAUUAGCCAUCUGGGCGGCGAUCUCCUCGUCCAUCGCAUGCCGCCAGUCGUCUGCAUGUGGACUUGCAAUUGCUUCCUCAAACGAAUUAGGCUCAGGAAUACCAGCAGAGAAAGCAGCGUUAACGCGACCAGUGACAGUGCGACCAGGUUCGUUUCGCCACCAUUCGCCAGGGCGUUUACGCUCUCUAACUGGAUAUCUAGUUCCCGCCAUUUCCACAUCAGGCUGAUUGAUUCCUUGCCCAUUCGCACUGCUGGAAGGUCCAGCCCCAGCCGGCGCCCCCUCGCCACCCAAGUGCGGCGAUCCCUCGCCGACGGUGCUACCUGGUAUCCCUUCGCCAGCCCUAGGCAGCGAUCCCUCACCAGGCAAACUAGUGCGAAAAUCCUCCUCCUCGUCGACAUCGGACUCAUAAUCGGAGUCCCCGGUAUUACGCCGCCGGCCGACGUUAGAUUCAUCAAAACGAACGUUGGAAACUACGGCAAUAAUGCCGUCCUCGUAUAGUACACGAUACUGUCCACCGUUCCCGUAUCCAACAAGUAUUCCACGCCUGCUCACCGGGUCGAACUUGUCGCGCUUGACGUCGGGUACGUGGACGUAGGCAACGCAUCCAAAGACUCGCAGGUGACUGACGUUCGGACGAACAUUAAAGAAAGCUUCGUACGGAGUGACGGUUGAACCAGCAGUUGGCGACACAUUCCUAAGAUAGUUGGCUGUCGCUAACGCCUCCGCCCAUAAUGAUUUAGGCAGUCCAGACUCAACGAGCAUAGCCCUAGUCUUGUCCAAAAGUGUGCGAUUUAAACGUUCUGCAGCUCCGUUCUGCUCAGGGGUGUAGCCUACCGUAGUCCCGUGUAGAAUACCCCUGGAAGCGAAAUAGGCCUUCGUGCGAGUAUUAACAAACUCCCCGCCACGAUCUGUACGCACCUCCUUAACCUGCCUGCCAGUAGCGCGCUCCAGUUCCGCUAUCAUUACCACCAUCUUCUGGUAGACCUCCUCCUUGGUCGCUGUAAACGCAACAGCUGAAAGACCAGUAUGGUCGUCAAGCAGGGUUGUCACGUAACGCGAACCACUAGGCGAAGGUUCAGGCAUAGGCCCACACACAUCCAUGUGAAUGAGCGCGAGAGGCUGCGCUGCCUUAUGCCCAGAUAACGGAAAAGGACCACGUGUAUGUUUAGCAAGGACGCAAGUCUCACACACACACGUGCUGGCUGAUUGUAUGCUGUGUCGGUCAACAUCAAAUCCAGCUACCAUAUUAUGACGCAGCAACGUCUCAAGGUUGCUGUAUCCCAAGUGGCCAUACCUUCGGUGCCAAAGUGCUGCACGUUCAGCUCCGAUACCCACGGCAGCACACACUGCAUCACCACCAGAAGGUAUCCUGUUGUCUUCACGCUGCGUCCUCUUCAGAGCUCCCGUACCUCCACUGCUGUAGCAGACGGGAUACAAGUCCCCAUCCCGCUUUCCAGUCAGCACCAACUGGUUCUGUACGUAUACUUUCGCCUGUCCGCCGCCGAAGACCACACUGCCUCCACGAUCAUCAAUGAUGCGUACCGAUAUGAUUUUGGCGGUGGCCUCCUCGUCGACGUAGACCUUCUUGAAAGUGAUGGCCUGUUUAUCGUUGACGUUAGACCGAAUCGUAAGCGUGCCAACNNNNNNNNNNNNNNNNNNNNNNNNNNNNNNNNNNNNNNNNNNNNNNNNNNAAUCGCCGUCGCGCAUAAGUAAUGUAGUCGUCACCACGCUGUACCGACUGGGUAGACCAACUAGCACGGUGUACGCCAGCUCGGAGUCGUUAACUACGUGGCCGACUCCCAAUAAAUCUGUUUGCAGCUGCCUUGCACGCGCAAAGUACAUCGGAAGAGGUUCGCCGUCGACCAUUUUAAAACGGCUGAAUUCUUGACGUAGAGACACCUUGCGGGCGUUGUUGUUGGCAGCAAACAUAGAUCCCAAGGCGUCCCAGGCCUUCUUCGCGUUGGCAGCACCGGUAACCAUCGGCAAAUGAUGAUCCUUGACGUUCUUGAUGAGCAGAUUGAUGACCUUCCGUGACUGUCGAAUUUGCUCCUCGUUGCACGGCUCGGCGAGCAGGGAUUGCUCAAGCCCAAGCUCCAUGCACAUCGCGCUAAACCGAAUUUGCCAGGUAGAGUAGUUGUUGAGGUCCAGCGACUCAUCAAGCUUGUCCUUAACCAUUGUCGAUGAGGGAUAGAAAUAACAAUUGAGCGAUAGCUGUCGGCGCUAAGCGGGGCUCAUAACCUAUUGGAGAAUUGGCGACGGUGACGGCUAACGCUGAUUGUUAUCUCGGAAGAAUUGCCGGCGGCGAAGAUAUUUAGCACGAUAAAACGUUACAAGUUAUGUAAAGAGUAUUAUAAGCGUUCGGCAGGACUUGAGGAGAUUCCUGGUAGGAAUACCGAUCGUUGUGAGAUAAACUAAUAGGCGCUGUCACCGCCCUAAAUACCGGCGCUAGCGGAAAACUCGUACAUUCCGCGAUCUCACUGCGCCGUUAGCUGCACGUACAUUCCGCGAUCUCACUGCGCCGUCCAGACGGUGCCCUAAUGUCUAUCACUUAGCUACCGGAUAUACAUCGGUAGCCCCAUAAGGUUCUGGGGUAAGUCUUCCCCAUUAGUCAGGCGCAGACCCGGGGUCAAAUCCCCUGGUCGACAACCACACGAGUUGGGAGAGGACCGUUUCCUCAACAGUGUUAACGCUGCUUUCUCUGCUGGUAUUCCUGAACCUAAUUCGUUUGCAGAAGCCAUUGCAAGUCCACAUGCAGACGACUGGCGGCGUGCGAUGGACGAGGAGAUCGCCGCCCAGAUGGCUACUUGGGAGCUGAAGAAGCCACCUCCUGGUACUCGUUUGUUGCCGUGUCGUUGGGUGUAUAAGGUUAAGUACAGCGAUGACGGCAGCGUGGAGCGUUUUAAGGCGCGUUUAGUUGUAAAGGGGGUUCAACGGGGGUUCAAGCAACGCGAGGGGAUUGAUUUUGGGGAGUUGUUUGCCCCUACCUCUCGUAGUUCGUCAUUACGUGCUUUCUUAGCAGUUGCCGCAGCGCGGAACAUGACGGUGCACCAGCUCGAUGUGUCUACUGCGUUUUUUAAUGGUAAGCUGAAGGAGGAGUUGUGGAUGGAGCAACCGCCUGGGUAUGCAUCCAGUGACCGGUCGCUUGCGUGCAAGCUGCAGAAGUCUAUUUACGGUUUGAAGCAGGCACCCCGUUGCUGGUAUGAAAAGAUAUCAGCAGAGUUCGCCAAGCUGGGUCUUUAUCCUUCGAAGUCUGAUCCGGCGAUGUUCGUUAAGACUGACGAGCGUGGGGUUGUUCUUGCUUUAGUGCACGUCGCAGCAUAGGUAUAUUGCGCAGCUAUUGGAGCGUCAUAAGUUGGUUGACGCCAAGCCGAGGUCUACCCCUUUGCCUCUGGGCUUUAGGUACACUCCUACGGGGGACGGAGAAAAGCUGCUGGACAAUCCCACGGAGUAUAGGGCUUUGGUGGGGGAAUUGAAUUACCUAGCGACGAACACGCGGCCUGACAUUUCGUAUGCAUUGAGUGUUUUGUCCCGGCAUAUGGCCGCACCCACGAAGAGUGCUGUGAACUUAGCAAUUGGCGUUCUGCAUUACCUGGCGGGUACUCGCGAACUAGGAUUACGUUUUGGGGGUGUUGGUGACAUUGAUAGCGGGUAUAGCGAUUCUGACUGGGCAGGAGACCCAGUUACGCCGCGUUCUACUUCCGGCUACGUUUUCACUCUUGAAGGGGCUGCGAUUAGCUGGAGCAGUCAACUUCAACGUACUGUGGCAGCUUCGUCGGUGGAGGCCGAGUAUCAAGCGACAGCGGCAGCUGUUCGCGAGGCUUUGUGGCUUCACAAACUGAUGGUUGAUUUGGGUUUACCUGAGAGCGCUAUCAAGAUUCAAAUAAAUUCCCAGGGGGCGCCUAGCUUAGGAAAUAACCCGAUUACGUUUGCUCGGUCGAAGCACAUCGACGUACAGCAUCACAUAGUGCGUGAUAGGGUGAAUAGCGGUGAGGUGCAGUUGGAAUACUGCCCUACGGAGUGGAUGGUUGCGGAUGUGCUCACGAAGGCUCUGGGCGAGGUGAAAUUCAAACGUUGCCGAGAUGCGAUGGGCCUUGUGUGAAGCGUGCUGAUGAACUUGGUACUCGUUGGGAUACGGCCCGAGGGGGCGUGUUGAGGAAAUGGUCCUCUCCCAACUCGUGUGGUUGUCGACCAGGGGAUUUGACCCCGGGUCUGCGCCUGACUAAUGGGGAAGACUUACCCCAGAACCUUAUGGGGCUACCGAUGCAUAUCCGGUAGCUAAGUGAUAGACAUUAGGGCACCGUCUGGACGGCGCAGUGAGAUCGCGGAAUGUACGUGCAGUUAGAUCGCGGAAUGUACGAGUUUUCCGCUAGCGCCGGUAUUUAGGGCGGUGACUGCGCCUAUUAGUUUAUCUCACAACGAUCGGUAUUCCUACCAGGAAUCUCCUCAAGUCCUGCCGAACGCUAACAAUACUCUUUACAUUACUUGUAACAGUUUAUCGUGCUAAAUAUCUUCGCUACCGGCAAUCCUUCCGGAAUAACAAUCAGCGUUAGCUGUCACCGUCGCCAAUUCUUCAAUAGGUUAUGAGCCCCGCUUAGCGCCGACAGCUAUCGCUCAAUUGUUAUUUCUAUCCCUCAUCAACAAUGGUUAAGGACAAGCUUGAUGAGUCGCUGGAUCUCAACAACUACUCUACCUGGCAAAUUCGGUUCAGCGCGUUGUGCAUGGAGCUUGGGCUUGAGCAAUCCCUGCUCGCCGAGCCGUGCAACGAGGAGCAAAUUCGACAGUCACGGAAGGUCAUCAAUCUGCUCAUCAAGAACGUCAAGGAUCAUCAUUUGCCGAUGGUUACCGGUGCUGCCAACGCGAAGAAGGCCUGGGACGCCUUGGGAUCUAUGUUUGCUGCCAACAACAACGCCCGCAAGGUGUCUCUACGUCAAGAAUUCAGCCGUUUUAAAAUGGUCGACGGCGAACCUCUUCCGAUGUACUUUGCGCGUGCAAGGCAGCUGCAAACAGAUUUAUUGGGAGUCGGCCACGUAGUUAACGACUCCGAGCUGGCGUACACCGUGCUAGUUGGUCUACCCAGUCGGUACAGCGUGGUGACGACUACAUUACUUAUGCGCGACGGCGAUUUGGACAUGGCGAGCGUCACAGCAAAGCUUCUCUCUAUCGAGACGGCUAACGGUGGGUCGGGCAAGCCUACCGAGUCGGCAGCCUUCGCGUCUGUCGGCGGUUCGACGUUCGGCGCUUCUACUUCUGGUUAUGGUAGCCGGGGGCCGGCCAACAACAGCUCGGGACAUAGUCGGAAGCAAGUCAUCUGCUACUACUGUAAUAAACCUGGGCACGUGGUUAAGGACUGCAGGCAGCUUAAGGCGCUGAAGCAGUCGUCAAAUUCUGGCUACAAGGGUGGCUACAGCAACAGUGGUAACGGAGGUAGUGGCAGCGGAGCUAGCGGCAGCAAGCCAGGAUCCGGUGGAUCAGCUAGGAGGCCAGGAGUUCCGCGGCAGGUAGCAUUCGUGGCAUACAACAGCAAUCGUCCGACGGAAUGGUUUCUGGACUCAGCCGCCACUCACCACAUAACGUAUGACCGCUCAGAACUUUCCAACGUGCGGUUGUUGGAGCCGUGGGAGCGCUUCAACAUAAUGGGCAUCAAGGGACAAUCUCUUCGACCGACUGAAGUUGGCACGCUUACGAUUCGGUCUAACGUCAACGAUAAACAGGCCAUCACUUUCAAGAAGGUCUACGUCGACGAGGAGGCCACCGCCAAAAUCAUAUCGGUCCGCAUCAUUGAUGAUCGUGGAGGCAGUGUGGUCUUCGGCGGCGGACAGGCGAAAGUAUACGUACAGAAUCAGUUGGUGCUGACUGGAAAGCGGGAUGGGGACUUGUAUCCCGUCUGCUACAGCAGUGGAGGUACGGGAGCUCUGAAGAGGACGCAGCGUGAAGACAACAGGAUACCUUCUGGUGGUGAUGCAGUGUGUGCUGCCGUGGGUAUCGGAGCUGAACGUGCAGCACUUUGGCACCGAAGGUAUGGCCACUUGGGAUACAGCAACCUUGAGACGUUGCUGCGUCAUAAUAUGGUAGCUGGAUUUGAUGUUGACCGACACAGCAUACAAUCAGCCAGCACGUGUGUGUGUGAGACUUGCGUCCUUGCUAAACAUACACGUGGUCCUUUUCCGUUAUCUGGGCAUAAGGCAGCGCAGCCUCUCGCGCUCAUUCACAUGGAUGUGUGUGGGCCUAUGCCUGAACCUUCGCCUAGUGGUUCGCGUUACGUGACAACCCUGCUUGACGACCAUACUGGUCUUUCAGCUGUUGCGUUUACAGCGACCAAGGAGGAGGUCUACCAGAAGAUGGUGGUAAUGAUAGCGGAACUGGAGCGCGCUACUGGCAGGCAGGUUAAGGAGGUGCGUACAGAUCGUGGCGGGGAGUUCGUUAAUACUCGCACGAAGGCCUAUUUCGCUUCCAGGGGUAUUCUACACGGAACUACGGUAGGCUACACUCCUGAACAGAACGGAGCUGCAGAACGUUUAAAUCGCACUCUUUUGGACAAGACUAGGGCUAUGCUAGUUGAGUCUGGACUGCCUAAAUCAUUAUGGGCGGAGGCGUUAGCGACAGCCAACUAUCUUAGGAAUGUGUCGCCAACUGCUGGGUCAACCGUCACUCCGUACGAAGCUUUCUUUAACGUUCGUCCGAACGUCAGUCACCUGCGAGUCUUUGGAUGCGUUGCCUACGUUCACGUACCCGACGUCAAGCGCGACAAGUUCGACCCGGUGAGCAGGCGUGGAAUACUUGUAGGAUACGGGAACGGUGGACAGUAUCGUGUACUAUACGAGGACGGCAUUAUUGCCGUAGUUUCUAACGUUCGUUUUGACGAGUCUAUUGUCGGCCGGCGGCGUAAUGCCGGGGACUCCGAUUAUGAGUCCGAUGCCGACGAGGAGGAGGAGUUUCGCACUAGUUUAUCUGGUGAGGGAUCGCUGCCUAGGGCUGGCGAAGGGACACCAGGUAGCACCGUCGGCGAGGGAUCGCCACAUUUGGGUGGCGAGGGGGCGCCGGCUGGGGUUGGACCUUCCAGCAGUGCGAACGGGCAAGGAAUCAAUCAGCCUGAUGUGGAAAUGGCGGGAACUAGGUACCCAGUUAGAGAGCGUAAACGCCCUGGCGAAUGGUGGCGAAACGAACCUGGUCGCACUGUCACUGGUCGCGUUAACGCUGCUUUCUCUGCUGGUAUUCCUGAGCCUAAUUCGUUUGAGGAAGCAAUUGCUAGUCCACAUGCAGACGACUGGCGGCGUGCGAUGGACGAGGAGAUCGCCGCCCAGAUGGCUAACAGUACUUGGGAGCUGAAGACGCCACCUCCUGGUACUCGUUUGUUGCCGUGUCGUUGGGUAUAUAAGGUUAAGUACAGCGAUGACGGCAGCGUGGAGCGUUUUAAGGCGCGUUUAGUUGCCAAGGGUUUCGAGCAACGUGAGGGGAUUGAUUAUGGGGAGUUGUUUGCCCCUACCUCUCGUGGUUCGUCAUUGCGUGCUUUAUUAGCAGUUGCCGCAGCCCGGAACAUGACGGUACAUCAGCUCGAUGUGUCUACUGCGUUUCUGAAUGGUGAGCUGAAGGAGGAGUUGUGGAUGGAGCAACCGCCUGGGUAUGCAUCCAGUGACCGGUCGCUUGCGUGCAAGCUGCAGAAGUCUAUUUACGGUUUAAAGCAGGCACCCCGUUGCUGGUAUGAAAAACUAUCAGCAGAGUUCGCCAAGUUGGGUCUUUAUCCUUCGAAGUCUGAUCCGGCGAUGUUCGUUAAGACUGACGAGCGUGGGGUUGUUAUUGCUUUGGUGCACGUAGAUGAUACAAUUGUUGCGUCGGAAGACCCAGAAAUGGUCCGGGCAAUUAAAGCCGCAAUUGCGAAGGUCUUCAAGGUGCGCGACCUUGGAGAAGCGAAGGUGUUUUGGGGCAUGGAAAUUAGGAGGGAGAAGUCGGGUGAGAUAGUGUUGUCACAGCAUAGGUAUAUUGCGCAGCUGUUGGAGCGUCAUAGGAUGAUUGACGCCAAGCCGAGAUCUACCCCUUUGCCUCCGGGCUUUAGGUACACUCCUAAGGGGGACGGAGAGGAGCUGCUGGGCAAUCCCACAGAGUAUAGGGCUUUGGUGGGAGAAUUGAACUAUCUGGCGACGAACACGCGGCCUGACAUUUCAUAUGCAUUAAGCGUUUUGUCUCGGCAUAUGGCCGCACCCACGAAGUGUGCCAUGAACCUGGCAACUGGCGUUCUGCGUUACCUGGCGGGGACUCGCGAACUAGGAUUGCGUUUUGGGGGUGUUGGCGACGUUGCUAUGUCCGGGUACAGUGAUUCGGACUGGGCAGGAGACCCAGUUACGCGGCGUUCUACGUCCGGUUACGUAUUCACUCUUAAUGGGGCUGCGAUUAGCUGGAGCAGCCAACUUCAACGUACUGUGGCGGCUUCGUCGGUGGAGGCUGAGUACCAAGCUACAGCGGCGGCUGUUCGUGAGGCUUUGUGGCUUCGCAAGCUGAUGGUUGAUUUGAGCUUGCCUGAGAGCGCGGUGAAAAUCCAGAUAGACUCCCAGGGGGCGCUUAGCUUGGGAAACAACCCGAUUACGUCUGCUCGGUCGAAGCACAUCGACGUGCAGCAUCACAUAGUGCGUGAGAGGGUGAAUAGCGGUGAGGUGCAGUUGGAAUACUGCCCUACGGAGUGGAUGGUUGCGGAUGUACUAACGAAGGCUCUGGGCGAGGUGAAGUUCAAACGUUGCCGAGAUGCUAUGGGCCUUGUGUGAAGUGUACAGAUGAGCUUGGUACUCGUUGGGAUACGGCCCGAGGGGGCGUGUUGAGGAAACGGUCCUCUCCCAACUCGUGUGGUUGUCGACCAGGGGAUUUGACCCCGGGUCUGCGCCUGACUAAUGGGGAAGACUUACCCCAGAACCUUAUGGGGCUACCGAUGCAUAUUCGGUAGCUAAGUGAUAGACAUUAGGGCACCGUCUGGACGGCGCAGUGAGAUCGCGGAAUGUACGUGCAGUUAGAUCGCGGAAUGUACGAGUUUUCCGCUAGCGCCGGUAUUUAGGGCGGUGACUGCGCCUAUUAGUUUAUCUCACAACGAUCGGUAUUCCUACCAGGAAUCUCCUCAAGUCCUGCCGAACGCUAACAAUACUCUUUACAUUACUUGUAACAGUUUAUCGUGUUUCAUAUCUUCGCCGCCGGCAAUUCUUCCGAGAUAACAAUCAGCGUUAGCCGUCACCGUCGCCAAUUCUUCAAUAAAUAGAACGCCGUGUUACCGGGUCUCCUGCCCAGUCAGAAUCGCUAUACCCGGACAUCUCAAUGUCACCAACACCCCCAAAACGUAAUCCUAGUUCGCGAGUACCCGCCAGGUAACACAGAACGCCAAUUGCGAAGUUCAUAGCACUCUUCAUGGGUGCGGCCAUAUGCCAGGACAAAACACUCAAUGCAUACGAAAUGUCAGGCCGCGUGUUCGUCACUAGGUCAUUCAACUCUCCCACCAAAGCCCUAUACUCCGUGGGAUUGUCCAGCAGCUUUUCUCUGUCCCCCGUAGGAGUGUACCUAAAGCCCGGAGGUAAAGGGGUAGACCUCGGCUUGGCGCCAACCAACUUAUAUGCUCCAAUAGCUCCUCAAUAUAUCUACGCUUCGACAACACUAUCUCACCCGACUUCUCCCUUCUAAUUUCCAUGCCCCAAAACACCUUCGCUUCUCCAAGGUCGCACACUUUGAAGACCUUCACAAUUGCAGCUUUAAUUGCCCGGACCAUUUCCGGGUCUUCUGUAAUGUUACAGAGUGGGAGGCUUCUGGGCCGCUUUUAUCACAUUGUCAGUUCUACGAUUUAUCAUCUUAUAGCACCAUCCACCACUACCACACUAUACUUCGCCAUACGAACUGUAAGUCCAAGGCGGCGGGUCCAGCCGUCUAGGACCCCUCCUCAUCCAUUCACCCGAACAACCGAAGAGACGGAGGGUUCGGCAAUCGCCACCAAUCCAGCGUGCGAAUCUGGUCCAUCAACUGCGACCUCAACUCCACAUCUCAGCAGCUAGCCAUAAUCUCGCGCUCCCGACUAAUUCGGGGGUCUCCCCAGGAAUCGAACCCAGGACCUUAAACCGCGGAUCGCAGUAGUGUCAAUCCAGACCAGACCGGGUCUUCUGACGGAACAAUGGAAACGACGGAACAGGAAACGACUGAACAAUCUACGUGCACCAAAGCAAUAGCAACCCCACGCUCGUCCGUCUUAACGAACAUCGCCGGAUCAGACUUAGAAGGAUAAAGACCCAGCUUGGCGAACUCUGCUGAUAGUUUCUCAUACCAGCGACGGGGUGCCUGCAUCAAACCGUAAAUCGACCGCGCUGCGCCGCGAAGGGGACCGUAGCUUCGACUCCCAGGGCAGCUGUGGGUGUGUGGUGCGUGGGUGGUGUGGUGUGUAGGUGAGAACGGUAUUAAUGUGGGGAAGCAGUGGCGAGCACUCAGUUACAUUACAGGUGUGACGGAGGGUGGCUUAGUAGCAAGCCACAGCCAGCAGUGCAUGUGAUCAGGUGCACGUGGGAGGCGAGUAUCCUGCUACUAGACUAAUGGCGCAGAGCCUACCUCUCCGCGCAAUUCCGCCAACACAGCCAGCAUACAGCCCACACAUCCUAAAUGCCGUCUCAUGGGGCACUUGUCGCUGACCUGGACUUGGCACUCGGGGGCGUUACUGAGUGCUGGACAUGCAAGGUACUAGCCUUUCUUACUAGCGUAGGAGCGGAUUCCCCCACCAACUAAUACGCACAGUGAUGAUCUCAUAGCGCAUUACGCCACCCUUGAAUUGCCAGUUGAGAGCAUUCGUUAGGUAUUUGCCAAGCGGCUUGAUGCGCGAUGGGAGUGUCCGAAUACCCUAGUUGACCCCCGCGUUUUCCCCAUAGGGAUUAACUGGAUGGAAGUGGCCCCGCCUAGGGGUGCGCCUCUCGAUUGGUUAGAGCACACUCAAGUGACCAUGCCCCAGCGUCUGCAUCAAGUGCUCAUGUGUGUCCGGUUAGGCUGUUGGGAGUUACAGGUUAAUAGGCCUAUCUGGGCAACAUGCUGGAGAACGUACACGCUGCGCAUGUGGCAUGUUCAAUGCUGUCACCCACGUUCGCCCCUGGUGCUCUUACCAGUCGUGGGUGCAUGUUUUUGCCUUUGGGCAGAAGGUUUACGGGCAGGAACGAGGUCUUGCACAACGCUGCGCGAUUAUCCGGCCCGCCGACGUCUAGAGCCAGACUUACAGGUAACGUAGACAUGCAGGUCAGUGUUUCGAGUACGUGUAAAAUGCAUCCAAAACGAUCUUUGUGUGCGCCAUCCGGGAUUUGCACCCGGGCCGCUCGCGAAUCUCCGAUCAGGUGCACGUGGGAGGCGAGUAUCCUGCUACUAGACUAAUGGCGCAGAGCCUGCCUCUCCGCGCAAUUCCGCCAACACAGCCAGCAUACAGCCCACACAUCCUAAACACCGUCUCAUGGGGCAUUUGUCGCUGACCUGGACUUGGCACUCGGGGGCGUUACUGAGUGCUGGACAUGCAAGGUACUAGCCUUUCUUACUAGCGUAGGAGCGGAUUCCCCCACCAACUAAUACGCGCGGUGAUGAUCUCAUAGCGCAUUACGCCACCCUUGAAUUGCCAGUUGAGAGCAUUCGUUAGGUAUUUGCCAAGCGGCUUGAUGCGCGAUGGGAGUGUCCGAAUACCCUAGUUGACCCCCGCGUUUUUGGGCGGGGCCCCAGCGCGAAGCGCCCAGGGGGGCCCCGACCUGUAGGAUUGCCCAUGUCCGUGUGUGUGUGUGUGUGUGUGUGUGUGUGUGUGUGUGUGUGUGUAACGGACCAAACAUAAUAUCUCGCCUGGCUGAAACGCGUUAUAGGUACUAUACAGCAUUCUCUAUUGCAAGGUNNNNNNNNNNNNNNNNNNNNNNNNNNNNNNNNNNNNNNNNNNNNNNNNNNCUAAAGCCCGGAGGAAAGGGGUAGACCUCGGCUUGGCGUCAAUCAUCCUAUGACGCUCCAACAGCUGCUCAAUAUACCUAUGCUGCGACAACACUAUCUCACCCGACUUCUCCCUCCUAAUUUCCAUGCCCAAAAACACCUUUGCUUCUCCAAGGUCGCGCACCUUGAAGACCUUUGCAAUUGCGGCUUUAAUUGCCCGGACCAUUUCCGGGUCUUCCGACGCAACAAUUGUAUCAUCUACGUGCACCAAAGCAAUAACAACCCCACGCUCGUCCGUCUUAACAAACAUCGCCGGAUCAGACUUCGAAGGAUAAAGACCCAGCUUGGCGAACUCUGCUGAUAGUUUCUCAUACCAGCAACGGGGUGCCUGCUAAUAAUCAAUCCCUUCACGUUGCUCGAAACCCUUCGCAACCAAUCGCGCCUUAAAACGCUCCACGCUGCCGUCAUCGCUGUACUUAACCUUAUAUACCAAACGACACGGCAACAAACGAGUACCAGGAGGUGGCUUCUUCAGCUCCCAAGUACUAUUAGCCAUCUGGGCGGCGAUCUCCUCGUCCAUCGCACGCCGCCAGUCGUCUGCAUGUGGACUUGCAAUGGCUUCCGCAAACGAAUUAGGCUCAGGAAUACCAGCAGAGAAAGCAGCGUUAACGCGACCAGUGACAGUGCGACCAGGUUCAUUUCGCCACCAUUCGACAGGGCGUUUACGCUCUCUAACUGGGUACCUAGUUCCCGCCAUUUCCACAUCAGGCUGAUUGAUUCCUUGCCCGUUCGCACUGCUGGAAGGUCCAGCCCCAGCCGGCGCCCCCUCGCCACCCAAAUGCGGCGAUCCCUCGCCGACGGUGCUACCUGGUGUCCCUUCGCCAGCCCUAGGCAGCGAUCCCUCACCAGAUAAACUAGUGCGAAACUCCUCCUCCUCGUCGGCAUCGGACUCAUAAUCGGAGUCCCCGGCAUUACACCGCCGGCCGACAUUAGAUUCAUCGAAACGAACGUUAGAAACUACGGCAAUAAUGCCGUCCUCGUAUAGUACACGAUACUGUCCACCGUUCCCGUAUCCGACAAGUAUUCCACGCCUGCUCACCGGGUCGAACUUGUCGCGCUUGACGUCGGGUACGUGGACGUAGGCAACGCAUCCAAAGACUCGCAGGUGACUGAUGUUCGGACGAACGUUAAGAAAGCUUCGUACGAGUGACGGUUGACCCAGCAGUUGGCGACACAUUCCUAGAUAGNUGGCUGUCGCUAACGCCUCCGCCAAUAAUGUUUAGGCAGGCCAGACUCAACUAGCAUAGCCCUAGUCUUGUCCAAAAGAGUGCGAUUUAAACGUUCUGCAGCUCCGUUCUGCUCAGGGGUGUAGCCUACCGUAGUUCCGUGUACAAUACCCCUGGAAGCGAAAUAAGCCUUCGUGCGAGUAUUAACGAACUCCCCACCACGAUCUGUACGCACCUCCUUAACCUGCCUGCCAGUAGCGCGCCUGCCAGUUCCGCUAUCAUUACCACCAUCUUCUGGUAGACCUCCUCCUUGGUCGCUGUAAACGCAACAGCUGAAAGACCAGUAUGGUCGUCAAGUAGGGUUGUCACGUAACGCGAACCACUAGGCGAAGGUUCAGGCAUAGGCCCACACACAUCCAUGUGAAUGAGCGCGAGAGGCUGCGCUGCCUUAUGCCCAGAUAACGGAAAAGGACCACGUGUAUGUUUAGCAAGGACGCAAGUCUCACACACACACGUGCUGGCUGAUUGUAUGCUGUGUCGGUCAACAUCAAAUCCAGCUACCAUAUUAUGACGCAGCAACGUCUCAAGGUUGCUGUAUCCCAAGUGGCCAUACCUUCGGUGCCAAAGUGCUGCACGUUCAGCUCCGAUACCCACGGCAGCACACACUGCAUCACCACCAGAAGGUAUCCUGUUGUCUUCACGCUGCGUCCUCUUCAGAGCUCCCGUACCUCCACUGCUGUAGCAGACGGGAUACAAGUCCCCAUCUCGCUUUCCAGUCAGCACCAACUGGUUCUGUACGUAUACUUUCGCCUGUCCGCCGCCGAAGACCACACUGCCUCCACGAUCAUCAAUGAUGCGGACCGAUAUGAUUUUGGCGGUGGCCUCCUCGUCGACGUAGACCUUCUUGAAAGUGAUGGCCUGUUUAUCGUUGACGUUAGACCGAAUCAUAAGCGUGCCAACUUCAGUCGGCCGAAGAGACUGUCCCUUGANNNNNNNNNNNNNNNNNNNNNNNNNNNNNNNNNNNNNNNNNNNNNNNNNNUCUUCUGUAAUGUUACAGAGUGGGAGGCUUCUGGGCCGCUUUUAUCACAUUGUCAGUUCUACGAUUUAUCAUCUUAUAGCACCAUCCACCACUACCACACUAUACUUCGCCAUACGAACUGUAAGUCCAAGGCGGCGGGUCCAGCCGUCUAGGACCCCUCCUCAUCCAUUCACCCGAACAACCGAAGAGACGGAGGGUUCGGCAAUCGCCACCAAUCCAGCGUGCGAAUCUGGUCCAUCAACUGCGACCUCAACUCCACAUCUCAGCAGCUAGCCAUAAUCUCGCGCUCCCGACUAAUUCGGGGGUCUCCCCAGGAAUCGAACCCAGGACCUUAAACCGCGGAUCGCAGUAGUGUCAAUCCAGACCAGACCGGGUCUUCUGACGGAACAAUGGAAACGACGGAACAGGAAACGACUGAACAAUCUACGUGCACCAAAGCAAUAGCAACCCCACGCUCGUCCGUCUUAACGAACAUCGCCGGAUCAGACUUAGAAGGAUAAAGACCCAGCUUGGCGAACUCUGCUGAUAGUUUCUCAUACCAGCGACGGGGUGCCUGCAUCAAACCGUAAAUCGACCGCGCUGCGCCGCGAAGGGGACCGUAGCUUCGACUCCCAGGGCAGCUGUGGGUGUGUGGUGCGUGGGUGGUGUGGUGUGUAGGUGAGAACGGUAUUAAUGUGGGGAAGCAGUGGCGAGCACUCAGUUACAUUACAGGUGUGACGGAGGGUGGCUUAGUAGCAAGCCACAGCCAGCAGUGCAUGUGAUCAGGUGCACGUGGGAGGCGAGUAUCCUGCUACUAGACUAAUGGCGCAGAGCCUACCUCUCCGCGCAAUUCCGCCAACACAGCCAGCAUACAGCCCACACAUCCUAAAUGCCGUCUCAUGGGGCACUUGUCGCUGACCUGGACUUGGCACUCGGGGGCGUUACUGAGUGCUGGACAUGCAAGGUACUAGCCUUUCUUACUAGCGUAGGAGCGGAUUCCCCCACCAACUAAUACGCACAGUGAUGAUCUCAUAGCGCAUUACGCCACCCUUGAAUUGCCAGUUGAGAGCAUUCGUUAGGUAUUUGCCAAGCGGCUUGAUGCGCGAUGGGAGUGUCCGAAUACCCUAGUUGACCCCCGCGUUUUCCCCAUAGGGAUUAACUGGAUGGAAGUGGCCCCGCCUAGGGGUGCGCCUCUCGAUUGGUUAGAGCACACUCAAGUGACCAUGCCCCAGCGUCUGCAUCAAGUGCUCAUGUGUGUCCGGUUAGGCUGUUGGGAGUUACAGGUUAAUAGGCCUAUCUGGGCAACAUGCUGGAGAACGUACACGCUGCACAUGUGGCAUGUUCAAUGCUGUCACCCACGUUCGCCCCUGGUGCUCUUACCAGUCGUGGGUGCAUGUUUUUGCCUUUGGGCAGAAGGUUUACGGGCAGGAACGAGGUCUUGCGCAACGCUGCGCGAUUAUCCGGCCCGCCGACGUCUAGAGCCAGACUUACAGGUAACGUAGACAUGCAGGUCAGUGUUUCGAGUACGUGUAAAAUGCAUCCAAAACGAUCUUUGUGUGCGCCAUCCGGGAUUUGCACCCGGGCCGCUCGCGAAUCUCCGAUCAGGUGCACGUGGGAGGCGAGUAUCCUGCUACUAGACUAAUGGCGCAGAGCCUGCCUCUCCGUGCAAUUCCGCCAACACAGCCAGCAUACAGCCCACACAUCCUAAACACCGUCUCAUGGGGCAUUUGUCGCUGACCUGGACUUGGCACUCGGGGGCGUUACUGAGUGCUGGACCCAUUGAGCCACGUCUUUCAGAAGCCCCACGGCAAAGCUGGCUCGGGCGGUGGUGUUGUUCUGCCCCCUGGUGCGGCCGCCACUGGUAGCCAUGCGACGACUUGAGCUGGACGCGCCACUGCCAGCAUCCUCCAAACAUCUGCUCGCAACUGGUGCACGUUGGGGAUGUCACCAAACCGGUAGCCGUGUGCCUGUACCGCGGACUUCAUCUCGCUGCAGCAGGCGCAGACACAGGAUGGCAUGUUGUUUUUGACAGCGGCAUCAAGCUGUUCGGCGACUCGGAUCUGUUCCGCUAGAGGAACAGUGGGCAGAGGCUGACCCGCAGGAACAUCUUGCACAUGUUCCGGCCAUGAAGCUGUACUGCUGUCUAACCAGGCACCCAUACGAGGCUUGGUGGGGUUUGUCGGCCGCCUGAACACCCAGAAGGCAGCAUUUAAAACUGCCUCCACAAGGCUACCCCUGCUGUGGCGGGUGCGUUGUGGUGUGUGCUCCUCAGAUGACUGUUGCCGAAUUGCACGGGCUUGAUGCUUUCGAGCUGCGUCCGCUGUUUGGUCUGCCGCCACUUGCUCAGGCGUUCGGUUGGCUCGCACCUCCGCUACCCGAGCUGCAUGUGCUGCUCGAUGCGUGGCCACUUGCUCAGGCGUUCGGUUGGCUCGUGCUUCCGACCACCGCGCCCACCGAGCAGUAGCUGCUGCUUGGUCUGCCGCCACCUGCUCAGGUGUCCGGUUGGCUCGCGCAUCUGCCCAUCGCGCUGCAGCUGCUGCUCGAUCCGCCGCCACUUGCUCAGGCGUCCAGUUGGCUCGCGCCUGCGCCUUUCUGGUUGCAUCCGCACUGGACAGCUGGGGUGUCGGGGGGGAAGGUGUGGCUUGAGUCCGGCCCAUCAAGCUCAGAAGCCACGAGCCUCCACCUGCAACUGUACCUAACCGCCGACGUCCUGCAUGAUGUCAGGAAGAGGAUUACUGGUCUACCGCCCAUGCAGGAGAUGGAGCAACAUCACAGGCAUCAGUCCCAACCAGGACUCCUUACCGGAACCAGAAUUGUCCAUAGAAAUGGCCAGUCAGACUGAUGUCGCGACAGGUUAUCCUCCUAUCCUCAAGAACUGCAAUGGAACACAGUACAUCGAUACAAGAGGCAGGCGGCUGGCAGAGGUUAAGGCCUGACUUCUGCUCCCAGUCGACCCAGUCGACCCGGGUUCAAAUCCGCCUGCCGGCUCCUCGGGUGUUUGAGGAGUGAUGAAAUGGGAGGUGGCCCCCCAUCAUAUGGACGGUGUAGGACGUGAUAAUACCACCCUGUAAAAACCACCCUGUAACAACAUACAUACAAGAUGCAGGCGGCUGGCAGAGGUUAAGGCCUGACUUCUGCUCCCAGUCGACCCAGUCGACCCGGGUUCAAAUCCGCCUGCCGGCUCCUCGGGUGUUUGAGGAGUGAUGAAAUGGGAGGUGGCCCCCCAUCUUAUGGACGGUGUAGGACGUGAUAAUAUCAACUUGCGAGCUGACCAGGAACUAAGUUGAUGCGCCGUUGAUCCGCUAGAUUUGGUUGGAUGCUGGUGGUGAGUUGCCGAACCCAACGAAUACAUUCUGAAGUCGGAUGGGGUGACGGAUUAGGGUGCCCCUCUAGCAGGGGAGAGCAGGGACUGCCCCGGGAAAGGGGGCCGCUGGCGAAGUUAACCACCCUGUAACAACAUACAUACAAGAUGUAUGUUCCGCAGCACCGCUGUUUGGUAGAAUUUUAUCCUGAAUCCGUAUGAUAAAUUUUAUCCUAAAAUUAAUGAAUACACUCGAGGGCCAAUGGCACACAUUACUUCUAUACAAUAACUGUGCUGCGCAGCAUCACUGAUUGAUAGAAUGUAUUCUGAAUCCGUAUGAUUCUAUAGAAUUUCUGCGACUGAAUUUAUCCCGGGGAAUGUUGCGGUGUGCGCGACUUCACGUCAUUUCGUGGCGGUUGGCUGUGUUUUUUGCGACUGUAUUUUAUCCCGGGGAAUUUCUGGAACUGUAUUUUAUCCCGGGGAAUUUCUGGAAUUUCUGCGACUGUAUUUUAUCCCGAAGAAUGUUGCGGUGUGCGCGACUUCACGUCAUUUCGUGGCGGAGCCGUUGUAGUCUAGUUUUCCACUGCAAGUCCUGUCCCACAGUGGAACUACGUGGAUAUACCCACAGCCACGCCCAGGCGUACCCGGUUAUCCUGAUAUUUUGUGAUAAACGUUUAACCUUGCAAGUUCAAGUCGAACAACACAACUACGCGCGUCUGUUGUUCGUUACCCACCACCGCACCCAGUCGUCCCCAUGGCCUGACGGCCCAGUAUCCGCGUGUCCCCGCCCACAUGUUCACGGUACACAUGCACGCGUCCACACUUCAUGCACACGCCCAUGUUACAUCCUCAUGUCCCGCGUCCACGCGUCCACGCGUCCAUGCUACAUCCACGUGUGGCUACAUCCACAGUGCCACGGUCCCAUGUGCCCACGUGCCCACACGCUCACGCAUCCAUGUGCCCUUGCAUCCUCGCGUCCUCACGUCCUGGUGUCCUCGCGUCCUCGCGUGCAACUCGCGUGCGACCCGUGAUUUGAACCCGCGACCUGUCGUCCUCGCAUCCUCGCGUUUCGGUGUGCAACUCGAAAUUCGCGGAGUGCGACUCGAACCCGCGACCUCUGAUUGUGAAGAGGGGGCGCGCUAACGAAAAACGCAAAGCUCCGGAACCAUCCAAUCGGGCGCGACUUUCCAACAAGCUCUGGACGCGAGCCGGUCACGGACGCGAUUCAGAGAAGAUGCCUUCCCUCCGCUUCGCUCUUCGCUGCGCUACGAGAAGCUACGGUGACUUCUGCAGCUUGCACGCAAGCGACCGGUCACUGGAUGCAUACCCAGGCGGUUGCUCCAUCCACAAUUCGUCAUAGAAUGGUUGACGCCAAGCCGAGAUCUACCCCUUUGCCUCCGGGCUUUAGGUAAGGGGGACGGAGAGGAGCUGCUGGGCAAUCCCACGGAGUAUAGGGCUUUGGUGGGAGGAUUGAACUAUCUGGCGACGAACACGCCGGUAUUCCUUUCCGAAAUAACAGUCGCCGCCAGCUGCCACCGCAGUCGAUUCUUCAAUACACUGCUGGAUGGUUCAGCCCCAGCCGGCGCCCCCUCGCCACCAAAGUGCGGCGAUCCCUCGCCGACGGUGCUACCUGGUAUCCCUUCGCCAGCCCUAGGCAGCGAUCCCUGUUAAGAAUAUGAACGCAAGGAGACUGGUCGCGACAUAAGGGUUAAAGUCUGUGGGUUAAUGGUGAACGGCAAGAAGACUUUAGGAGACUCCUGUUAAGGAAUACCGAUCCAUCCUAAGAUGAGAUACCAAGACUUGCAUAACUUGUGUCUUAUAUACCAGUACCAAUGGAAGUAUCGUACAGUCGCCCCCCAUCAACGCUGGACACGAGGACACGUCCGAGAUAGGCGGCCAAGAGACCCGAGGCAAGGUCGAGGCAUGGCCGAGGCAAAGUCGAGGCCAAGGUUGAGGCACGGGAUUCAUCGCCUAUCUACCACCUAUCUACGUUGGGAUAAGACCGCCCUUCAACAAUCCCUCACCUGGCAAGCUAGUGCGAAACUACUCCUCCUAGUCGGCAUCGGACUCAUAAUCGGAGUCCCCGGCAUUACGAUGCCGGCCGACAUUACACUCAUCAAAGCGUACAUUAGAAACUACAGCAAUAAUGCCGUCCUCGUACAGCACACGGUACUGUCCUCCGUUCCCGUAUCCGACAAGUUAUUUCACGCCUGCUCACCGGAUCGAACUUGUCGCGUUUGACGUCAGGUACCUGGACGUAGGUGACGCACCCAAAAACUCGAAGGUGACUGACGUUAGGACGGACGUUGAAGAAAGCUUCAUACGGCGUGACAGUUGACCCAGCAGUUGGCGACACAUUCCUUAGGUAAUUAAUUGGCUGUCGCCAACGCUUCCGCCCAUAGUGACUUAGGUAGACCGGACUCGACAACCAUAGCUCGACAAGCAUAGCUCUGGUUUUGUCUAGGAAAGUGCGAUUCAAACGUUCCGCUGCUCCGUUCUGCUCAGGGGUGUAGCCUACCGUAGUUCCAUGAACAAUACCCCUGUACGCGAAAUAGCCCUUCGUGCGAGUAUUAAUGAACUCCCCGCCACGAUCCGUACGAACCUCCUUAAUAUUGGAGAAAUGGCGACGGUGACGGCUAACGCUGAUUGUUGAUGUUGUUACAGGGUGGUUAAGCUUCACCAGCGGCCUCCUUCCCGAGGCAGUUCCCUGCUCUCCCCUGCUAGAGGGGCACCCUAAGCCAUUCACCCCAUCCGACUUCAGAGUGUAUUCGUUGGGUUCGGCAACUCACCACCAGCAUCCAACCAAAUCUAGCGGAUCAACGGCGCGUCAACUUAGUUCCUGGUCAGCUCGCGAGUUGAUUUUAUCACGUCCUACACCUUCCACAAGAUGGGGGGCCACCUCCCAUUUCAUCACCUCUCAAACACCCCGAGAGGUCGGCAGGCGGAUUUGAACCCGGACGCGCCGGGACGCGACGGGAGCAGAAGUCAGGCCUUAACCUCUGCCAGCCGCCUGCCUAUGAUUGUUAUCUCGGAAGAAUUGCCGGCGGCGAAGAUAUUUAGCACGAUAAAAUGUUACAAGUUAUGUAAAGGGUAUUAUAAGCGUUCGGCAGGACUUGAGGAGAUUCCUUUGAGGAAUACCGAUCGUUGUGAGAUAAACAAAUAAGUGCAGUCACCGCCCUAAAUACCGGCGCUAGCGGAAAACUCGUACAUUCCGUGAUCUAACUGCACGUACAUUCCGCGAUCUCACUGCGCCAUCCUGACGGUGCCCAAUGUCUAUCACUUAGCUACCGGAUAUGCAUCGGUAGCCCUAUAAGGUUCUGGGGUAAGUCUUCCCCAUUAGUCAGGCGCAGACCCGGGGUCAAAUCCCCUGGUCAACAACCACACGAGUUGGGAGAGGACCGUUUCCUCAACACGCCCCCUCGGGCCUCAACACGCCCCCUCGGGCCGUAUCCCAACGAGUACCAAGUUCAUCUGCACACUUCACACAAGGCCCAUCACAUCUCGGCAACGUUUGAACUUCACCUCGCCGAGAGCUUUCGUGAGCACAUCCGCAACCAUCCACUCCGUAGGGCAGUAUUCCAACUGCACCUCACCACUAUUCACCCUCUCACGCACUAUGUGAUGCUGCACGUCGAUGUGCUUCGACCGAGCAGACGUAAUCGGGUUAUUUUCCAAGCUAAGCGCCCCCUGGGAAUCUAUUUGGAUUCUGAUAGCGCUCUCAGGCAAACCCAAAUCAACCAUCAGCUUACGAAGCCACAAAGCCUCGAGAACAGCUGCUGCUGUCGCUUGAUACUCGGCCUCCACCGACGAAGCCGCCACAGUACGUUGAAGUUGGCUGCUCCAGCUAAUCGCAGCCCCAUUAAGAGUGAAAACGUAGCCGGAUGUAGAACGCCGCGUAACUGGGUCUCCUGCCCAGUCCGAAUCACUGUACCCGGACAUAGCAACAUCGCCAACACCCCCAAAACGCAAUCCUAGUUCGCGAGUCCCCGCCAGGUAACGCAGAACGCCGAUUGCUAAGUUCAUGGCAGUCUUCGUGGGUGCGGCCAUAUGCCGGGACAAAACGCUCAAUGCAUAUGAAAUGUCAGGCCGCGUGUUCGUCGCCAGAUAGUUCAAUUCUCCCACCAAAGCCCUAUACUCUGUGGGAUUGCCCAGCAGCUCCUCUCCGUCCCCCUUAGGAGUGUACCUAAAGCCCGGAGGCAAAGGGGUAGACCUCGGCUUGGCGUCAAUCAUCCUAUGACGCUCCAACAGCUGCGCAAUAUACCUAUGCUGCGACAACACUAUCUCACCCGACUUCUCCCUCCUAAUUUCCAUGCCCCAAAACACCUUCGCUUCUCCAAGGUCGCGCACCUUGAAGACCUUUGCAAUUGCAGCUUUAAUUGCCCGGACCAUUUCUGGGUCUUCCGACGCAACAAUGGUGUCAUCUACAUGCACCAAAGCAAUAACAACCCCACGCUCGUCCGUCUUAACGAACAUCGCCGGAUCAGACUUCGAAGGAUAAAGACCCAGCUUAGCGAACUCUGCUGAUAGCUUUUCAUACCAGCAACGGGGUGCCUGCUUCAAACCGUAAAUAGACUUCUGCAGCUUGCACGCAAGCGACCGGUCACUGGAUGCAUACCCAGGCGGUUGCUCCAUCCACAACUCCUCCUUCAGCUCACCAUUCAGAAACGCAGUAGACACAUCGAGCUGAUGUACCGUCAUGUUCCGGGCUGCGGCAACUGCUAAUAAAGCACGCAAUGACGAACCACGAGAGGUAGGGGCAAACAACUCCCCAUAAUCAAUCCCCUCGCGUUGCUCGAAACCCUUGGCAACUAAACGCGCCUUAAAACGCUCCACGCUGCCGUCAUCGCUGUACUUAACCUUAUACACCCAACGACACGGCAACAAACGAGUACCAGGAGGUGGCUUCUUCAGCUCCCAAGUACUGUUAGCCAUCUGGGCGGCGAUCUCCUCGUCCAUCGCACGCCGCCAGUCGUCUGCAUUUGGACUUGCAAUGGCUUCUGCAAACGAAUUAGGUUCAGGAAUACCAGCAGAGAAAGCAGCGUUAACACGACCAGUGACAGUGCGACCAGGUUCGUUUCGCUACCAUUCGUCAGGGCGUUUACACUCUCUAACUGGGUACCUAGUUCCCGCCAUUUCCACAUUAGGCUGAUUGAUUCCUUGCCCGUUCGCACUGCUGGAAGGUCCAGCCCCAGCCGGCUCCCCCUCGCCACCCAAAUAAGGCGAUCCUUCGCCGACUUCUACCUGGUGUCCCUUUGCCAGCCCUAGGCAGCGAUCCCUCACCAGAUAAACUAGUGCGAAACUCCUCCUCCUCGUCGGCAUCGGACUCAUAAUCGGAGUCCCCGGCAUUACACCGCCGGCCGACAUUAGAUUCAUCGAAACGAACGUUAGAAACUACGGCAAUAAUGCCGUCCUCGUAUAGUACACGAUACUGUCCACCGUUCCCGUAUCCGACAAGUAUUCCACGCCUGCUCACCGGGUCGAACUUGUCGCGCUUGACGUCGGGUACGUGGAUGUAGGCAACGCAUCCAAAGACUCGCAGGUGACUGACGUUCGGACGAACAUUAAAGAAAGCUUCGUACGGAGUGACGGUUGACCCAGCAGUUGGCGACACAUUCCUAAGAUAGUUGGCUGUCGCUAACGCCUCCGCCCAUAAUGAUUUAGGCAGUCCAGACUCAACGAGCAUAGCCCUAGUCUUGUCCAAAAGAGUGCGUUUUAACGUUCCGCAGCUCCGUUCUGCUCAGGGGUGUAGCCUACCGUAGUCCCGUGUACAAUACCCCUGGAAGCGAAAUAGCCCUUCGUGCGAGUAUCAACGAACUCCCCGCCACGAUCUGUACGCACCUCCUUAACCUGCCUGCCAGUAGCGCGCUCCAGUUCCGCUAUCAUUACCACCAUCUUCUGGUAGACCUCCUCCUUGGUCGCUGUAAACGCAACAGCUGAAAGACCAGUAUGAUCGUCAAGAAGGGUGGUCACAUAACGCGAACCAUUUGGUGAAGGUUCAGGCAUAGGUCCACACACAUCCAUGUGAAUGAGUGCGAGAGGCUGCGCUGCCUUAUGCCCAGUUAGCGGAAAAGGACCACGUGUAUGCUUAGCAAAGACGCAAGUCUCACACACACACGCGCUGGCUAAUUGUAUGCUGUGUCGGUCAACAUCGAAUCCAGCUACCAUAUCAUGACGCAGCAGCGCCUCAAGGUUGCUGUAUCCCAAGUGGCCAUACCUUCGGUGCCAAAGUGCUGCACGUUCAGCUCCGAUACCAACGGCAUCACACACUGCAUCACCACCAGAAGGUAUCCUGUUGUCUUCACGCUGCGUCCACUUCAGAGCGCCAGUACCUCCACUGCUGUAGUAGACGGGAUACAAGUCCCCAUCCCGCUUUCCAGUCAGCACCAACUGAUUCUGUACGUACACUUUCACCUGUCCGCCGCCGAAGACCACACUGCCUCCACGAUCAUCAAUGAUGCGGACCGAUAUGAUUUUAGCAGUGGCCUCCUCGUUGACGUAGACCUUCUUGAAAGUGAUGGCCUGUUUAUCGUUGACGUUAGACCGAAUCGUAAGCGUGCCAACUUCAGUCGGCUGAAGAGACUGUCCCUUGAUGCCCAUGAUGUUGAAGCGCUCCCAUGGCUCCAAUAACCGCACGUUGGAAAGUUCUGAGCGGUCAUACGUUAUGUGGUGAGUGGCUGCUGAGUCCAGAAACCAUUCCGUCGGACGCUCGCUGUUAUAUGCCACGAACGCUACCUGCCGCGGAACUCCUGGUCCCCUAGCUGAUCCACCGGAUCCUGGCUUGCUGCCGCUAUCUCCGCUGCCACUAGCUCCGCUGCCACUAGCUCCGCUGCCACUGUUGUUGUAGCGACCCUUAUAUCCAGAAUUUGACGACUGCUUCAGCGCUUUAAGCUGCCUGCAGUCCUUUACCACGUGCCCAGGCUUAUUACAGUAGUAGCAGAUGAGUUGCUUCCGACUGUGUCCCGAGCUGUUGUUAGCCGGCCCCCGGCUACCAUAACAUAACCAGAAGUAGAAGCGCCGAACGUAGAUCCGCCGACAGACGCGAAGGCUGCCGACUCGGUAGGCUUGCCCGACCCACCGUUAGCAGUCUCGACAGAGAGAAGCUUUGCUGUGACGUUCGCCAUGUCCAAAUCGCCGUCGCGCAUAAGUAAUGUAGUCGUCACCACGCUUUACCGACUGGGUAGACCAACCAGGACGGUGUACACCAGCUCGGAGUCGUUAAUUACGUGGCCGACUCCCAAUAAAUCUGUUUGCAGCUGCCUUGCACGCGCAAAGUACAUCGGAAGAGGUUCAACGUCGACCAUCUUAAAACGGCUGAAUUCUUGACGUAGAGACACCUUGCGGGCGUUGUUGUUGGCAGCAAACAUAGAGCCCAAGGCGUCCCAGGCCUUCUUCGCGUUGGCAGCACCGGUAACCAUCGGCAAGUGGUGAUCCUUGACGUUCUUGAUGAGCAGAUUGAUGACCUUCCGUGAUUGUCGAAUCUGCUCCUCGUUGCACGGCUCGGCGAGCAAGGAUUGCUCAAGCCCAAGCUCCAUGCACAUCGCGCUAAACCUGAUAUGCCAGGUGGAGUAGUUGUGGAGGUCCAGCGGCUCAUCAAGCUUGUCCUUGACCAUCAACAAUGGUGUUGAUAAGGGAUAGAAAUAACAAUCGUAGGCGGCUGGCUGAGGUUAAACACCCGAGAGGUCGGCAGGCGGAUUUGAACCCGGGUCGACCGGGAGCAGAAGCCAGGCCUUAACCUCUGCCAGCCGCCUGCCUGCCUGGUUGUUAUCUCGGAAGAAUUGCCGGCGGCGAAGAUAUUUAGCACGAUAAAAUGUUACAAGUUAUGUAAAGGGUAUUAUAAGCGUUCGGCAGGACUUGAGGAGAUUCCUUUGAGGAAUACCGAUCGUUGUGAGAUAAACAAAUAAGUGCAGUCACCGCCCUAAAUACCGGCGCUAGCGGAAAACUCGUACAUUCCGCGAUCUAACUGCACGUACAUUCCGCGAUCUCACUGCGCCAUCCUGACGGUGCCCAAUGUCUAUCACUUAGCUACCGGAUAAGCAUCGGUAGCCCAUAAGGUUCUGGGGUAAGUCUUCCCCAUUAGUCAGGCGCAGACCCGGGGUCAAAUCCCCUGGUCGACAACCACACGAGUUGGAAGAGGACCGUUUCCUCAACACUUAACCUGCCUGCCAGAAGCGCGCUCCAGUUCCGCUAUCAUUACCACCAUCUUCAGAUAGACCUCCUCCUUGGUCGCUGUAAACACAACUGCUGAAAGACCGGUAUGGCCGUCAAGCAGAGUUGUCACGUAACGCGAACCACUAGGCGAAGGUUCAGGCAUAGGUCCACACACAUCCAUGUGAACUAAUGCUAGUGGCUGUGCUGCCUUGUGCCCUGUCAGCGGAAAAGGAACUCGUGUCUGUUUUGCAAAAACGCAGGUCUCACAAACACACGUACUCGCUUUCUGAAAGCUGUGCUGGUCGACGUCAAAUCCCAUUACCAUAUUGUGGCACAGCAACGCCUCGAGGUUGCUGUAGCCCAAAUGUUCGUAACACCGACGGUUUAGUGCGAUGUGCAUGGAGCUUCGGCUUGAGCAUUCUUUGCUCGCCGAGCCGUGCAACGAGGAGCAGAUUCAUCAAUCACGGAAGGUCAUCAAUCUGCUUAUCAAGAACGUCAAGGUCACCGGUGCAGCCAACGCGAAGAAGGCUUGGGAUGCCUUGAACUUGAUGUUCGCUGCCAACAACAGUGAAGCUUAACCACCCUGUAACAACAUCAACAACGCCUGCAAGGUGGCUCUACACCAAGAAUUCAGCCGCUUCAAGAUGGUUGACUGUGAGCCACUUCCGAAGUAUUUCCGCGUGCGGGGCAGCUGCAAACGGACUUGUUGGGUGUUGGCCACGUAAUCAACAACUCCGAGCUGGCGUAUACCGUCUUAGUUGGUCUACCCAAUCGGUACAGCAUGGUGACGACAACACUACUGAUGCGUGAUGGCGAUUUGGACAUGGCGAGCGUCACAGCAAAGCUUCUCACUAUCGAGACGGCUAACGGUGGGUCGGACAAGCCUACCGAGUCGGAAGCCUUCACGUCUCUCGGCGGUUCGAUGUUCGGCGCUUCUAAUUCUGGUUAUGGCAGCCGGGGGCCGGCUAGCAGCAGCUCGGGACACAGUAGGAAACAACUCAUCUGCUACUACUGUAAUAAGCCUGGGCACGUGGUAAAGGACUGCUGGCAGCUUAAAGCACUCAAGCAGUCAUCAAUUUCUGGAAAUAAGGGUGGCUACAACAACAGUGGCAGCGGAGCUCGGGGCAGCAAUCCAGGAUCCGGUGGAUCAGCUAGGGGGCCAGGAGUUCCGCGGCAGGUAGCGUUCGUGGCAUACAACAGCAGGCGGCUGGCAGAAGUUAAGGCCUGGCUUCUGCUCCCGUCGCGUCCCGUCGCGUCCGGGUUCAAAUCCGCCUGCCGACCUCUCGGGGUGUUUGAGAGGUGAUGAAAUGGGAGGUGGCCCCCCAUCUUGUGGACGGUGUAGGACGUGAUAAAAUCAACUCGCGAGCUGACCAGGAACUAAGUUGACGCGCCGUUGAUCCGCUAGAUUUGGUUGGAUGCUGGUGGUGAGUUGCCAAACUCAAAGAGUUCACUCUGAAGUCGGAUGGGGUGAAUGGCUUAGGGUGCCCCUCUAGCAGGGGAGAGCAGGGAAUUGCCUCGGGAAGGAGGCCACUGGUGAAGCUUAACCACCCUGUAACAACAUCAACAGCGAGCGUCCGACGGAAUGGUUUCUGGACUCAGCAUCUACUCACCACGUCACUUACGACCGAUCCGAACUACACAAUGCACGUGUGUUGGGGCCUUGGGAACGCUUCAGCAUUGUGGGCAUUAAGGGUCAAUCACUGCGUCCGACGGAGGUUGGAUCGCUUACCAUUCGAUCUAAUGUCAACGACAAUCAAGCCAUCACAUUCAAAAGGGUCUACGUUGACGAGGAGGCGAUGGUAAAGAUUUUGUCCGUCCGUAUCAUCGACGAUCGCGGAGGUAGCGUCGUCUUCAGUGACGGUCAAGUACAGGUAUACUUGCAAAAUCAUUUAGUGUUGACCGGUGAACGGGACGGUGAUCUCUACCCCAUUUGCUAUCGAGGUGGAAGUACAGGCACCAUCAGGAGGACGCAGAAUACGAGCUACUGUGACAACGGACAUGGUACAACAUGCACCGCUGUGAAUUCCAAGACGGAGCGUGCAACACUUUGGCAUCGGUGUUACGGACAUCUUGGCUACAGCAACCUCGAGGUGUUGCUGCGCACAAUAUGGUAAUGGGAUUUGACGUCGACCAGCACAGUUUCCAGAAAGCCAGCAUGGGUGUUUGUGAGACCUGCGUUUAUGCAAAACAGACACGAGGUCCUUUUCCGUUAACAGGACACAAGGCAGCUCAGCCACUAGCACUAGUUCACAUGUAUGUGUGUGGACCUACUUUCGCCUAGUGGUUCGCGUUAUGUGACAACUCUGCUUGACGACCAUACCGGUCUUUCAGCUGUUGCAUUUACAGCGACCAAGGAGGAGGUCUAUCAGAAGAUGGUGGUAAUGAUAGCGGAACUGGAGCAUGCUUCUGGCAGGCAGGUUAAGGAGGUGCGUACGGAUCGUGGCGGGGAGUUCAUUAAUACUCGCACGUGUUAAGAAUAUGAAGGCAAGGAGACUGGUCGCGAUAUAGGAGUUACAGUCUGUUAUAGCCAUCGGAGUGGUGGCAUGGUGUUGCAGGAAGGAGGAUAGUAGGUCGCAUUAACAUGGCUGUCACUUAUCCGUACCCUGCUGAACUUUUGCUGAGUAAUACUUUCACUGAAGCCGUUUCAGGUGCAAAUGCAAAUGAGUGGCGCAGAGUGAUGGUCGAGGAGAUUGCUGCAUUAGCAGCUAACGGCACUUGUGAGCUGUGUGCACAGCCUCUUGAUGUGCUAAUGUACCGGUGGUUGUACAAGUUGAAAAGAGUGGAAGGUGACACGGUCAAGCGCUUUUUUGCAUGGCUAGUUGCAAAAAUGUACGAGAAGUACGACACCUUGGAGAAGUGUGUUAAGAAUAUGAAGGCAAGGAGACUGGUCGCGAUAUAGGAGUGUCUGUGGGUUAGUGGUGAACGGCAAGAAGACUUUAGGAGAUUCUUAUGAAGGAAUACCGAUCCAUCCGAAGAUGAGAUAAAAAGGCUUGCUUAACUCUUGCCUUAUGUACCGAUACCAACAGAAGUAUCGUACAGUCGUCCACCAUCCCUGGACCUGAGGUCACGUCCGAGAUACGCGGCCGAGGGACCCGAGGCAAGGUCGAGGCACGGCCGAAGCAAGGUCGAGGCACGGCCGAGGCAACACCUAUCACGGCGGAUUCAUCACCUAACUAUCAUAUAACUAACAUUGGGAUAGGACCACCCUUCAACACGCCCCCUCGGGGCACAUAAUCGCAGUAGCACAUUUGCUCCACCAAUGGGCACUUCACACAACGCCCAUAGCUUCUCUGCACCGUUUGAACCUCACUUCUCCCAGUGCCUUCGUGAGCGCAUCCGCUACCAUCCACUCUGUAGGGCAGUACUCCAACUGCACCGCCCCGCUAUUCACCCUCUCACGCACUAUGUGGUGCUGCAUGUCGAUGUGUUUCGACCGAGCAGACGUAAUCGGAUUAUUUCCCAAGCUAAGCCCCCUGGGAGUCUAUCUGGAUUUUGACCGCGCUCUCAGGCAAGCCCAAAUCGACCAUCAGCUUGCGAAGCCACAAAGCUUCACGAACAGUCACCGCUGUAACUUGGUACUCGGCCUCUACCAACAAAGCAGCCACAGUACUUUGAAGUUGGCUGCUUCAGCUAAUCCCAGCCCCAUUAAGAGUGAAUACGUAACCGGAUGUAGAACGCCGCGUAACUGGGUCUCCUGCCCAGUCCGAAUCACUGUACCCGGACAUUGCAACACCACAAACACCCCCAAAACGCAAUCCUAGUUCGCGAGUACCCGCCAGGUAAGGCAGAACGCCGGUUGCCAAGUUCAUGGCAGUCUUCGUAGGUGUGGCCAUAUGCCGGGACAAGACCCUCCAUGCAUAAGGAAUGUCAGGCCGUGUGUUCGUCACUAGGUAGUUCAACUCUCCCACCAAAGCCCUAUACUGUGGGAUUACCCAGCACCUCAUCUGUAUCCCCCGUAGGUGUGCACAUAAAACCCGGAGGCAAAGGGUAGACCGUGGCUUGGUGUCCACCAUCUGGUGACGUUCCAAUAGCUGCUAAAUAUUGCGACAACAACAAUUCGCCCGGCUCUUCCUCUAAUUCCAUGCCCGAAUAUACCUGCACUUUGUUAAGAAUAUGAAGGAGGCAAGGAGACUGGUCGCGAAAGGUUACAGUCUGUGGGUUAGUGGUGAACGGCAAGAAUACCAAGCUACAGCGGCGGCUGUUUGUGAAGUUUUGUGGCUUCACAUGCUGAUAGUCGAUUUGGGUUUUGCUGUUGUGGAAACGGUACCUCUCCCUACUCGAGGAAUGUCAGACAGGGGAUAUGACCCCGGGUCUGUCUGAGACAAGCGGCGAAACUUAACCCGUCACUUAUGGGACUACUAAUGCACAACCGUUAGUUAGUGGUGUACGUUUGGGCACCGUCAGGAUGGCUCCGCUAGAUCGCGGAAUGAUAGGUGGGCGAAUCCACCUGACUGAUUGGCGCCUAUCAGCGACAGUCGUGCACCGCGACCGGGUCCGGCGGGCCUGUCCCAACGUUAGUGCAGGAUGGUAGGCGGGCAUAUCCAAGAUUGAUUGAUAGGCGAUGACUCCGGCCGCGUAUCUCGGACGUCCCCUCGUGCCCAGCGUUGAUGGUGGGCGACUGUACGGUACUUCCGUUGGUAUCGGUACAUAAGACCCAGAGUGCUGCAAUCUUUCUAUCUCAUCUUCGGAUGGAUCGGUAUUCCUUAACAGGAAUCUCCUAAAGUCUUCUUGCCGUUCACCACUAACCCACAGACACUCCCAUAUCGCGACCAGUCUCCUUGCCUUCAUAUUCUUAACACACUUCUCCAAGGUGUCGUACGUCUCGUACAUUUUUGCAACUAGCCAUGCAAAAAAGCGCUUGACCGUGUCACCUUCCACUCUUUUCAACUUGUACAACCACCGGUACAUUAGCACAUCAAGAGGCUGUGCACACAGCUCACAAGUGCCGUUAGCUGCUAAUGCAGCAAUCUCCUCGACCAUCACUCUGCGCCACUCAUUUGCAUUUGCACCUGAAACGGCUUCAGUGAAAGUAUUACUCAGCAAAAGUUCAGCAGGGUACGGAUAAGUGACAGCCAUGUUAAUGCGACCUACUAUCCUCCUUCCUGCAACACCAUGCCACCACUCCGAUGGCUUGCACCACUAGAUGUUCCGGCUUCAUCCGGCAUUCCUUCACCUUCCACAGGUGGUGCCUAGCCGACUGUGUUUCUUAAGUCUACCAGAGCUUGGCAGAGGCCCUGACUCAGGUACACCAAUACUAGCCGCUUCGGAGUCAGACAAUUCCCCUGAACCUUGAUAGUUGUUCUUAUCUUGCAGCAAAAAAUACACGGCAUCACUGCACUGCUGCCACCGCCUGUCUGUUGAGGCAUGCUACCCCACCUGCCACAUGCGGGCGCCAACACCACCUCCACUCAUUCUCUGCACGUAAGGUUGCGGCUCUCUGCAACUCCGAGAUACACGGCCCGUCUGUUUAUAGUUGUAGCAAACGAUCGCCUGUUGCAUUCCACGCUGUCGACUGGAUACAAACUUUUCACGGCACUCACGUCCGCCAGUCGUCUGCAUGUGGGCCUGAGAUGGCUUCGGCAUAAACGUUAGGUUCUGAAUCGCAGCAGAUACUGCAGCAAUGACUCGGCCUGUAGCACUACGACCUGGUACACUCCUUAACCACUCGCCAGGACGUUUGCAUUCCCUAACUGAAUACCGAGCCCCCAGCAUUUCCACAUCAGGGUGUGUAUUUCCUUGCACAUUCACACUUCUGGGAGGUCCAGCCCCAGCCAGCGCCCCCUCGCCACCCAAAUGCGACGAUCCCGCGCUGACGGUAUUGCCUGAUGUCCAUUCGCCAGCCCUAGGCAGCGACCCCUCACCAGCUAGCGUGCAACCCUCGUCGGCAUCGGACCCAUCAUUGGAAUCCCUGGCAUUAUGCCGCUGACCGUCACUAGGCUCAUCAAAGAGGACAUUGGAGACCACGGAGAUGAUGCUGUCCUCAUACAUAACACGAUACUGUCCUCCAUACCCAUAUUCGGCCAGGAUUCCUCAGAUGCUUACUGUUGUAAGCUACAAAAGCAACCUGCUUCGGGAAACCGGAUCCCUUGCUAGACCCACCGAGCCCAGGCUUGCUGAAAUAGAAGCAAAUCACCUCUUGGAGAAGAACGCCAGAACUGCUGCUGGCCGCGCCGUGAUUCCUAAGACCAGAACCAGAGGCGCCAAACGUGAGACCGCCGACAGAAGCAAAAGCUGCCGACUCGGUAGGCGUACCAGACCCACCGCUUGCCAUCUCGAGAGUCAAGAACUUCGAGGUGACGAUAUAUAGCCAUGUCCGAAUCGCCGUCACGCACCAGUAGGGAUGUCGUUACCAUGCUGAAGCGGCUGGGCAAACCAACAAGCAAAGUGUGUGCCCGCUCAGAAUCGCUGAUAACGUGUCCUACUCCCAAACAAGUCCGACUGUAAUUGCUUGCAGGCGUCCUAUGCCUUCUUCGCGUUAGCUAUGUAAGCUACUAGCGUGAGCCGGGGCUCAUAACCUGUUAAGAUUAUGAAGGCAAGGAGACUGGUCGCGAUAUAGGAGUUACAGUCUGUGGGUUAGUGGUGAACGGCAAGAAGACUUUAGGAGAUUCCUAUGAAGGAAUACCGAUCCAUCCGAAGUUGAGAUAGAAAGGCUUGCUUAACUCUUGCCUUAUGUACCGAUACCAACGGAAGUAUCGUACAGUCGUCCACCAUCCCUGGACCUGAGGACACGUCCGAGAUACGCGGCCGAGGGACCCGAGGCAAGGUCGAGGCACGGCCGAAGCAACGCCUAUCACGGCGGAUUCAUCACCUAACUACCACCUACCUACGUUGGGAUAGGACCGCCCUUCAACAGCACGAAGGGCUAUUUCGCGUCCAGGGGUAUUGUACACGGAACUACGGUAGGCUAUACCCCUGAGCAGAACGGAGCAGCGGAACGUUUGAAUUGCACUCUCCUAGACAAAACCAGGGCUAUGCUUGUCGAGUCCGGUCUACCUAAGUCAUUAUGGGCGGAAAUGUUGGCGACAGCCAAUUACCUCAGGAAUGUGUCGCCAACUACUGGGUCAACUGUCACGCCGUAUGAAGCUUUCUUCAACGUCCGUCCUAACGUCAGUCAUCUUCGAGUUUUUGGGUGCGUCGCCUACGUCCACGUACCUGACGUCAAACGCAACAAGUUCGAUCCGGUGAGCAGGUGGGGAAUACUUGUUGGAUACGGGAACGGAGGACAGUACCGUGUGCUGUACGAGGUCGGCAUUAUUGCCGUAGUUUCUAACGUUCGCUUUGACGAGUCUAACGUCGGCCGGCGUUGUUAUGCCGGGGAUUCUGAUUAUGAAUCCGAUGCCGACGAGGAGGAGGAUUUUCGCACUAGCUUGCCUGGUAAGGUGUCGCUGCCUAGGGCUGGCGAAGGAAUACCAGGUAGCACCGUCGGCGAGGGAUCGCCGCAUUUGGGUGGCGAAGGGGCGCCGGCUGGGGCUGGACCAUCCAGCAGUGCGAACGUGCAAGGUAACAAUCAGCCUGAUGUGGAAAUGGCAGGGACACGAUAUCCAGUUAGAGAACGUUAACGCCCUGGCGAAUGGUGGCGAAACGAACCUGGUCGCACUGUCACUGGUCGCGUUAACGCUGCUUUCUCUGCUGGUAUUCCUGAACCUAAUUCGUUUGCGGAAGCCAUUGCAAGUCCACAUGCAGAAGACUGGCGGCGUGCGAUGUAUGAGGAGAUUGGUGAGGAAACGGUCCUCUCCCAACUCGUGUGGUUGUCGACCAGGGGAUUUGACCCCGGGUCUGCACCUGACUAAUGGGGAAGACUUACCCCAGAACCUUAUGGGGCUACCGAUGCAUAUCCGGUAGCUAAGUGAUAGACAUUAGGGCACCGUCUGGACGGCGCAGUGAGAUCGCGGAAUGUACGUUCAGUUAGAUCGCGGAAUGUACGAGUUUUCCGCUAGCGCCGGUAUUUAGGGCGCCUACUAGUUUAUCUCACAACGAUCGGUAUUCCUACCAGGAAUCUCCUCAAGUCCUGCCGAACGCUAAUAAUACUCUUUACAUUACUUGUAACAGUUUAUCGUGCUAAAUAUCUUCGCCACCGGCAAUCCUUCCGGAAUAACAAUCAGCGUUAGCCGUCACCGUCGCCAAUUCUCCAAUAGGUUAUGAGCCCCGCUUAGCGCCGACAGCUAUCGCUCAAUUGUUAUUUCUAUCCCUCAUCGACAAUGGUUAAGGACAAGCUUGAUGAGUCGCUGGACCUCAACAACUACUCUACCUGGCAAAUUCGGUUUAGCGCGAUGUGCAUGGAGCUUGGGCUUGAGCAAUCCCUGCUCGCUGAGCCGUGCAACGAGGAGCAAAUUCGACAGUCACGGAAGGUCAUCAAUCUGCUCAUCAAGAACGUCAAGGAUCAUCAUUUGCCGAUGGUUACCGGUGCUGCCAACGCGAAGAAGGCCUGGGACGCCUUGGGAUCUAUGUUUGCAGCCAACAACAACGCCCGCAAGGUGUCUCUACGUCAAGAAUUCAGCCGUUUUAAGAUGGUCGACGGCGAACCUCUUCCGAUGUACUUUGCGCGUGCAAGGCAGCUGCAAACAGAUUUAUUGGGAGUCGGCCACGUAGUUAACGACUCCGAGCUGGCGUACACCGUGCUAGUUGGUCUACCCAGUCGGUACAGCGUGGUGACGACUACAUUACUUAUGCGCGACGGCGAUUUGGACAUGGCGAGCGUCACAGCAAAGCUUCUCUCUAUCGAGACGGCUAACGGUGGGUCGGGCAAGCCUACCGAGUCGGCAGCCUUCGCGUCUGUCGGCGGUUCGACGUUCGGCGCUUCUACUUCUGGUUAUGGUAGCCGGGGGCCGGCUAACAACAGCUCGGGACAUAGUCGGAAGCAAGUCAUCUGCUACUACUGUAAUAAACCUGGGCACGUGGUUAAGGACUGCAGGCAGCUUAAGGCGCUGAAGCAGUCGUCAAAUUCUGGCUACAAGGGUGGCUACAGCAACAGUGGUAACGGAGGUAGUGGCAGCGGAGCUAGCGGCAGCAAGCCAGGAUCCGGUGGAUCAGCUAGGGGGCCAGGAGUUCCGCGGCAGGUAGCAUUCGUGGCAUACAACAGCAAUCGUCCGACGGAAUGGUUUCUGGACUCAGCCGCUACUCACCACAUAACGUAUGACCGCUCAGAACUUUCCAACGUGCGGUUGUUGGAGCCAUGGGAGCGCUUCAACAUCAUGGGCAUCAAGGGACAAUCUCUUCGACCGACUGAAGUUGGCACGCUUACGAUUCGGUCUAACGUCAACGAUAAACAGGCCAUCACUUUCAAGAAGGUCUACGUCGACGAGGAGGCCACCGCCAAAAUCAUAUCGGUCCGCAUCAUUGAUGAUCGUGGAGGCAGUGUGGUCUUCGGCGGCGGACAGGCGAAAGUAUACGUACAGAACCAGUUGGUGCUGACUGGAAAGCGGGAUGGGGACUUGUAUCCCGUCUGCUACAGCAGUGGAGGUACGGGAGCUCUGAAGAGGACGCAGCGUGAAGACAACAGGAUACCUUCUGGUGGUGGUGUGGUGUGGUUGUUACAGUGGGCUCCAGACUCCCGAAGAGUAGAGCCAUCGGGCCAGCUGGCCGUGCACUGCAGUAGAGACUAAUAUACCAAAAGAUUAUCAUCUCAGAUAAUUAACCUCUCAUCGGUAACCGCUCUCGCGAACAAAUCAAUUUGCCAGAUAUAAUCCUCAAAAAGGGGUGAUGUGCGCCAACGGAUUCCCAACCUUUUCCUGGAAUUCCUAAAGCUGCGAAACCCUGAAUGCGGCCCCAAAAAUCAACAAUAACUCGACAAAUUGCUUCUUCCGUAAGGGAAGGACCAGGUAACAGUGCCGGGUUGGUUUUCAUGUUUGCAGCCAUAUAACGUCUCCCAUGCUCCAUGGCUGACACCGCAGCAAGAGCCACAACAUCCCAAACACAUUGUUGCACUGAUUGUGGGGCUUGGAUAAGCCAAAGUUGCUCCCUUGAGACUGGCAAUCCUAUUGAAAGAGUAAGUUGAUCUGCUAUUGCCUGUGCCACCGGACAGGCCCAGAAAUGAUGAUAGCGAGGGGAUACACCUCCCACUGAACCUAUUGGAUAACCUCCACAACCACAUAUCGUUGGGCGCGACAUCCUAAGAUGGGAAUUUCCUAACAUAGGCACCCCAUCAACCGCAAGACGCCAACAAAUCUCUUUUUGUUCAUUUUCCCACCGUAAAUGAAACCAUAAACGAUGGAAUGUCCGUUGCAAAAGAAGAAUAGCUUCAUCCAAUAUCUCAGAAGAACCCGUCGCCUCUUUGAUGAAAAGGGUAUGGGCCACACGGCGAGCCAUCGAAAAAGGUGAAAGUUGCAUAUUAGUCGCUAUUUUAACGGAUAAUUGUUGGAAUCGGAUUGGAGGCCCUACACCCCAUCUCCAACCAAGCCUCGACACUAGGGUUUGAGUAACCGACUCAAUAGGGGGCACCAUCGCUUCCCUAGAUUCUACACUCAGCGGCAACAAAAGACUAGCCGCCUGUCUCCAAUUCGCUGGAAUAUCAUCUAGAAGAGCGGCAAUAGCAUCCAUACAUUCCUGCGGUUAAGGCCUGACUUCUGCUCCCAGUCGACCCAGUCGACCCAGUCGACCCGGGUUCAAAUCCGCCUGCCGGCUCCUCGGGUGUUUGAGGAGUGAUGAAAUGGGAGGUGGCCCCCCAUCUUAUGGACGGUGUAGGACGUGAUAAUAUCAACUUGCGAGCUGACCAGGAACUAAGUUAAUGCGCCGUUGAUCCGCUAGAUUUGGUUGGAUGCUGGUGGUGAGUUGCCGAACCCAACGAAUACAUUCUGAAGUCGGAUGGGGUGACGGAUUAGGGUGCCCCUCUAGCAGGGGAGAGCAGGGACUGCCCCGGGAAAGGGGGCCGCUGGCGAAGUUAACCACCCUGUAACAACAUACAUACAUUCCUGCCAUUUACGAUAGGUGCACAGGGAUUUAGCUAGUGGGGUUUGCGGUUGGAGGUAUUUAUCCACUAUUUGAUGCCAAGCCUUGCGUAUUGCUAGGCCUGCUUGGUCCGUUGCAUUCAUAACUCCAUCCAAGGCCUCUCGCGCGCAAAGAACAUCUCCCAACGUAUGCAAUGCUUUACAGCCCAGGAGGGCUUGAUGACGAAAUUCUAGUCCCGGGCGGAUGUUAUCUAACUGGACAUUCAAUUUUUUUUCUGGAAGAACAGGGUUUCCCCACAAUGGCAAAUUCCAACACCACGCAUUAGGAACUAACGGGUGGUCAUCAACAUCUUCCACUGGGGGAAGGUAUGCCAACGCUGUCACAAUGCGCUGAACAUCUGGCGGAAAACGAUNNNNNNNNNNNNNNNNNNNNNNNNNNNNNNNNNNNNNNNNNNNNNNNNNNAUGGAUGUCCGUUGCAAAGAAGAAUAGCUUCAUCCAAUAUCUCAGAAGAACCCGUCGCCUCUUUGAUGAAAAGGGUAUGGGCCACACGGCGAGCCAUCGAAAAAGGUGAAAGUUGCAUAUUAGUCGCUAUUUUAACGGAUAAUUGUUGGAAUCGGAUUGGAGGCCCUACACCCCAUCUCCAACCAAGCCUCGACACUAGGGUUUGAGUAACCGACUCAAUAGGGGGCACCAUCGCUUCCCUAGAUUCUACACUCAGCGGCAACAAAAGACUAGCCGCCUGUCUCCAAUUCGCUGGAAUAUCAUCUAGAAGAGCGGCAAUAGCAUCCAUACAUUCCUGCGGUUAAGGCCUGACUUCUGCUCCCAGUCGACCCAGUCGACCCAGUCGACCCGGGUUCAAAUCCGCCUGCCGGCUCCUCGGGUGUUUGAGGAGUGAUGAAAUGGGAGGUGGCCCCCCAUCUUAUGGACGGUGUAGGACGUGAUAAUAUCAACUUGCGAGCUGACCAGGAACUAAGUUAAUGCGCCGUUGAUCCGCUAGAUUUGGUUGGAUGCUGGUGGUGAGUUGCCGAACCCAACGAAUACAUUCUGAAGUCGGAUGGGGUGACGGAUUAGGGUGCCCCUCUAGCAGGGGAGAGCAGGGACUGCCCCGGGAAAGGGGGCCGCUGGCGAAGUUAACCACCCUGUAACAACAUACAUACAUUCCUGCCAUUUACGAUAGGUGCACAGGGAUUUAGCUAGUGGGGUUUGCGGUUGGAGGUAUUUAUCCACUAUUUGAUGCCAAGCCUUGCGUAUUGCUAGGCCUGCUUGGUCCGUUGCAUUCAUAACUCCAUCCAAGGCCUCUCGCGCGCAAAGAACAUCUCCCAACGUAUGCAAUGCUUUACAGCCCAGGAGGGCUUGAUGACGAAAUUCUAGUCCCGGGCNNNNNNNNNNNNNNNNNNNNNNNNNNNNNNNNNNNNNNNNNNNNNNNNNNCCGGAAUUGCUUGGAUGCCUUCUAAAACAACUUCCGUGUCAUCAGCAAAUUGCACACCUGUAACCAUUUCUGAAUUAUUUUGGGGUAAAUGAAUCCCCACUCGGUUGUACUGUAACCAACACAGUAACGCCUGCGCGACAAACAAGUAUAGCAACGGUGCCAACGGACAUCCCUGUCGCACACCCGCUGUAAGAGCAACUUCACGGGAAAAAAAACCAUUUACUACCGCUUUCGACGCUGUAUCGGAUAACAGAAUUUUAGUCCAACUAAUGAACCCUGCUCCUGCGCCCAUAGCAUCCAUUGCUUCAAAUAAAAAAUUACGAUCUAAGGAAUCGUAAGCUUUAGCAAUAUCCAAAAAAGCCAGGAGACACGACUGUCCUGUCGUCGACAUAAGUUGCGGUAGAUGCCGCAGGAAAAGAACAUCUGCACCUAUCAAGCGCUCUGGCAGGAAAGCAGACUGCUCGAGCGUGAUAAUUCGCCCUAGUAUUGGACUCAGCCUACGGGUUAAUAUCUUGGUGAAAAUCCUGUAAUCUGUAUUCAACAAGGUAAUCGGUCGAUAACUACCCGGGGAGGUGGGAGACCCCCGAUUUUUAUAAAUAACCGUAAUAGCACCUUGCAAAAAGCCAUCUGGGUGCAUUUGGGUUUGGCCCAUGGCUGUAUACAGUUGAGCAAGAACUGGUGCAAUCUCGUUCCGACACACCUUGUAUAAUUCAAUUGGGAUGCCAUCUAGACCGGGCGCUUUGCCUGGCGUCGCUUCCUUGAGCACCGCUUCCACUUCAACGUCAGACACCUCCGGUCUUCCUACAUGAUACGCAUCCUCCUCCGGAAUGACAAGGUGGCGAUUCCGCAGCGCCUCUAUAACAGCCAUCCUAGCCUCUUCAGUCACAUGAGUUGGGGAGGAACAAAUCUCUCCCCAAAAAUCCGCAACCAUCUGUGGCAACUUCAUCGUGUCUGUAAUAAGACGACCCGUUCUAUCUUGCAACGCCGGAAUAACUUGCAGAGUCUUAGACGGAUGCACCAGGGCAGUUAGCCCUCUACUAGGCCGUUCACCCUCACGAAUCCACUGUAACCGAACCCGUUCCGCCUCCUGUGCACCUUCAGCUCUAGCCGCUUGUACAACCGCUACUUGGGCGUCAAUUGCCGCUUGGAUUCUCUGUGCACUCAUAUGUUCGGUCUGCACAUCUUCCAGUGCCCUUGUUGCAUGUUCUAUUGCCAAACGUAGUUGCCCCCCCGGGGGAAAACGACGUUCUCGCGCUUGCCGAUUAAGAACAUUUACUUCAUUGAACAUUCGAUGUUUAAACAACGGCCACCAUUGUAGCAUAGCUACUGUGUCUGUCUCAGCGGGUCUCUGCGCACACUCAUCACCAAUCCAUUGCAAGAAGCUUCNCNNNNNNNNNNNNNNNNNNNNNNNNNNNNNNNNNNNNNNNNNNNNNNNNNNCCUGAUGUCGGUAGUCCCGGUUGAUUGGUGGUUGUGUAUGAGAGCUGCUGCUGUUGUCGCUGCUGCUGCUGUGGCGGCUGUUGCUGUAUCUGUUGCUGUUGCUGUUGUGGUUGCUGGUUCUGUCGUUGUUGUUGCUGUUGCUGUUGUUGCUGCUGUGUUUGCUGUUGCUGUGUCUGUUGUUGCUGUUGCUGUUGUUGCUGUUGCUGCUGUUGUUGUACUUGUCUUCGUACAACGGCGGCGGCUGCUCUGCCUGCCAUUUCUGUUGCCUCCUCGUUGGAUACUCGAUUUUGCAUCUGCUGUUGUCGAGUUAUUUGCUGGAUUGUCUGGGGCUGUCCAGUAGCCAUGGGUUGACGUGCAUUACUUGAUCCUCCUACCUCACCCACCGCUGGCGUCGCUAGAUUUGGCCGUGCUCGCGCCGCGAUGACUGCCGCCGCCGAAAUGGGCGGCGGGAGAUUCGGUAUCAAGCGGUUUCGUUGUUGAAUCUUGGGGGGGCGGGCAAAGCCGGAGUCUGUGUGUCGUAAUACGUGUGUUGCGCUCUCCACGCUCCCCUAUGAAUCCGCCGGCCAUCCUCCUCAAUGGAGAAAAUAUUCAUCCUGGCGGGUAAUGCGGGCUGAUCCCAUCGCACCCACACCACGGCUGUAGUGAGACUAGCUUCGACUAUCCCCCAUUUCUUUCCAUAUUCAUCUACGUCAAAGCCGUAGGCUUCCGCAAUAAGCCAGAAUAGGCAUUUCUGAGGAAAUGCUGGAGGUAAUCCUGUCAGUCUGAAGUAUUGGGCAGAUGCCCCCACUAUGUCUACUACAAGAUCCUAGAUGGAGAUCUGCUAGAUUGAUUCGUCCGCAAUGGUCCGCUAAGUUUUUUACGGGCGUAAUCCACUCCUCCGGUACGUAGACGUUGAUCUGUCCAACGACUCCUUCGUCGUUGCGAGCUUCCCAAGCGACCGGUUCUCCGACGAAAACAUAAGGAGCUUUUAGCUCCUGUUGUACUGUCUGCACUAUUCGGUGUCCAAUCGGUCCUGCCAUAAUGUCUAUUACCUGCUUUCUGUUCUCUAGGUAGUUUCCUUGAAAGAUUGCUCUCAUUGCCAGCGAUCGAAGUUUGCCAAAAGGUUGCUCCAUCUUCGUAAUUUCCCUAAGAAGGGAGAUUGAUAUGGUUGCUUCAGAUCGUUCCGCCGUCACACCGGCGGCCUGAUCCGUUGAACUGUUGCGAGCCAUUUUGAUGUCUUUUGUCUCAGAAAAGUUAUUGAAGGUAAAUAGACCGACCGGGUUACCCGNGUCGGUCUUGGUAUGAUGUUGAGUCUGCAAGUGUGGAUUGGGGCUAUAUGGUGGCUAAAUUGGUAUAUUGCUAUAUUGCUAUAGGAGUGUAGUAAGGUGAUGCAGUGUGUGCUGCCGUGGGUAUCGGAGCUGAACGUGCAGCACUUUGCACCGAAGGUAUGGCCACUUGGGAUACAGCACCCUGAGACGUUGCUGCGUCAUAAUAUGGUAGCUGGAUUUGAUGUUGACCGACACAGCAUACAAUCAGCCAGCGCGUGUGUGUGUGAGACUUGUCUUUGCUAAGCAUACACGUGGUCCUUUUCCGUUAUCUGGGCAUAAGGCAGCGCAGACUCUCGCGCUCAUUCACAUGGAUGUGUGUGGGCCUAUGCCUGAACCUUCGCCUAGUGGUUCGCGUUACGUGACAACCCUGCUUGACGACCAUACUGGUCUUUCAGCUGUUGCGUUUACAGCGACCAAGGAGGAGGUCUACCAGAAGAUGGUGGUAAUGAUAGCGGAACUGGAGCGCGCUACUGGCAGGCAGGUUAAGGAGGUGCGUACAGAUCGUGGCGGGGAGUUCGUUAAUACUCGCACGAAGGCCUAUUUCGCUUCCAGGGGUAUUCUACACGGAACUACGGUAGGCUACACCCCUGAGCAGAACGGAGCUGCAGAACGUUUAAAUCGCACUCUUUUGGACAAGACUAGGGCUAUGCUAGUUGAGUCUGGACUGCCUAAAUCAUUAUGGGCGGAGGCGUUAGCGACAGCCAACUAUCUUAGGAAUGUGUCGCCAACUGCUGGGUCAACCGUCACUCCGUACGAAGCUUUCUUUAAUGUUCGUCCGAACGUCAGUCACCUGCGAGUUUUUGGAUGCGUUGCCUACGUCCACGUACCUGACGUCAAGCGCGACAAGUUCGACCCGGUGAGCAGGCGUGGAAUACUUGUCGGAUAUGGGAACGGUGGACAGUAUCGUGUACAAUACGAGGACGGCAUUAUUGCCAUAGUUUCUAACGUUCGCUUUGACGAGUCGAAUGUCGGCCGGCGGCGUAAUGCCGGGGACUCCGAUUAUGAGUCCGAUGCCGACGAGGAGGAGGAGUUUCGCACUAGUUUAUCUGGUGAGGGAUCGCUGCCUAGGGCUGGCGAAGGGACACCAGGUAGCACCGUCGGCGAGGGAUCGCCGCACUUGGGUGGCGAGGGGGCGCCGGCUGGGGCUGGACCUUCCAGCAGUGCGAACGGGCAAGGAAUUAAUUAGCCUGAUGUGGAAAUGGCAGGGACACGAUAUCCAGUUAGAGAGCGGAAACGCCCUGGCGAAUGGUGGCGAAACGAACCUGGUCGCACUGUUACUGGUCGCGUUAACGCUGCUUUCUCUGCUGGUAUUCCUGAGCCUAAUUCGUUUGCAGAAGCCAUUGCAAGUCCAAAUGCAGACGACUGGCGGCGUGCGAUGGACGAGGAGAUCGCCGCCCAGAUGGCUAAUAGUACUUGGGAGCUGAAGAAGCCACCUCCUGGUACUCGUUUGUUGCCGUGUCGUUGGGUAUGUAAGGUUAAGUACAGCGAUGACGGCAGCGUGGAGCGUUUUAAGGCGCGUUUAGUUGCCAAGGGUUUCGAGCAACGUGAGGGGAUUGAUUAUGGGGAGUUGUUUGCCCCUACCUCUCGUGGUUCGUCAUUGCGUGCUUUAUUAGCAGUUGCCGCAGCCCGGAACAUGACGGNNNNNNNNNNNNNNNNNNNNNNNNNNNNNNNNNNNNNNNNNNNNNNNNNNCAGCCAUCCUAGCCUCUUAGUCCAUGAGUUGGGGAGGAACAAAUCUCUCCCCAAAAAUCCGCAACCAUCUGUGGCAACUUCAUCGUGUCUGUAAUAAGACGACCCGUUCUAUCUUGCAACGCCGGAAUAACUUGCAGAGUCUUAGACGGAUGCACCAGGGCAGUUAGCCCUCUACUAGGCCGUUCACCCUCACGAAUCCACUGUAACCGAACCCGUUCCGCCUCCUGUGCACCUUCAGCUCUAGCCGCUUGUACAACCGCUACUUGGGCGUCAAUUGCCGCUUGGAUUCUCUGUGCACUCAUAUGUUCGGUCUGCACAUCUUCCAGUGCCCUUGUUGCAUGUUCUAUUGCCAAACGUAGUUGCCCCCCCGGGGGAAAACGACGUUCUCGCGCUUGCCGAUUAAGAACAUUUACUUCAUUGAACAUUCGAUGUUUAAACAACGGCCACCAUUGUAGCAUAGCUACUGUGUCUGUCUCAGCGGGUCUCUGCGCACACUCAUCACCAAUCCAUUGCAAGAAGUUUCCCUUCAAGUCAGGAAAAUCUAAGAAAUGCGUGUGUAGCCUUGGAAGGCCUGGACCACGCUUUCUCACAAGACGAGGUAAAAGAGCAAUAAUAGCUAAACGAUGGUCUGUCGAAGUGCACACUGGAAUGGUAGAGGAAGCGAUGAAGGGGGUGAGGUUUGUGGAAGUAUAGAUUCGAUCAAGACGUGACCCUCCCGACACACUUGUUUUAUAGAANAACGAAAGGUCGCGACGGGUAGGGUGGAGGUAGCGAUAUGUGUCUACCAUAUCCGGGCAGCAUUCGGNNNNNNNNNNNNNNNNNNNNNNNNNNNNNNNNNNNNNNNNNNNNNNNNNNCUCCUCAUGGAGAAAUAUUCAUCCUGGCGGGUAAUGCGGGCUGAUCCCAUCGCACCCACACCACGGCUGUAGUGAGACUAGCUUCGACUAUCCCCCAUUUCUUUCCAUAUUCAUCUACGUCAAAGCCGUAGGCUUCCGCAAUAAGCCAGAAUAGGCAUUUCUGAGGAAAUGCUGGAGGUAAUCCUGUCAGUCUGAAGUAUUGGGCAGAUGCCCCCACUAUGUCUACUACAAGAUCCUAGAUGGAGAUCUGCUAGAUUGAUUCGUCCGCAAUGGUCCGCUAAGUUUUUUACGGGCGUAAUCCACUCCUCCGGUACGUAGACGUUGAUCUGUCCAACGACUCCUUCGUCGUUGCGAGCUUCCCAAGCGACCGGUUCUCCGACGAAAACAUAAGGAGCUUUUAGCUCCUGUUGUACUGUCUGCACUAUUCGGUGUCCAAUCGGUCCUGCCAUAAUGUCUAUUACCUGCUUUCUGUUCUCUAGGUAGUUUCCUUGAAAGAUUGCUCUCAUUGCCAGCGAUCGAAGUUUGCCAAAAGGUUGCUCCAUCUUCGUAAUUUCCCUAAGAAGGGAGAUUGAUAUGGUUGCUUCAGAUCGUUCCGCCGUCACACCGGCGGCCUGAUCCGUUGAACUGUUGCGAGCCAUUUUGAUGUCUUUGUUCUCAGAAAAGUUAUUGAAGGUAAAUAGACCGACCGGGUUAACCCGGUUCGGUCAUUGUUAUGAUGUUGAGUCUGCAAGUUGUGAUUGUGGCUAUAUGGUUGCUAUAUUGCUAUAUUGCUAUAUUGCUAUAUGAGUGUAGUAGGGUGAUGCAGUGUGUGCUGCCGUGGGUAUCGGAGCUGAACGUGCAGCACUUUGGCACCGAAGGUAUGGCCACUUGGGAUACAGCAACCUUGAGACGUUGCUGCGUCAUAAUAUGGUAGCUGGAUUUGAUGUUGACCGACACAGCAUACAAUCAGCCAGCGCGUGUGUGUGUGAGACUUGUCUUUGCUAAGCAUACACGUGGUCCUUUUCCGUUAUCUGGGCAUAAGGCAGCGCAGACUCUCGCGCUCAUUCACAUGGAUGUGUGUGGGCCUAUGCCUGAACCUUCGCCUAGUGGUUCGCGUUACGUGACAACCCUGCUUGACGACCAUACUGGUCUUUCAGCUGUUGCGUUUACAGCGACCAAGGAGGAGGUCUACCAGAAGAUGGUGGUAAUGAUAGCGGAACUGGAGCGCGCUACUGGCAGGCAGGUUAAGGAGGUGCGUACAGAUCGUGGCGGGGAGUUCGUUAAUACUCGCACGAAGGCCUAUUUCGCUUCCAGGGGUAUUCUACACGGAACUACGGUAGGCUACACCCCUGAGCAGAACGGAGCUGCAGAACGUUUAAAUCGCACUCUUUUGGACAAGACUAGGGCUAUGCUAGUUGAGUCUGGACUGCCUAAAUCAUUAUGGGCGGAGGCGUUAGCGACAGCCAACUAUCUUAGGAAUGUGUCGCCAACUGCUGGGUCAACCGUCACUCCGUACGAAGCUUUCUUUAAUGUUCGUCCGAACGUCAGUCACCUGCGAGUUUUUGGAUGCGUUGCCUACGUCCACGUACCUGACGUCAAGCGCGACAAGUUCGACCCGGUGAGCAGGCGUGGAAUACUUGUCGGAUAUGGGAACGGUGGACAGUAUCGUGUACAAUACGAGGACGGCAUUAUUGCCAUAGUUUCUAACGUUCGCUUUGACGAGUCGAAUGUCGGCCGGCGGCGUAAUGCCGGGGACUCCGAUUAUGAGUCCGAUGCCGACGAGGAGGAGGAGUUUCGCACUAGUUUAUCUGGUGAGGGAUCGCUGCCUAGGGCUGGCGAAGGGACACCAGGUAGCACCGUCGGCGAGGGAUCGCCGCACUUGGGUGGCGAGGGGGCGCCGGCUGGGGCUGGACCUUCCAGCAGUGCGAACGGGCAAGGAAUUAAUUAGCCUGAUGUGGAAAUGGCAGGGACACGAUAUCCAGUUAGAGAGCGGAAACGCCCUGGCGAAUGGUGGCGAAACGAACCUGGUCGCACUGUUACUGGUCGCGUUAACGCUGCUUUCUCUGCUGGUAUUCCUGAGCCUAAUUCGUUUGCAGAAGCCAUUGCAAGUCCAAAUGCAGACGACUGGCGGCGUGCGAUGGACGAGGAGAUCGCCGCCCAGAUGGCUAAUAGUACUUGGGAGCUGAAGAAGCCACCUCCUGGUACUCGUUUGUUGCCGUGUCGUUGGGUAUGUAAGGUUAAGUACAGCGAUGACGGCAGCGUGGAGCGUUUUAAGGCGCGUUUAGUUGCCAAGGGUUUCGAGCAACGUGAGGGGAUUGAUUAUGGGGAGUUGUUUGCCCCUACCUCUCGUGGUUCGUCAUUGCGUGCUUUAUUAGCAGUUGCCGCAGCCCGGAACAUGACGGUACAUCAGCUCGAUGUGUCUACUGCGUUUUUGAACGGUGAGCUGAAGGAGGAAUUGUGGAUGGAGCAACCGCCUGGGUAUGCAUCCAGUGACCGGUCGCUUGCGUGCAACCUGCAGAAGUCUAUUUACGGGUUGAAGCAGGCACCCCGUUGCUGGUAUGAGAAACUAUCAGCAGAGUUCGCCAAGUUGGGUCUUUAUCCUUCGAAGUCUGAUCCGGCGAUGUUUGUUAAGACGGACGAGCGUGGGGUUGUUAUUGCUUUGGUACACCAUUACAUUACAUUACAUUACAAUUGUUGCGUCGGAAGACCCGGAAAUGGUCCGGGCAAUUAAAGCCGCAAUUGCGAAGGUCUUCAAGGUGCGCGACCUUGGAGAAGCGAAGGUGUUUUUGGGCAUGGAGAUGAGGAGGGAGAAGUCGGGUGAGAUAGUGUUGUCGCAGCAUAGGUAUAUUGCGCAGCUGUUGGAGCGUCAUAGGAUGAUUGACGCCAAACCGAGGUCUACCCCUUUGCCUCCGGGCUUUAGGUACACUCCUAAGGGGGACGGAGAGGAGCUGCUGGGCAAUCCCACAGAGUAUAGGGCUUUGGUGGGAGAAUUGAACUAUCUGGCGACGAACACGCGGCCUGACAUUUCAUAUGCAUUGAGCGUUUUGUCCCGACAUAUGGCCGCACCGACGAAGACUGCCAUGAACUUGGCAACCGGCGUUCUGCGUUACCUGGCGGGUACACGCGAACUAGGAUUGCGUUUUGGGGGUGUUGGCGACGUUGCUAUGUCCGGGUACAGUGAUUCGGACUGGGCAGGAGACCCAGUUACGCGGCAUUCUACGUCCGGUUACGUAUUCACUCUCAAUGGGGCUGCGAUUAGCUGGAGCAGCCAACUUCAACGUACUGUGGCGGCUUCGUCGGUGGAGGCUGAGUACCAAGCUACAGCGGCGGCUGUUCGUGAGGCUUUGUGGCUUCGCAAGCUGAUGGUUGAUUUGGGCUUGCCUGAGAGCGCGGUUAAAAUCCAGAUAGACUCCCAGGGGGCGCUUAGCUUGGGAAACAACCCGAUUACGUCUGCUCGGUCGAAGCACAUCGACGUGCAGCAUCACAUAGUGCGUGAGAGGGUGAAUAGUGGUGAGGUGCAGUUGGAAUACUGCCCUACGGAGUGGAUGGUUGCGGAUGUGCUAACGAAGGCUCUGGGCGAGGUGAAGUUCAAACGUUGCCGAGAUGCUAUGGACCUUGUGUGAAGUGUGCAGAUGAACUUAGUACUCGUUGGGAUACGGCCCGAGGGGGCGUGUUGAAGAAACGGUCCUCUCCCAACUCGUGUGGUUGUCGACCAGGGGAUUUGACCCCGGGUCUGCGCCUGACUAAUGGGGAAGACUUACCCCAGAACUUUAUGGGGCUACCGAUGCAUAUCCGGUAGCUAAGUGAUAGACAUUAGGGCACCGUCUGGACGGCGCAGUGAGAUCGCGGAAUGUACGUGCAGUUAGAUCGCGGAAUGUACGAGUUUUCCGCUAGCGCCGGUAUUUAGGGCGGUGACUGCGCUUAUUUGUUUAUCUCACAACGAUCGGUAUUCCUCAAAGGAAUCUCCUCAAGUCCUGCCGAACGCUAAUAAUACUCUUUACAUAACUUGUAACAUUUUAUCGUGCUAAAUAUCUUCGCCACUGGCAAUUCUUCUGAGAUAACAAUCAGCGUUAGCCGUCACCGUCGCCAAUUCUCCAAUAUAUGAGCCCCGCCUCACGCUAGCAGCAUCUACCUCUAAAACUCGUAUUCCACAAUGGGGAAGGACAAGCUUGACGAGCCUCUGGACUUGAACAACUACGCCACCUGGCAAAUUCGGUUCAGCACGCUGUGUAUGGAGCUUGGGCUUGAGCAGUCCUUGCUUGCCGAGCCGGGAAACGAGGAGCAGAUUCGACAAUCUCGUAAGGUUAUCAACCUGCUCAUCAAGAAUGUUAAAGAUCACCAUUUGCCGAUGGUUACGGGUGCUGCAAACGCGAAGAGGGCAUGGGACGAUCUGGCCGUGAUGUUUGUCGCUAACAAUAACGCACGCAAGGUAGCUCUCCGUCAAGAGUUCAGCCGUUUCAAGAUGGUCGACGGCGAGCCGCUACCCAAGUACUUUGCACGUGCGCGGCAAUUACAGACAGACUUGUUGGGAGUGGGGCACGUUAUCAGCAAGUCGGAGCUGGCGUACACAGUGCUGGUUGGUCUACCCAGCCACUUCAAUGUGGUAACGACGUCCCUGCUGGUGCGUGACGGUGAUUUGGACAUGGCGAGCGUCACCUCCAAGCUUUUGGCUAUCGAGGUGGCAAGCGGUGGGUCUAGUAAGCCUACCGAGUCGGCAGCUUUUGCUUCUGUCGGCGGUCUCACGUUUGGCGCCUCUGGUUCUGGUCUUAGGAAUCACGGCGCGGCCAGCAGCAGUUCUGGCGGUUCCCCCAAACAUUUGUUUUGUCACUAUUGCAAAAAGCCCGGGCACGAUAUUAAGGACUGCAGGAAGUUGAAGGCACUAAAGCAGUUGUCCAUUUCUGGCAGUGGACAAGGUAAGGGUGGUGGUGGCAGCGGAGCUAGCGGCAACAAGCCUGGGCCCGGUGGGUCUGGAAGGGGAUCAGGAUUCCCGCGGCAGGUAGCGUUCACAGCUUACAAUGGUGAGCGUCCGCAGGGGUGGUUCCUGGACUCAGCCACCACUCACCACAUAACGUAUGACCUCUCAGAACUUCUCAACGUGCGGUUGUUGGAGCCGUGGGAGCGCUUCAACAUCAUGGGCAUCAAGGGACAGUCUCUUCGGCCGACUGAAGUUGGCACGCUUAUGAUUCGGUCUAAUGUCAACGAUAAACAGGCCAUCACUUUUAAGAAGGUCUACGUCGACGAGGAGGCCACUGCCAAAAUCCUAUCGGUCCGUAUCAUUGAUGAUCGUGGAGGCAGUGUGGUCCUCGGCGGCGGACAGGUGAAAGUACACAUACAGAACCAGUUGGUGCUGACUGGAAAGCGGGAUGGGGACUUGUAUCCCGUCUGCUACAGCAGUGGAGGUACGGGCGCUCUGAAGUGGACGGAGCGUGAAGACAACAGGAUACCUUCUGGUGGUGGUGCAGUGUGUGCUGCCGUGGAUGUCGGAGCUGAACGUGCAGCACUUUGGCACCGACGGUAUGGCCACUUGGGAUACAGCAACCUUGAGGCGUUGCUGCGUCACAAUAUGGUAACUGGCUUCGAUGUUGACCGACACAGCAUACAAUCAGCCAGCACGUGUGUGUGUGAGACUUGCGUCCUUGCAAGGCAUACACGUGGUCCUUUUCCGUUAUCUGGGCAUAAGGCAGCGCAGCCUCUCACGCUCAUUCACAUGGAUGUAAUUACCUCUCGCGCUCAUUCACAUGGAUGUGUGUGGGCCUAUGCCUGAACCUUCACCAAAUGGUUCGCGUUACGUGACCACCCUUCUUGAUGGCCACACCGGUCUGUCAGCUGUUGCGUUUACGGCGUCCAAGGAAGAGAUAUAUCAGAAGGUUAGGUGGUGGUGAUGAUAGCGGACCUGGAACGGGCAUCUGGUCGGCAGGUAAAGGAGGUGCGCACGGAUCGUGGCGGGGAGUUUGUGAAUACUCGCACGAAAAACUACUUCGCGUCAAGGGGUAUUUUUGCACGGAACUACGGCGGGCUACACUCCUGAGCAGAACGGUGCAGCAGAACGCCUGAACCGCACUCUUCUAGACAAGGCCAGGUCAAUGCUCAUAGAGUCUGGACUCCCAAAAUCACUGUGGGCGGAAGCGUUGGCGACUGCAAACUACCUCAGGAACGUGUCGCCAACUGCUGGGUCAACCGUCACUCCACAUCAAGCCUUCUUUGGUGUUCGUCCGAAUGUCAGCCAUCUGCGGGUCUUUUGAUGCGCUGCAUAUGUUCAUGUGCCCAACGUCAAGCGAGACAAACUCGAUCCGGUAAGCAGGCGAGGAAUCCUAGUCCGAUACGGGAAUGGAGGACAGUACCGCGUACUGUACGAGGACGGCGUCAUCGCUGUGGUCUCCAGUGUCCGCUUUGACGAGUCUAAUGUCGGCCGGCGGCGUAGUGCUAGGGACUCCGAUUAUGGGUCCGAUGCCGAUGAGGAGGAGGACGUUCACACUAACUUGCCUGGUGAGGGGUCGCUGCCUAGGGCUGGCGAAGGAACAUCAGGCAAUACCGUCGGCGACGGAUCGCCACAUUCGCCACGGCGAGGGGGCGCCGGCUGGGGCUGGACCUUCCAGCAGUGCGAACGUGCAAGGUAACAAUCAGCCUGAUGUGGAAAUGGCAGGGACCCGGUACCCAGUUAGAGAGCGUAAACGCCCUGGCGAGUGGUGGCGAAACGAGCCUGGUCGCACUGUUACUGGUCGUGUUAAUUCUGCUUUUUCUGCUGUCAUUCCUGAACCGAAUUCGUUUGCGGAAGCAAUUGCAAGUCCACAUGCAGAUGAUUGGCGGCGUGCAAUGGACGAGGAGAUCGCCGCCCAGAUGGCUAACAGUACUUGGGAGCUGAAGAAGCCACCUCCUGGUACUCAUUUAUUGCCGUGUCAUUGGGUGUAUCAGGUUAACGAUGUACAACGAUGACGGCAGUGUGGAGCGUUUUAAGGCGCGAUUGGUUGCGAAGGGUUUCGAGCAAUGCGAGGGGAUUGAUUAUGGGGAGUUGUUUGCCCCUACCUCACGUGGUUCGUCAUUACAUGCAGUUGCCACAGCGCGGAACAUGACGGUGCACCAGCUCGAUGUGUCUACUGCAUUUUUGAACGGUGAGUUGAAGGAGGAGUUGUGGAUGCAGCAACCACCUGGGUAUGAAUCCAGUGACCGGUCGCUUGCGUGCAAGCUGCAAAAGUCGAUUUACGGUUUGAAGCAGGCACCCCGUUGCUGGUAUGAAAAGCUAUCAGCAGAGUUCGCCAAGCUGGGUCUUUAUCCUUCGAAGUCUGAUCCGGCGAUGUUCCUUAAGACGGACGAGCGUGUGGUUGUUAUUGCCUUGGUGCACGUAGACGAUACCAUUGUUGCGUCGGAAGACCCGGAAAUGGUCCGGGCAAUUAAAGCUGCAAUUGCGAAGGUCUUCAAAGUGUGCGACCUUGGAGAAGCGAAGGUGUUUUUGGGCAUGAAAUUAGGAGGGAGAAGUCGGGUGAGAUAGUGUUGUCGCAGCGUAGGUAUAUUGAGCAGCUAUUGGAGCAUAUAAGUUGGUUGACGCCAAGCCGAGGUCUACCCCUUUGCCUCCGGGUUUUAGGUACACUCCUACGGGGGACGGAGAAAAGCUGCUGGACAAUCCCACGGAGUAUAGGGCUUUGGUGGGAGAGUUGAAUUACCUAGUGACGAACACGCGGCCUGACAUUUCGUAUGCAUUGAGUGUUUUGUCCCGGCAUAUGGCUGCACCCACGAAGAGUGCUAUGAACUUAGCAAUUGGCGUUCUGCGUUACCUGGCGGGUACUCGCGAACUAGGAUUACGUUUUGGGGGUGUUGGCGACAUUGAGAUGUCCGGGUAUAGUAGUGAUUCUGACUGGGCAGGAGACCCGGUUACACGGCGUUCUACUUCCGGCUACGUUUUCACUCUAAAUGGGGCUGCGAUUACCUGGAGCAGCCAACUUCAACCAUUAACCCACAGACUGUAACCCUUUUAUCGCAACCAGUCUCCUUGCCUCCUUCAUAUCCUUAACACUCACGCACUAUGUGGUGCUGCACGUUGAUGUGUUUCAACCAAGCAGACGUAAUCGGAUUAUUUCCCAAGCUAAGCGCCCCCUGGGAGUCUAUCUGGAUUUUCACCGCGCUCUCAGCCAAGCCCAAAUCGACCAUCAGCUUGUGAAGCCACAAAGCUUCACGAACAGCUGCCGCUGUAGCUUGGUACUCGGCCUCCACCGACGAAGCCGCCACAGUACGUUGAAGUUGGCUGCUCCAGCUAAUUACAGCCCCAUUAAGAGUGAAUACAUAACCGGACGUAGAAUGCCGCGUAACUGGGUCUCCUGCCCAGUCCGAAUCGCUGUACCCGGACAUUGGAACACCGCCAACACCCCCAAAACGCAAUCCUAGUUCGCGAGUACCCGCCAGGUAACGCAGAACGCCAGUGGCCAAAUUCAUGGCAAUCUUCGUAGGUGUGGCCAUAUGCCGGGACAAAACACUCAAUGCAUAAGGAAAUGUCUGGCCAUGUGUUCGUCGCUAGGUAGUUCAACUCUCUCACCAAAGCCCUAUACUCAGUGGGAUUACCCAGCAGCUCAUCUCUAUCCCCCGUAGGUGUGCACCUAAAACCCGGAGGCAAAGGGGUAGACCGUGGCUUGGCGUCCACCGUCUGGUGACGCUCCAAUAGCUGCUAAAUAUUGCGACAACACCAAUUCGCCCGGCUUCUUCCUCUAAUUUCCAUGCCCGAAAAUACCUGCGCUUCUACAAGGUGUCGUACUUCUCGUACACCGUUGCAGCAAGCCAUGCAAAAAAGCGCUUGACGUCACCUUCCACUGUUUUCAACUUGUACAACCACUGUAGGUGGCACACGCACAGUAUAAGGCUGUACACACAGCACACAAGUGCAUUUGACCAUCACUAUGCGCCACUCAUUUGCCCUUGCUCCUGAAAUGGCUUCAGUGAAAGUAUAACUCAGCAAAAACUCAGAAGGGUACGGAUCAGUGACAGCCACGUUAAUGCGACCUACUAUCCUCCUUCCUGGAACACCAUGCCACCACUCCGAGGGCUAUAAUAUCUCCUCAUAUUCCCUGCCCUAUUCUUCUGAACUCGUGCGCUGGCUUGCACCACUAGAUGUUCCGGCUUCAUCCGGCAUUCCUUCACCAUCCACAGGUGACAGUGGUGCCUAGCCGACCGUGGUGCCUAGCCGACCGUGUUUCCUAAGUCUACCAGAACUUGGCAGAGGCCCUGACUCAGGCACACCAAUACUAGCCGCUUCGGAGUCAGACAAUUGAUAGUGGUUCUUAUCUUGCAACAAAAACAAUACACGGCAUCACUGCACUGCUGCCACCGCCUGUCUGGUGAGGCAUGCUACCCCACCUGCCAUGUGUGGGCGCCAAGACCACUUCCACUCCUUCCUUGCACGUUAGGCUGCGGCUCUCUCUGCAACUCCGAGCUAUACGGCCCGUCUGUUUGUGUUAAGAAUAUGGAGGCAAGGAGACUCGAAGGGUUGCGAGAAGGGUUGCGAUAUAAGUAUUACAAUCGGUAGGUGAGUGGUAAACGGCAGGAAGACUUUAGGAGAUUCCUACUGAGGAAUACCGAUCCAUACAAAGAUGAGAUACUAAGACUUGCACAACUCGUGUCUUAUAUACCAAUACCAACGGAAGUAUCGUACAGUCGUCCACCAUCCCUGGACCUGAGGACACGUCCGAGAUACGCGGCCGAAAGACCCGAGGCAAGGUCGAGGUACGGCUGAGGCAUCGCCUAUCAUGGUGGAUUCAUCGCCUAACUACCACCUAUCUACGUUGGGAUAGGACCGCCCUUCAACACGCCCCCUCAGGACAAAUCCUAACUCGCAGUAGCACAUUUGCUCCGCCAGUGGGCACUUCACACUAGCUUCUCUGCACCGUUUGAACUUCAAUUCUCCCAGUGCCUUCGUUAGCGCAUCCGCCACCAUCCACUCUGUAGGGCAGUACUCCAACUGCACCUCCCCGCUAUUCACCCUCUCACACACUAUGUGGUGCUGCAUGCCGAUGUGUUUCGACCGAGCAGACGUAAUCAGAUUAUUUCCCAAGCUAAGCGCCCCCUGGGAGUCUAUCUGGAUUUUCACCGCGCUCAAAUCGACCAUCAGCAAGCCCAAAUCGACCAUCAGCUUGUGAAGCCACAAAGCUUCAUGAACAGCUGCCGCUGUAGCUUGGUACUCGGCCUCCACCGACGAAGCCGCCACAGUACGUUGAAGUUGGCUGCUCCAGCUAAUUACAGCCCCAUUAAGAGUGAAUACAUAACCGGACGUAGAAUGCCGCGUAACUGGGUCUCCUGCCCAGUCAGAAUCGCUGUACCUGGACAUUGCAACACCGCCAACACCCCCAAAAUGCAAUCCUAGUUCGCGAGUACCCGCCAGGUAACGCAGAACGCCAGUGGCCAAGUUCAUGGCAGUCUUCGUAGGUGUGGCCAUAUGCCGGGACAAAACACUCAAUGCAUACAAAAUAUCAGGCCGCGUGUUCGUCGCCAGAUAGUUCAACCCUCCCACCAAAGCCCUAUACUCCGUGGGAUUGCCCAGCAGCUCCUGUCCGUCCCCCCUAGGAGUGUACCUAAAGCCCGGAGGCAAAGGGGUAGAUCUCGGCUUGGCGUCAACCAUCCUAUGACACUCCAACAGCUGCUCAAUGUACGUAUGCUGCGACAACACUAUCUCACCCGACUUCUCCCUCCUCAUCUCCAUGCCCCAAAACACCUUCGCUUCUCCAAGGUCACGCACCUUGAAGACCUUCACAAUUGCGGCUUUGAUUGCCCGGACCAUUUCCGGGUCUUCUGACACAACAAUGGUGUCAUCUACAUGCACCAAAGCAAUAACAACCCCACGCUCGUCCGUCUUAACGAACAUCACCGGAUCAGACUUCGAAGGAUAAAGACCCAGCUUGGCGAACUCUGCUGAUAGCUUUUCAUACCUGCAACGGGGUGCCUGCUUCAAACCGUAAAUAGACCUCUGCAGCUUGCAUGCAAGCGACCGGUCACUGGAUUCAUACCCAGGUGGUUGCUGCAUCCACAACUCCUCCUUCAACUCGCUGUUCAAAUAUGCAGUAGACACAUCGAGCUGGUGUACCAUCAUGUUCCAUGCUGCGACAACUGCUAAUAAAGCACGUAAUGACGAACCACAUGAGGUAGGGGCAAACAACUCCCCAUAAUCAAUCCCCUCGUGUUGCUCGAAACCCUUUGCAACCAAUCGCGCCUUAAAACACUCCAUGUUACCGUCUGCAUCAUGCUUCACCUUAUAAACCCACCAACAAGGCAGCAAACAUGCACCAGGGCGCGGCUUUUUGAGCUCCCAGGUAUUGUUGGCCAUCUAACGCUCCACACUGCCGUCAUCGUUGUACAUCGUUAACCUGAUACAUUCAACGACACGGCAAUAAAUGAGUACCAGGAGGUGGCGUCUUCAGCUCCCAAGUACUGUUAGCCAUCUGGGUGGCGAUCUCCUCGUCCAUCGCACGCCGCCGAUCGUCUGCAUGUGGACUUGAAAUUGCUUCCGCAAACGAAUUCGGUUCAGGAAUGACAGCAGAAAAAGCAGCAUUAACACGACCAGUAACAGUGCGACCAGGCUCGUUUCGCCACCACUCGCCAGGGUGUUUACGCUCUCUAACUGGGUACCAGGUCCCUGCCAUUUCUACAUCAGGCUGAUUGUUACCUUGCACGUUCACACUGCUGGAAGGUCCAGCCUCAGCCGGCGCCCCCUCGCCACCCAAAUGUGGCGAUCUCUGGCCGACAGUAUUGCCUGAUGUUCCUUCACCAGCCCUAGGCAGCGACCCCUCACCAGGCAAGUUAGUGUGGACAUCCUCCUCCUCAUCGGCAUCGGACCCAUAAUCGGAGUCCCCGGCAUUACGCCGCCGGCCGACAUUAGACUCGUCAAAGUGGACACUGGAGACAACGGCGACGACGCCGUCCUCGUACAGUACACGGUACUAGGAUUCCUUGCCUGCUUACCGGAUCAAGUUUGUCUCGCUUGACGUUGGGCACGUGAACGUAUGCAGCGCAUCCAAAGACCCGCAGAUGGCUGACAUUUGGAUGAACACCAAAGAAGGCUUGAUGUGGUGUGACGGUUGACCCAGCAGUUGGCGACACGUUCCUGAGGUAGUUUGCAGUCGCCAACACUUCCGCCCACAGUGAUUUUGGGAGUCCAGACUCUAUGAGCAUUGUCCUGGCCUUGUCUAGAAGAGUGCGGUUCAAGCGUUCUGCUGCACCGUUCUGCUCAGGAGUGUAGCCCGCCGUAGUUCCGUGCAAAAUACCCCUUGACGUGAAGUAGUUUUUCGUGCGAGUAUUCACAAAUUCUCCGCCACGAUCCGUGCGCACCUCCUUUACCUGCCGACCAGAUGCCCGUUCCAGGUCCGCUAUCAUCACCACCACCUUCUGAUAUAUCUCCUCCUUGGUCGCCGUAAACGCAACAGCUGACAGACCAGUGUGGUCAUCAAGAAGGGUGGUCACAUAACGCGAACCAUUUGGUGAAGGUUCAGGCAUAGGCCCACACACAUCCAUGUGAAUGAGCGCGAGAGGCUGCACCGCCUUAUGCCCAGAUAACGGAAAAGGACCAGGUGCAUGCUUUGCAAGGAUGCAAGUCUCACACACACACGCUGGCUGAUUGUAUGCUGUGUCGGUCAACAUCGAACCCAUUUACCAUAUUGUGAUGCAGCAACGCCUCAAGGUUGCUGUAUCCCAAGUGGCCAUACCGUCGGUGCCAAAGUGCUGCAUGUUCAGCUCUGAUAUCCAUGGCAGCACACACUGCACCACCACCAGAAGGUAUCCUGUUGUCUUCACGCUGUGUCCACUUCAGAGCGCCCGUACCUCCACUGCUGUAGCAGACAGGAUACAAGUCCCCAUCCCGCUUUCCAGUCAGCACCAACUGGUUCUGUAUGUAGACGUUCACCUGUCCGCCGCUGAAGACCACACUGCCUCCACCAUCAUCAAUGAUGCGGACCGAUAGGAUUUUGGCGGUGGCCUCCUUGUCGAUGUAGACCUUCUUAAAAGUGAUGGCCUGUUUAUCGUUGACGUUAGACCGAAUCAUAAGCGUGCCAACUUCAGUCGGCCGAAGAGACUGUCCCUUGAUGCCCAUGAUGUUGAAGCUCUCCCACGGCUCCAACAACCGCACAUUGAGAAGUUCUGAGCGGUCAUACGUUAUGUAGUGAGUGGUGGCUGAGUCCAGGAACCACCCCUACGGACGCUCACCGUUGUAAGCUGUGAAUGCAACCUGCCGCGGGAAUCCUGAUCCCCUUCCAGACCCACCGGGCCCAGGCUUGCUGCCGCUAGCUCCGCUGCCACCACCACCCUUACCUUGUCCACUGCCAGAAAUGGACAACUGCUUUAGUGCCUUCAACUUCCUGCAGUCCUUAAUAUCGUGCCCGGGCUUUUGCAAUAGUGACAAAACAAAUGUUUGGGGGAACCGCCAGAACUGCUGCUGGCCGCACUGUGAUUCCUAAGACCAGAACCAGAGGCGCCAAACGUGAGACCGCCGACAGAAGCAAAAGCUGCCGACUCGGUAGGCUUACUAGACCCACCGCUUGCCACCUCGAUAGCCAAAAGCUUGGAGGUGAUGCUCGCCAUGUCCAAAUCACCGUCACGCACCAGCAGGGACGUCGUUACCACAUUGAAGUGGCUGGGUAGACCAACCAGCACUGUACGCCAGCUCCGAGUCGCUGAUAACGUGCCCCACUCCCAACAAGUCUGACUGUUAUUGCCACGCACGUGCAAAGUACUCGCCGUCGACCAUCUUGAAAUGGCUGAACUCUUGACGGAGAGCUACCUUGCAUGCGUUAUUGUUGGUGACAAACAUCGCGGCCAAAGCGUCCCAUGCCCUCUUCAUGUUUGCAGCACCUGUAACCAUCGGCAAAUGGUGAUCUUUAACAUUCUUGAUGAGCAGGUUGAUAACCUUACGAGAUUGUCGAAUCUGCUCCUCGUUUCCCGGCUCGGCAAGCAAGGACUGCUCAAGCCCAAGCUCCAUACACAGCUUGCUGAACCAAAUUUGCCGGGUGGUGUAGUUGUUCAAGUCCAGAGGCUCGUCAAGCUUGUCCUUCCCCAUUGUGGAAUACGAGUUUUAGAGAUAGUUGCUGCUAGCGUGAGGCGGGGCUCAUAACCUGUUAAGAGUAUGAAGGCAAGUAGACUGGUCUCGAUAUAAGGGUUACAGUCUGUGGGUUAAUGGUGAACAGCAAGAAGACUUAGGGUUUACGGUUUAAGGAAUACCGAUCCAUACAAAGAUGAGAUACUAAGACUUGCACAACUCGUUUCUUAUAUACCAGUACCAAUGGAAGUAUCAUACAGAUGUCCACCAUCCCUGGACCUGAGGACACGUCCGAGAUACACGGCCGACAGACCCGAGGCAAGGUCGAGGUACGGCUGAGGCAAGGUCAAGGUACAGCCGAGGCAAGGUCAAGGUACAGCCGAGGCAAGGUCGAGGUAAGCCGAGGCAAGGUCGAGGCACGUCUGAGGCACAUUCAUCGCCUAACUACCACCUAUCUACGUUGGGAUAGGACCGCCCUUCAACAGCCAACACCCCCAAAACGUAAUCCUAGUUCGCAAGUACCCGCCAGGUAACGCAGAACACCAAUUGCUAAGUUCACAGCACUCUUCGUGGGUGCGGCCAUAUGCCGGGACAAAACACUCAAUGCAUACGAAAUGUCAGGCCGCGUGUUUGUCACUAGGUAAUUCAACUCUCCCUAUACUCCGUGGGAUUGUCCAGCAGCUCUUCUCCAUCCCCCGUAGGAGUGUACCUAAAGCCCGGAGGCAAAGGGGUAGACCUCGGCUUGGCGUCAACCAACUUAUGACGCUCCAAUAGCUGCGCAAUAUACCUAUGCUGUGACAACACUAUCUCACCCGAAUUCUCCCUCCUAAUUUCCAUGUCCCCAAACACCUUCGCUUCUCUAAGGUCACGCACCCUUAAGACCUUCACAAUUGCGGCUUUAAUUGCCCGGACCAUUUCCGGGUCUUCCGAUGCAACAAUAGUAUCAUCUACGUGCACCAAGGCAAGAACAACCCCACACUCGUCCGUCUUAACGAACAUCGCCGGAUCAGACUUAGAAGGAUAAAGACCCAGCUUGGCAAACUCUGCUGAUAGUUUCUCACACCAGCAACGGGGUGCCUGCUUCAAACCGUAAAUAGACCUCUGCAGCUUGCAUGCAAGCGACCGGUCACUGGAUGCAUAACCAGGCGGUUGCUCCAUCCACAACUCCUUCAGCUCACCGUUCAAAAACGCAGUAGACACAUCGAGCUGGUGCACCGUCAUGUUCCGUGCUGCGGCAACUGCUAAUAAAGCACGUAAAGAUGAACCAUGAGAGGUAGGGGCAAACAACUCCCCAUAAUCAAUCCCCUCGCGUUGUUCGAAACCCUUUGCAACUAAACGCACCUUAAAGCGCUCCACAUUACCGUCUGCAUCAUGCUUCAACUUAUACACCCACCGACAAUGCAGUAAACGUGUACCAGGCGGCGCCUUCUUGAGCUCCCAGGUAUGGUUGGCCAUCUGAGCGGCGAUCUCCUUAUCCGUCGCACACCGCCAGUCGUCUGCAUGUGGAUCUGAAAUGGCCUCCGCAAACGAAUUAGGUUCAGGAAUACCAACAGAGAAAGCAGCAUUAAUGCAACCAGUGACAGUGCGACCAGGUUUGUUUCACCGCCAUUCGCCAGGGCGUUUAUGUUCUCCAACUGGAUACCUAGUUCCUGCCAUUUCCACAUCAGGCUGGUUAAUUCCUUGCCCAUUCACACUGCUGGAAGGUCCAGCCCCAGCCGGCGCCCCCUCGCCACCCAAAUGCGGUGAUCCCUUGCUGACGGUGCUACCUGGUGUCCCUUCACCAGCCCUAGGCAGUGAUCCCUCACCAGGUAAACUAGUGUGAAAAUCCUCCUCCUCGUCGGCAUCAGACUCAUAAUUGGAGUCCCCGGCAUUACACCGCCAGCCGACAUUAGACUCAUCAAAGUGAACGUUAGAAACUACGGCAAUAAUGCCGUCCUUGUACAGCACACGGUACUGUCCUCCGUUCCCGUAUCCAACAAGUAUUUCACGCCUGCUCACCAGAUCAAACUUGUCGCAUUUGAUGUCAGGUACGUGGAUGUAGGUGACGCACCCAAAAACUCGAAGGUGACUGAUGUUAGGACGGAAGUUGAAGAUAGCUUCAUACGGUGUGACAGUUGACCCAGCAGUUGGCGACACAUUCCUGUGGUAAUUGGCUGUCACCAAAGCUUCCGCCCAUAAUGAUUUAGGUAGUCCGGACUCGACAAGCAUAGCCUUAGUUUUGUCUAGGAGAGUGCGAUUCAAACGUUCUGCAGCUCUGCUCUGCUCAGGGGUGUAGCCUACCAUAGUUCCGUGUACAAUACCCCUGGACGCGAAAUAGCCCUUCGUGCGAGUAUUAAUGAACUCCCCGCCACGAUCCGUACGCACCUCCUUAACCUGCCUGCUAGAAGCGCGCUCCAGUUCCGCUAUCAUUACCACCAUCUUCUGAUAGACCUCCUCCUUGGUCGCUGUAAACACAACAACUGAAAGACCGGUAUGAUCAUCAAGCAGAGUUGUCGAUGAUACGGACGGACAAAAUCUUUACCAUCGGCUCCUCGUCAAUGUAGACCCUCUUGAAUGUGAUGGCUUGAUUGUUGUUGACAUUAGAUCGAAUGGUAAGUGAUCCAACCUCCGUCGGAUGCAGUGACUGACCCUUAAUGCCCACAAUGCUAAAGUGUUCCCAAGGCUCCAACACACAUACAUUGAAUAGUUCGGAUCGGUCGUAAGUGACGUGGUGAGUAGAUGCUGAGUCCAGAAACCAUUCCGUCGGACGCUCGCUGUUGUAUGCCAAGAACACUACUUGUCGCGGAACACCUGGCCCCCUAGCUGAUCCACCGGAUCCUGGCUUGCUGCCGCUAGCUCCGCUGCCACUGUUGAUGUUGUUACAGGGUGGUUAAGCUUCACCAGUGGCCUCCUUCCCGAGGCAAUUCCCUGCUCUCCCCUGCUAGAGGGGCACCCUAAGCCAUUCACCCCAUCCGACUUCAGAGUGUACUCUUUGAGUUUGGCAACUCACCACCAGCAUCCAACCAAAUCUAGCAGAUCAACGGCGCGUCAACUUAGUUCCUGGUCAGCUCGCGAGUUGAUUUUAUCACGUCCUACACCGUCCACAAGAUGGGGGGCCACCUCCCAUUUCAUCACCUCUCAAACACCCCGAGAGGUUGGCAGGCACAUUUGAACCCGGACGCGCCGGGACGCGACGGGAGCAGAAGCCAGGCCUUAACCUCUGCCAGCCGCCUGCCUUGUUGUUGUUGCCACCCUUAUAUCCAGAAAUGGACGACUGCUUGAGUGCUUUAAGCCCUAUGGCAUAAACAUGCCGGUUACCGACCGUUUGGGGCCCAUUAACCCAACCGGCCGGUUGAAUGGCGUAACGGNNNNNNNNNNNNNNNNNNNNNNNNNNNNNNNNNNNNNNNNNNNNNNNNNNNNNNNNNNNNNNNNNNNNNNNNNNNNNNNNNNNNNNNNNNNNNNNNNNNNNNNNNNNNNNNNNNNNNNNNNNNNNNNNNNNNNNNNNNNNNNNNNNNNNNNNNNNNNNNNNNNNNNNNNNNNNNNNNNNNNNNNNNNNNNNNNNNNNNNNNNNNNNNNNNNNNNNNNNNNNNNNNNNNNNNNNNNNNNNNNNNNNNNNNNNNNNNNNNNNNNNNNNNNNNNNNNNNNNNNNNNNNNNNNNNNNNNNNNNNNNNNNNNNNNNNNNNNNNNNNNNNNNNNNNNNNNNNNNNNNNNNNNNNNNNNNNNNNNNNNNNNNNNNNNNNNNNNNNNNNNNNNNNNNNNNNNNNNNNNNNNNNNNNNNNNNNNNNNNNNNNNNNNNNNNNNNNNNNNNNNNNNNNNNNNNNNNNNNNNNNNNNNNNNNNNNNNNNNNNNNNNNNNNNNNNNNNNNNNNNNNNNNNNNNNNNNNNNNNNNNNNNNNNNNNNNNNNNNNNNNNNNNNNNNNNNNNNNNNNNNNNNNNNNNNNNNNNNNNNNNNNNNNNNNNNNNNNNNNNNNNNNNNNNNNNNNNNNNNNNNNNNNNNNNNNNNNNNNNNNNNNNNNNNNNNNNNNNNNNNNNNNNNNNNNNNNNNNNNNNNNNNNNNNNNNNNNNNNNNNNNNNNNNNNNNNNNNNNNNNNNNNNNNNNNNNNNNNNNNNNNNNNNNNNNNNNNNNNNNNNNNNNNNNNNNNNNNNNNNNNNNNNNNNNNNNNNNNNNNNNNNNNNNNNNNNNNNNNNNNNNNNNNNNNNNNNNNNNNNNNNNNNNNNNNNNNNNNNNNNNNNNNNNNNNNNNNNNNNNNNNNNNNNNNNNNNNNNNNNNNNNNNNNNNNNNNNNNNNNNNNNNNNNNNNNNNNNNNNNNNNNNNNNNNNNNNNNNNNNNNNNNNNNNNNNNNNNNNNNNNNNNNNNNNNNNNNNNNNNNNNNNNNNNNNNNNNNAACAUCACCCCAAUCUCAGUGUAAACUAGUCUCCAAAUGUGCCUGCACAAGACUGUCACCCCUGUCACCCGGCAUUCACAUUGCCUUAACCUCCUAAGCUUGUCGGGGUGUGACACGUGGGCAUGAACCUUGUGACAAUGGGCAUUGUCACAAAGAAACUGGUUGCAAUCAGAAAUGCAUUUUUCCUCAUGCCAGGUUACCGACAUCGGUUACCGAUUACUGGGGACGGUUAACGGAUAACGGUUCGCUCGGUAAUCCUACCGACCGGUUACCCAUCUCGUUAACUGGACCCGUUAGGUCGGAACCGGGCCGGAACCGGCCUGGAGUAUGCCAUUGGGAAGCUGCCUGCAGUCCUUUACCACAUGCCCAGGCUUAUAACAGUAGUAGCAGAUGAGUUGCUUCCGACUGUGUCCCGAGCUGUUGUUAGCUGGCCCUUGGCUACCAUAACCAGAAUUAGAAGCACCGAACAUCGAACCGCCGACAGAUGCAAACACUGCCGACUCGGUAGAUUUGCCUGACCCACCGUUUGCCUUGUCGAUAGCUAAAAGCUUCGAUGUGACGUUCACCAUGUCCAAAUCGCCGUCACGCAUCAGUAGUGUUGUCGUCACCAUGCUGUACUGAUUGGGUAAACCAACUAAGACGGUAUACGCCAGCUCGGAGUCGUUGAUUACGUGGCCGACACCCAACAAGUCCGUUUGCAGCUGCCUCACACGCGCAAAUACUUGGGAAGUGGCUCGCCGUCGACCAUCUUGAAGCGGCUGAAUUCUUGUCAUAGAGCCACCUUGCGGGCGUUGUUGUUGGCAGUGAACAUCGAGUUCAAGGCAUCCCAAGCCUUCUUCGUGUUGGCGGCACCGGUGACCAUCGGCAAAUGGUGAUCCUUGACGUUCUUCAUAAGCAGAUUGAUGACUUUCUGUGAUUGACGGAUCUGCUCCUCGUUGCACGGUUCGGCGAGCAAAGACUGCUCAAGCCCAAGCUCCAUGCACAUCGUGCUAAACUGGAUUUGCCAUGUGGAGUAGUUGUGGAGGUCCAGCGGCUCAUCAAGCUUAUUCUUGACCAUUGUCGAUAGGGGAUAGAAAUAACAAUCGGACGAUAGCUGUCUGCGCUACCCGGGGCUCAUAACCUAUUGGAGAAUUGGCGACGGUGAUGGCUGAUGCUGAUUGUUAUUCCGGAAGGAUUGCCGGCGGUGAAGAUAUUGAACACGAUAAACUGUUACAAGUAAUGUAAAACUGUAAAUUGCGUUAGGCAGGACUCGAGAAGAUUCCUUUGAGGAAUACCGAUCGUUGUGAGAUAAACAAAUAAGCGCAGUCACCACCCUAAAUACCGAAAACUCGUAUCUAACUGCAUGUACAUUCCGCAAUCUCACUGCGCUGUCCUGACGGUGCCCGAAUGUCUAUCACUUAGCUACCGGAUAUGCAUCGGUAGCCCCAUACAGUUCUGGGGUAAGUCUUCCCCAAUAGUUAGUCACAGACCCGGGGUCAAAUACCCUGGUCGACAACCACACGAGUUGGGAGAGGACCGUUUCCUCAACAAAACGAGCCUGGCCGCACUGUUACUGGUCGCGUUAUCACUGCUUUCUCUUCUGAUAUUCCAGAACCUAAUUCGUUUGCAGAAGCCAUUUCAGAUCCACAUGCAGACAACUGGCGGCGUGCGAUGGAUGAGGAGAUCACCGCUCAGAUGGCCAACCAUACCUGGAGCUUAAGAAACCGCUGCCUGGUACACGUUUGCUGCCUUGUCGGUGGGUGUAUAAGGUGAAGCAUGAUGCAGACGGUAAUGUGGAGCGUUUCAAGUCGCGUUUAGUUGCAAAGGGUUUCGAACAACGCGAGGGGAUUGAUUAUGGGGAGUUGUUUGCUCCUACCUCUCGUGGUUCAUCUUUACAUGCUUUAUUAGCAGUUACCGCAGCGCGGAACAUGACGGUGCACCAGCUCGAUGUGUCUACUGCGUUUUUGAACGGUGAGCGGAAGGAAGAGUUGUGGAUGGAGUAACCGCCUGGUUAUGCAUCCAGUGACCGGUCACUUGCAUGCAAGCUGCAGAAGUCGAUUUACGGUUUGAAGCAGGCACCCCGUUGCAGGUAUNNNNNNNNNNNNNNNNNNNNNNNNNNNNNNNNNNNNNNNNNNNNNNNNNNNNNNNNNNNNNNNNNNNNNNNNNNNNNNNNNNNNNNNNNNNNNNNNNNNNNNNNNNNNNNNNNNNNNNNNNNNNNNNNNNNNNNNNNNNNNNNNNNNNNNNNNNNNNNNNNNNNNNNNNNNNNNNNNNNNNNNNNNNNNNNNNNNNNNNNNNNNNNNNNNCUAGCGAUGAACACGCGGCCUGACAUAUCGUAUGCAUUGAGCGUUUUGUCCCGGCAUAUGGCCGCACCCAUGAAGAGUGCUAUGAACUUAGCAAUUGGCGUUCUGCGUUACCUGGCGGGUACUCGCGAACUAGGAUUGCGUUUUGGGGGUGUUGGCGACAUUGAGAUGUCCGGGUAUAGUGAUUCUGACUGGGCAGGAGACCCGGUUACACGGCAUUCUACUUCCGGCUACGUUUUUACUCUAAAUGGGGCUGCGAUUAGCUGGAGCAGUCAACUUCAACGUACUGUGGCGGCUUCGUCGGUGGAGGCCGAGUAUCAAGCUACAGCGGCAGCUGUUCGUGAAGCUUUGUGGCUUCGCAAGCUGAUGGUCGAUUUGGGUUUGCCUGAGAGCGCUAUCAAGAUUCAAAUAGAUUCCCAGGGGGCGCUUAGCUUAGGAAAUAACCCGAUUACAUCUGCUCGGUCGAAACACAUCGAUGUACAACAUCACAUAGUGUGUGAGAGGGUGAAUAGCGGGGAGGUGCAGUUGGAAUACUGCCCUACGGAGUGGACGGUUGCGGAUGUGCUAACGAAGGCUUUGGGCGAGGUGAAAUUCAAACGUUGCCGAGAUGCGAUGGGCCUUGUGUGAAGCGUGCUGAUGAACCUGAUACUUGUUGGGAUACGGCCCGAGGGGGCGUGUUGAGGAAAUGGUCCUCUCCCAACUCGUGUGGUUGUCGACCAGGGGACUUAACCCCGGGUCUGCGCCUGACUAUUUGGGAAGACUUACCCCAGAACUUUAUGGGGCUGCCGAUGCAUAUCCGGUAGUUAAGUGGUGGACAUUUGGGCACCGUCAGGAUGGCGCAGUGAGAUCGCGGAAUGUACGUGCAGUUAGAUCGCAGAAUGUACGAGUUUUCCGCUAGCGCCGGUAUUUAGGGCAGUGACUGCACUUAUGUGUUUAUCUCACAACGAUCAGUAUUCCCUAAAGGAAUCUCACUAAAGUCCUGCACUAACGCAAUUUACAGUUUUAUAUUACUUGUAACAAUUUAGUAAUAUUAUGCAUUUGGCAGGNNNNNNNNNNNNNNNNNNNNNNNNNNNNNNNNNNNNNNNNNNNNNNNNNNNNNNNNNNNNNNNNNNNNNNNNNNNNNNNNNNNNNNNNNNNNNNNNNNNNNNNNNNNNNNNNNNNNNNNNNNNNNNNNNNNNNNNNNNNNNNNNNNNNNNNNNNNNNNNNNNNNNNNNNNNNNNNNNNNNNNNCAGGACUUUAGGAUAUUCCUUUUGAGGAAUACCGAUCGUUGUGAGAUAAACAAAUAAGCGCAGUCACUGCCCUUAAUACCAGUGCUAGCGGAAAACUCGUACAUUCCGCGAUCUAACUGCACGUACAUUCCGCGAUCUCACUGCGCCGUCCUGACGGUGCCCAAAUGUCUAUCACUUAGCUACCGGAUAUGCAUCGGUAGCCCCAUAAAGUUCUGGGGUAAGUCUUCCCCAAUAGUCAGUCACAGACCCGGGGCCAAAUCCCCUGGUCGACAACCACAUGAGUUGGGAGAGGACCAUUUCCUCAACACGCCCCCUCAGGCCGUAUCCCAAGGAGUAUCAUCAGCACGCUUCACACAAGGCCCAUCGCAUCUCGGCAACGUUUGAAUUUCACCUCGCCCAGAGCUUUCAUGAGCACAUCCGCAACCAUCCACUUCGUAGGGCAGUAUUCCAACUGCACCUCCCCGCUAUUCACCCUCUCACACACUAUGUGAUGCUGCACGUCGAUGUGCUUCAACUGAGCAGACGAAAUUGGGUUAUUUCCUAAGCUAAGCGCCCCCUGGGAAUCUAUUUGAAUCUUGAUAGCGCUUUUAGGCAAACCCAAAUCGACCAUUAGCUUGUGAAGCCACAAAGCUUCACGAACAGCUGCCGCUGUAGCUUGAUACUCGGCCUCCACCGACGAAGCCGCCACAGUACGUUAAAGUUGACUGCUCCAGCUAAUCGCAGCCCCAUUUAGAGUAAAAACGUAGCCGGAAGUAGAAUGCCGUGUAACCGGGUCUCCUGCCCAGUCAGAAUCACUAUACCCGGACAUCUCAAUGUCGCCAACACCCCCAAAACGCAAUCCUAGUUCGCGAGUACCCGCCAGGUAACGCAGAACGCCAAUUGCUAAGUUCAUAGCACUCUUCAUGGGUGCGGCCAUAUGCCGGGACAAAACGCUCAAUGCAUACGAUAUGUCAGGCCGCGUGUUCAUCGCUAGGUAAUUCAACUCCCCCACCGAAGCCCUAUACUCCGUGGGAUUGUCCAGCAGCUCUUCUCCGUCCCCCCUAGGAGUGUACCUAAAGCCCGGAGGCAAAGGGGUAGACCUCGGCUUGGCGUCAACCAACUUAUGAUGCUCCAAUAGCUGCUCAAUAUACCUAUGCUGCGACAACACUAUCUCACCCGACUUCUCCCUCCUAAUUUCCAUGCCCCCAAACACCUUCGCUUCUCCAAGGUCACGCACCUUGAAGACCUUCACAAUUGCGGCUUUAAUUGCCCGGACCAUUUCCGGGUCUUCCAACACAACAAUGGUGUCAUCUACAUGCACCAAAGCAAUAACAACCCCACGCUCGUCUGUCUUAACGAACAUCGCCGGAUCAGACUUAGAAGGAUAAAGACCCAGCUUGGUGAACUCUGCUGAUAGUUUCUCACACCAGCAACGGGGUGCCUGCUUCAAACCGUAAAUCGACUUUUGCAGCUUGCAUGCAAGCGACCGGUCACUGGAUGCAUAACCAGGCGGUUGCUCCAUCCACAACUCCUCCUUCAGCUCAUGGUUCAAAAAUGCAGUAGAUACAUCAAGCUGAUGCACCAUCAUGUUCCGGGCUGCAGCAACUGCUAAUAAAGCAUGUAAAGAUGAACCACGAGAGGUAGGGGCAAACAACUCCCCAUAAUCAAUCCCCUCGUGUUGCUCAAAACCCUUUGCAACCAAACGCGCCUUAAAACACUCCAUAUUACCGUCUGCAUCAUGCUUCACCUUAUAAACCCACCGACAAGGCAGCAAACGUGUACCAGGGCGCGGCUUUUUGAGCUCCCAGGUAUUGUUGGCCAUCUGAGCGGCGAUCUCCUCAUCCAUUGCAUGCCGCCAGUCGUCUGCAUGUGGAUGUUAGAUGGCUUCAGCAUACGAGUUAGGCUCUGUAAUCCCAGUGGAAAUUUCAGUGUUGACUCGGCCAGUAACAGUACGACCAGGUUCAAUCCGCCACCACUCGCCAGGACGUUUGCGCUCCCUAACCUGAUUGCCAUUUCCACAUCAGGCUGAUUGUUACCUUGCAUGUUCGCACUGCUGGAUGGUCCAGCCCCAGCCGGCGCCCCCUCCCCACCCAAAUGCGGCAAUCCCUCACUGACGGUGUUUUUUUCCCUUGGUAUCCCUUUGCCAGCCCUAGGCAGCGAUCCCUCACCAGGCAAGCUAGUGCAAAAAUCCUCCUCGUCGGCAUCAGACUCAUAAUUGGAGUCCCCGGCAUUACACCGCCGGCCGACAUUAGACUCGUCAAAGUGAACAUUAGAAACUAUGGCAUUAAUGCCGUCCUUGUACAGCACACGGUACUGCCCUCCAUUCCUGUAUCCGACUAGUAUUCCACGCCUGCUCACCAGAUCAAACUUGUUGCGUUUGACGUCGGAUAUGAGGAUGUAGGCGACGCACCCAAAAUCUCGAAGGUGACUGACGUUCGGACGGACAUUGAAGAAAGCCUGGUACGGCAUGACGGUUGACCCAGCAGUCGGUGACACAUUCCUGAGAUAAUUUGCUGUUCCCCACACUUCCGCCUGUAAUGACUUCGGCAGUCUAGACUCGACAAGCAUAGCCCUGGUCUUUUCUAGAAGAGUGUGAUUCAAACGUUCAGCUGCUCUGUUCUGCUCAGGGGUAUAGCCCACCGUAGUUCCAUGUACAAUACCCCUGGACGCGAAGUAGCCCUUCAUGCGAGUAUUAAUGAACUCCCCACCAUGAUCCGUGCACACCUCCUUAACCUGCUGGCCAGAAGCACGCUCCAGUUCUGCUAUCAUCACCACCACCUUCUGAUGGAACUCCUCCUUGGUCGCUGUUAACGCAACAGCUGAAAGACCAGUAUGAUCGUCAAGCAGCAUUGUAACGUAACACGAACCGCUAGGGGAAGGUUCAGGCAUAGGUCCACACACAUCCAUGUGAACUAGUGCAAGCGGCUGUGCUGCCUCAUGCCUUGUUAGCGGAAAUGGACCUCAGGUAUGCUUUGCAAGAAUGCAAGUCUCACAAACACACAUGCUGGCUCUCUGAAAUCUGUGCUGGUCAACAUCAAACCCCAUUACCAUGUUGUGAUGCAGCAACACCUCGAGGUAUCUGUAUCCCAGAUGUCCAUUACAUCGGUGCCAUAGAGUUGCACGUUCCACCUUGAAAUCCACGGUGGUGCACAAUGUACCACGUCCAGACGGUUGUUCAUUAUCAUCAUACCUAGUAGUCUGCGUCCACCUGAUUGUACCUGUAUCUCCACCUCCGUAACAGAUGGGGUAUAAGUCACCGUCACGCUUAAUGGUAAAUACUAGAUAGUCCUGCACAUAUACCUUUACUUGUCUGCCACCAAAGACGACACUACCACCGUGAUCAUUGAUGAUAUGGACAGACAGAACCUUGACCAUCGCCUCCUUGUCAAUGUAGACCUUUUUGAAAGUGAUGGCCUGUUUGUCGUUGACGUUAGACUGAAUGAUGAGCGAGCCGACCUCCAUUGGACGCAAAGACUGUCCCUUGAUGCCCAUUAUGCUGAAGCACUCCCACGGCUCCAACACAUACAUUUAAUAGUUCUGAACGGUCGUAAGUGACGUGAUGUGUAGACGCGGAAUCAAGGAACCAUCCCGUCGGACACUCACUGUUGUAUGCCACUAACGCGACCUGCCUUGGAACUCCUGGUCCCCUGGCUUCCACCGCACCCAGGCUUGCUGCCGCUAGCUCCGCCACCACUGCUGCUUUUACCACCCUUAUUUUGUCCAGAAAUAGACAGCUGCUUCGGGGCUUUCAGCUGCCUGCAGUCCUAAACCACGUGCCCAGGCUUGUUGCAGUAGUAGCAGGUGUGUUGCUUCUUACUGGGUCCCGAGCUGCUGCUAGCCGGCCCUCGGCUGCCAUAACCAGAAUUAGAAACGCCGAACAUUGAACCGCCGACAGAUGCAAUCGAUGAUACGGACAUCUGGGCUACAGCAACCUCGAGGCGUUGCUGCGCCACAAUAUGGUAAUGGGAUUUGAUGUCGACCAGCACAGAUUUCAGAGAGCCAGCAUGUGUGUUUGUGAGACCUGCGUUUUUGCAAAGCAGGCACAAGGUCCUUUUCCGCUGACAGGGCACAAGGCAGCCCAGCCACUAGCACUAGUUCACAUGGGUGUGUGGACCAAUGCCUGAACCUUCGCCAAGUGGUUCGCGUUACGUGACAACUCUGCUUGACGACCAUACUGGUCUUUCAGCUGUUGUGUUUACAGCGACCAAGGACGAGGUCUAUCAGAAGAUGGUGGUAAUGAUAGCGGAACUGGAGCACGCUUCUGGCAGGCAGGUUAAGGAGGUGCGUACGGAUCGUGGCGGGGAGUUCAUUAAUACUUACACGAAGGGCUAUUUCACAUCCAGGGGUAUUGUACAUGGAACUAUGGUAGGCUACACCCCUGAGCAAAACGGAGCAGCGGAACAUUUGAAUCGCACUCUCCUAGACAAAACCAGGGCUAUGCUUGUCGAGUCUGGACUACCUAAGUCAUUAUGGGCGGAAGUGUUGGCGACAGCCAAUUACCUCAGGAAUGUGUCGCCAACUGCUGGGUCAACUGUCACGCCAUAUGAAGCUUUCUUCAACGUCCGUCCUAACGUCAGUCACCUUCGAGAUUUUGGGUGCGUCGCCUACGUCCACGUACCUGACGUCAAACGCGACAAGUUCGAUCCGGUGAGCAGGCAUGGAAUACUUGUCGGAUACGGGAACGGAGGACAGUACUGUGUGCUGUACAAGGACGGCAUUAUUGCCGUAGUUUCUAACGUUUGCUUUGAUGAGUCUAAUGUCGGCCGGCGGUGUAAUGCCGGGGACUCCGAUUAUGAGUCUGAUGCCGACGAGGAGGAUUUUUGCACUAGCUUGCCUGGUGAGGGAUUGCUUCCUAGGGCUGGUGAAGGGAUGCCAGGUAGCACUGUCGGCGAGGGAUCGCCGCAUUUGGGUGGCGAGGGGGCGCCGGCUGGGGCUGGCCCAUCCAGCAAUGCAAACAGGCAAGGAAAUGAUCAACCAGAUGUGGAAAUGGUGGGAGCUAGGUAUCCAGUUAGAGAGCGCAAACAUCCUGGCGAGUGGUGGCGGAAUGAAUCCGGUCGUACUGUUACUGGCCGAGUCAAUGCUGCAAUUUCUGCUGGGAUUACAGAGCCUAACUCGUAUGCCGAAGCCAUCUCAAGUCCACAUGCAGAUGACUGGAGGCGCGUGAUGGACGAGGAGAUCGCCACCCAGAUGGCUUGGGAGCUGAAGAAGCCACCUACCGGUACUCAUUGUUUGUUUGUUGCCGUGUCGCUGGGUGUAUAAGGUUAAGUACAACGAUGAUGGCAGCAUGGAGCAUUUUAAGGCUGUUUGGUUGUUGGUUGUAAGGGUCUUGAGCAACACGAGGGAAUAGAUUAUGGGGAGUUGUUUGCCCCUACCUCUCGUGGUUCAUCAUUACAUGCUUGGUUAGCAGUUGCAGCAGUUCGGAAUAUGACAGUACAUCAGCUCAACGUGUCUACUGCGUUUUUGAAUGGCGAGUUGAAGGAGGAGUUGUGGAUGCAGCAACCGCUUGGGUAUGCAUCCAGUGACCGGUCACUGGAUGCAUACCCAGGCGGUUGCACCAUCCACAAUUCCUCCUUCAGCUUGCCAUUAAAAAAGGCGGUUGAGACAUCAAGCUGAUGCACCACCAUAUUCUGGGCUGCUGCAACUGCUAAUAAUGCCCAUAUAGAAGAACCAUGAGAGGUAGGGGCAACAACUCCCCAUAAUAUAUCCCUUCAUGUUGUUCAUACCCCUUCACAACCAAACACACCUUAAAACGCUCCACACUACCGUUGGCAUUGUACAAUGGGUUUUGGAAUGCAGUGUACGACUCAUGGAAUGUGUGCAAAACAUGGGCCCGGGUAGUCAUGGAGUGCAGUGUACGACUCAUGGAAUGAGUGCAAAACAUGGGCCAGGGUGGUCAUGGAAUGCAGUGUACGACUCAUGGAAUGAGUGCAAAACAUGGGCCAGGGUGGUCAUGGCCUGCAUUGUUCCAUCAUGGAAUACCAUGCGCAAUAUGACCUGGUCAUGUUCUGCAUAUUUAUGAGCAGGUACAUGACCACAUUUAUGACCUCAUGGGGUCAUAAAGUGCAGCCAUGACUGAAUACGGUCAUAUUGCGGUCCCAUGACCUGUCAUAAAUCCAAUCAUAAAUCCCAUCAUGACCACGCAUUUCAUGACCCCAACCAGUCAUAUCCUGCACUUGCUUAUGCAAACUAUGAACUGAUCCAUGACCGGAUCCAUGACUUAAUGACAAAUUAUGACCGGAUCCAUGACCACAUACAUGACCAAAUCCAUGACUUAAUGGCAAAUUAUGACCGGAUCCAUGACCGCAUCCAUGACCAAAUCCAUGACUGGAAAACCCAUCCAUGACCAAGUCUUUCCCCGAGUGUGUGCUUCACCUUAUAAACCCACCGACAAGGCAGCAAACGUGUAACAGGAGGCGGCUUCUUGAGCUCCCAGGUAUGGUUGGCCAUCUGAGCGGCAAUCUCCUCAUCCAUCGCAACCGCCAGUUGUCUGCAUGUGGACCUGAGAUGGCUUCGGCAUACGAGUUAGGCUCUGUAAUCCCAGCGGAAACUGCAGCGUUGACUCGGCCAGGUUGACUCGGCCAGUAGCAGUACGACUGGGUUCAUUCAGCCACCACUCGCCAGGACGUUUGCGUUCCCUAACUGGAUACCGAGUCUCUUCCAUUUCCACAUCAGGCAGUGUAUUUCCAGGCACAUUCACACUGCUGGAUGAUCCAGCCCCAGCUGGCGCCCCCUCGCCACCCAAAUGCGGUGAUCCCUCGCCAACAGUAUUGCCUGAUGUCCCUUCACCAGCCCUAGGCAGCGACCCCUCACCAGGCAAGUUAGUGUGAACAUCCUCCUCCUCAUGCUCGCACUAACUUGCCUGGUGAGGGGUCGCUGCCUAAUCGAAGUCCCGGCACUAUGCUGCCAGCCGACAUUAAAAUCAUCAAAGUGGACAUUGGAGAUGCAAUGAUGCCAUCCUCGUAUAGUACAUGGUACUGCCCUCCAUUCCUGUAUCCGACAAGGACUCCUCAUACCGGAUCGAGUUUGUCUUGCUUGACGUUGGGCACAUGAACGUAUGCAGCACAUCCAAAGACCCGCAGAUGGCUGACAUUUGGAUGAACACCAAAGAAAGCUUGAUGUGGCGUGAUGGUUGACCCAGCAGUCAGCGACACAUUCCUGAGGUAGUUUGCUGUCGCCAACACUUCCGCCCACAGUGAUUUUGGGAGUCCAGACUCUAUGAGCAUUGACCUGGCCUUGUCUAGAAGAGUGCGGUUCAGGUGUUCUGCUGCACAGUUCUGCUCAGGGGUGUAGCCUGCUGUAGUUCCGUGCAAAAUACCCCUUGACGCGAAGUAGGUUUUUGUGCGAGUAUUCACAAAUUCCCUGCCACGAUCCAUGCACAUCUCCUUUACCUGCCGACCAGAUGCCUGUUCCAGGUCCGCUAUCAUCACUCCUCUGGGGUCCCCAGAGGAGUCGGAGCACAUGCUCCAGGGGGAAAUGUCUAGCACAGAACGGGAGCUCUGCAUGGUAACACUAGAGCUGGACUGGAUUAAGGGUAAAGGCCCACACUUAAUAACGGGAAAGUCGUUACAAUAUCACACUGACAGCCAGGCUACAGCCCUGUGUGUGCUAUGCAUGAAGGGGCAGGGCCUGCAGUGAGUGGAUUGUACAUUAACCCCUGUUUGACCGGAUGGGGUGAGUGGAUAAUUGCAGAGGAGAAGCCAGACUGUGUUCUGAUCACCCCAGUCUGGCCAUGAUGGUGGAGGAAUAGGUUGGCAACCCGAACCAUCAAGAUGUAGAGGCGCUUGCCACACACCCCUGCCCUUUUCAGGUCAGGGCCCCAGGUCCCAGGCGGCACAGAGAGGAUGCUGAAGGCCCCACAUUAUGCAGUCAAAGUGGUGUUCAUUAUGUGGUAAAAAGAAGACUAGUGUCGGGCCCAGGAGAGUGACCAACGAGCACAUGAAUGAGCACAAGGGGGCAGUACUCGGAGGGGUUGUGAGGAGGCAAUGGUCCUGAUUUGGUGAUAGAAUAUGACAGAGAGGAUAGUGGGGAGCUGGGUGCCAAGAGAAGCACCAGGGGACAUGAAAGGGCCGGGACCGUCGGACUAGGCUGCAAGGCAGUGUGGCUGGGAUAUGGUGUGGCCAGCGUUUACUUAAGUAAUAUAUUCCUUAAAAGGAAUAAACAGGCAAUUCGGCCUUUGGAAAAAAGGAAUGAAUUGAGGCCGACCCGUACAAUUUCAUUCCUCCAGCCAAAAACGUCCAUUGCCGCCAGAUUGCUCUGUAGUGUGCAGAACUUAGUAUUUUCAAUCAUAGAAUAGGUAUGAGGGGCCGUGAGAAGGUCAAGCCCCUGAGUCAACACGGCAUAGCAGAAUGUAUGACCGGUCCUCACAUAACCAAACACGCAAAAGGCAAUGACUCAAAUGUUGAACAGACACCAAAACAGCAAGAUAAGCCUGAAAAUUUUCCUGAUAAAGGUGUUUGGGAUGGCGGUGCUGUAAUGUUCGGCAAUGGUGUUGCUACCAUUACCCCUGCCCUCCAGGGUGGGUGUAAUCAGCAUAAGCUCAAGCUAUCGCCUAAUCAGCUCGACAACAAUAACAAGGCAGGCAGAGGUUAAGGCCUGACUUCUGCUCUGGGAGUGUCCGGGUUGAAAUCCGCCUGCCGACCUAACGGGUGUUUAAGAGGUGGUGAAAUGGGAGGUGGCCCCCCAUCUUAUGGACGGUGUAGGACGUGGUAAAAUCAUCUUGCGAGCUGACCAGGAUCUGAGUUGAGGCGCUGUUGAUCCGAUAGAAUAGGUUGGAUGCUGGUGGUGAAUUGCCAAACUCAAAGAGUACACUCUGAAGUCAGAUGGGGUGAACGGAUUAGGGUGCCCCUCUAGCAGGGGAGAGCAGGGAAUUGCCUCGGGAAAGGAGGUCACUGGUGAAGCUUAACCACCCUGUAACAACAUCAACAAUAACAGUGAAUGCGGUGUGGUUGGCAAUCCAUUCCAGGCACCCAAUCAAAGCGUUCGCUGGGCCAAGCAGGCUCAGACACAGCGCAUCUGCAAGGGCCAGAGCGACAGUGAUCAGAUCCUCAUGAGGAAGUGGCUGGACAGCAGCGGAGGGGCCAGUACAUGAUGCACCGGUAGAGUCCUAGUGUGCUGUGGUUUGCAGCGGCGGUUGCUUGCUUUGGGCGGUUGCUUGCUUUGCUUGGUCGAUUUUCCUUAUUGCUCACAAACAGUGCCAGAACUAUCUAUGCAUGUGCACGAAGAGUGCACACAGGAACGAAAAUGCACCAACUCAGUGCAUGACGUUUGGUCUAUAAGGGGAGUUGUAUGGGGGGUUCUGGGGGAGAUAACACCUAAGGAAUAAAUCACGACGACCCUAGCAAUUCUGUUGCUUAGAUUGGAAUAAAUUGAGACCCGCCCUAAACGAAAAAAAAAUCACUGGGCCAUACCCGGAAGAGCCUGCCGUGGCACAGAAGGGGGUUGAUGAAGCACCCACUGAACCGCCACUGCAUCCACAGCACGGGCAACAGUUCUGCUAGAGAAUUGCUAGGAAAACCCAACUGGGCCAUUGUGAACUCUAAACUCUAAGUCCACAAGCUGCUUAACAGACACUUUUUGCUUAGCUCGAGCCAGCUCCUCAUUUGAUGAGGAGCUAUGGUACACUCACAUCCAAGGAAGAAACAGAAAACAUGAAUUGACGGGCGAACGCUGCAUUCUCGGGUUCGUAUACAUUUGACUCAACGUGGU
rnacentral:lncRNA from 1 species